rnacentral:lncRNA from 1 species
GAAAAGAACCCAAGACCUCUAGAGCUAAGGGUAAGCCUUUAGCAUAAUCUACUACACAAUAUGAGAGCUCUUCAAAGCCAUCAACCGGAGUUCCUUGUUUAAAGGCGUGCCAACUAAAAAGUUCUAAAGCCUCAUGGUUAGUCAGNNNNNNNNNNNNNNNNNNNNNNNNNNNNNNNNNNNNNNNNNNNNNNNNNNNNNNNNNNNNNNNNNNNNNNNNNNNNNNNNNNNNNNNNNNNNNNNNNNNNNNNNNNNNNNNNNNNNNNNNNNNNNNNNNNNNNNNNNNNNNNNNNNNNNNNNNNNNNNNNNNNNNNNNNNNNNNNNNNNNNNNNNNNNNNNNNNNNNNNNNNNNNNNNNNNNNNNNNNNNNNNNNNNNNNNNNNNNNNNNNNNNNNNNNNNNNNNNNNNNNNNNNNNNNNNNNNNNNNNNNNNNNNNNNNNNNNNNNNNNNNNNCCCUACACCACCCAACCCCCAUAACCCAACAAAAUAAACACCUCCAGAUUCAACAUUCAACAACGAUUUUACUUUCUCUAUACGAGAUUUGAUUCCCACAUGAUAUUUUGCAAUACUUGUAACAAGAGAAAUCUUGUCAACAAUUUCCUGAAUACAUUCUUCAGCGUUCCUGCAUCAAAUAAAAUAGAUCAGAAAAACGAAAUAUUUGAAACAUGAUCAUUUAUGAAAGCAUUACUCAUGUUCCAGAAAAUACAACAUUAAAACUUCACUAAGUUAGCAAGAAACAACACCUCAAUUGAGAACGAAUCUUUUGUAAUAUCUUAGCUGGAAUAGUUGUCUUUCUAUGCCACACAGUGUGCACAUCCUCACCAAACAAACACAGGUAAACUACAUUACAAACGACCUCAUUUGACCCACAUAAAGUAUACUUGCAGAGUAUUGCGAGUUUAGCUGCAGUUAAAACAACUCAUACAAGCUAAGCUCGUACAAUGUUUAUAUAGCUGAGCUCCGUGAUUACAUUAUCCUACACUUCUAAUGAAGUAUAGUAGGGCCGUCACAAUAAUGAACUUAACAAGAGUUGGGGUCGAUCCUGUGAAGAGUGGAAUGUCAAAGUGUGCGUCAAAUUGUGUGAUAAGCUACAAUUUCGAAAAUGAAUCCUGAAAUAAGGAUUGGUUUUCAGUUACUACUACAAUUUAAACUAAGAGACACUGAGGCAAUGAAUCAAACAUGUAACAUUCAAUUAUCAAAGAGACUUCUAUUAGAAUUAAAGGAACUAUGACUGUUCCUCCCUUGUGUCGCUAUACUAUGGAGAUGAAGGUAGUGAAUUCAACAUAAUUAGGUUAGUGUUACGGCGUCAAUAUCUGUAGAUUUUGAGAAUGAAGAGAAAGCUUCUUUGCAUAUUUGUACAUACCACGAACAAAGGCAUUUAUACCUAAAGUCCUAUGACCAGACAAAGGAAAAGCCAGCUUUAGGAUCUGAAAAAGCUAUCCCCCAAUGCUAGGGAAAUGGGCACAGAAGAAACAGAUAUGGCAAAUGCUCUAUAGGAGGGAAGUAAAAAGGGACUAUAGGAGACAAAAUUAGAUCGAGGAUGAUUGGUGUAAGACUUCACUCAUUUUAUGUGAGAAAUAGGCAAAUCUACAACAACUUCUUACCAAGCAAAAUCCACAAGUGAGGCCUGGGGAGGUUAAAGUGUACGCAGACCUUACCACUACCUCGAUGAGGUACAAAGGUUGUUUCCGGAAGAUCCUCGGCUCAAGUGUAGCAAACAGUACAGGACAUAUGACAACUAACAAGGAAAUGGUGUAAAAUCUACGGGAAAACCAUAAUCAGCCACAACAUAAUGCGAUAAUCGAAAUAUAAUGAACAACAACAAUGAUAGAUAUCUACGGCUAAACCCUAAGCUAACUCUUCAAUUUUUUUAAUUUUUUUUGGAUGAAGUUGUAGUAUUGAUAAGCAUCAAGAAGAUGCAUAAAGUUUUACAAAGAAAGCGUAACACCCCGCAUUACGGGCUAGAACGAAAACCAUCAUUUCUACGUGUAGAUGUUCCAAAAGCCAUAAAUCCUAUGCAAAUUUGGUAUGUUAAUCAAUUAUGUAGUGUGGGAACCUAUUUGAGCAUGAAUUGAGAUCAUAGAGGUCCCCUAACUCAAGGUCAAGUUGAAAGCUUUCCUAUCGUUCGAGUUUUAGUGAGCGUCGAAACUUGAGUCAACUUCAGUAGACCAUAACUCCUUGUAUAUGACGAACUGGGUGGCCUACUAUAUAUCACAUGAAAGAUCUUCGAAUUAGCUUUCCAACGAUACCAAUUUCGCCCAAAUCCGAUAUCGGAGCAAAAAGUUAUGCCCAUUUUACUCCAGCAUAUCAGCCUGGAAACUGCCUAACGACAUAUCUGACGCCUUAUCACAUUUCUGACGACAUUUCUGACAACUUAUCAUAAAAUGUCGUUAGACUUGGGCAGAAAGUCAUAAAUUCCAAUAUUUUGUGACGACAUGAGCUGACGGCUUGUCACAUAUGUGAUGACAUCAGCCCAAUGUCGUCAGCUGAUAAAUUCAGUAUUUUCCAAAUGGUUUUGAAGGGGUAUUUUGGUAUUUUCCUUCACCCCAUAGCUCCAUAAAUACAAGAUUAAGCCCCAAAUUUGCCAAAACAUACUCCUUUCUCUCAAAUACUCUCAAGAACCAAACCAUAGGGCCUCAACCUAAGAUUCAAGAUCCUUUAAAAUUUCACCAUUUAAUUCCAAAAUUGAUUCAAGAAUUAGAAUCCCCAAACUAAGAUCUUCAAGAAUCAUCCAUCAAAAGCACAAAUAGAGUCCCAAAAGCAAGUGUUCAUCCAAAGUUCAUAAACUAAGAUACGCGGGGUUUUCCUCAAAUCUCAUGGGCAUAGAAAUCAUGAUUUUAAGAAAGAGGUUUUCAGAUUUAUGAAUACAUUCAUGUUUUAGAAAUCUUGACGGUAUUGUUUUAGUCUUUUGACCUUCCCCCAAAUUAAUUUGAAAUUAUACAUAUAUAUGUAAGUAUGUGUUUUAAGAUUGAUGAUUGAAUUGAGAGCAUGAUUCAUGAAAAAUCCCUCUCUUGUGAUGAUUUUCAUUUACUUAUGAUAUACUAUGAAAUCGUUUGAAAGAGUCUUGAAAAAACAUGCUAUGAAAUAUCUUGAAUAAUGUUAGAUUUGGAUUAUGAUUCCGAUUCCAACAGAGAGAGGGUUGUUUAUAUUGAUGAAUGUUGAAAAUAUUCAUAUAAUGAAAGAGUGCCUGAAUUUGCCAAAAGCACAUGACCACCAUAUGUUUGAAGGAUUCUUGCAUAGUUUUGACUUAUGUUUCAGAACAUGAAAUCUCUUAUACUAUUUGCAAUGUUGGGUGGUCUGAAUUGAGUUUUAAUGAAAGAAUUAUGCUUAAUGCAUUAUGGCUUAGAAUUAUGACUUGCAAGUCUUAGUAUGACGAUACCAAAAUAGACAUUGCCAUAAUAGACUCAAACAAGCUUAGAAACCAGAUUUUCAUGACUUAAGAUUUCAGAAUGAUAUGUGUUAAAAAUGGAUAAAAAUUGGGCACAAAGAGAUGUUAGGUGGUCCCCUGAAAAAGGCACGAGUUUCAGACAACUCAAUGCCCAAAACCGUGAUUUGCCGAUCCGGGUAUAUUAUUAUACGCUGGCCCAGUGCCCUGUGGUGUAUUAGACUUAGACUUGUAGGGGUGUGCCACCUAACUCAGAAGUAAUACAAAGAUCAGAAACUGCUUUUGACAGAAAGGUUUUGAUGUUUUUCCAAGAAUGCCCAUGUGUUUUGAAAAUUAUAUCUUUCAUGAUGUUUAUGACUAGCUCUCAACUAUUUUAUUUAUAUAAAAGCGUGAUUUUGGAUUGCUUUGCGUACCAGUACAUCUGUAUUGACCCCUCCCCCUACUUCUCAGGUUCUGAGGCUCAGUCUAAGGGUCCAAGUAAGCAGUAGAUAAUUCAGACAGCAGAUCAGAUUUUGCAGUGGUGAGCCUUCUCUGUUCCAGAAGGCCUGUCCUUUUAGAUUAUGUCAUUUGUUUCAGUUUUGGUCUACUGGGGGCCUUGUCCCAGUUUUCAGAUAGUUGUCAGAUUUUCAUGUAGUAGAGAUUUCGUAGACGGUUUCAAACGAUGUUUAGUUGAUAUUGGAUUUUAUUCCUGUUUGCAUUGGUGAUGGACGUGUUGACGCGGAGUAUUCAAGGCGAGGUGCCUUGGUGUAUGCUAUUUGCGGAUGAUGUAGUGCUGAUUGAUGAGAUGCGGAGGGGCAUGAAUGACGAAUUGGAGGUUUGGAGGCAAACCCUUGAGUCGAAGGGGUUCAGGUUGAGUAGGUCUAAGACGGAGUAUUUGGAAUGCAAGUUUAGUGUGACUUGAAGCAGGAGGACGAUAUGGUGGUGAGGUUGGACUCCCAAGAUGUUUGUAAGAGAGAUAGUUUUAAGUAUCUUGGGUCUUUGAUCCAGGGGAAUGGUGAGAUUCUAAUCGUAUUGGAGCAGGUUGGAUGAAGUGGAAACUCACCUCGGGAGUGCUAUGUAAUAAGAAGGUUCCCCUUAAGCUUAAAGGCAAAUUCUAUAAAGUGGCAGUCCGUCCGGCCAUGUUGUAUGGAGCGGAGUGUUGGCCAUUCAAGCAUUCCCACAUCCAAAAAGUGAAGGUGGCGGAAAUGAGGAUGUUGCGUUUGUUGUGUGGGCUUACUAGAGGGGACAAGAUUAGGAAUGAGAUUAUCUAGGAGAAGAUAAGAGUGGCUUUGGUGGAGGACAAGAUGCGGGAAGGAAGGCAGAGAUGGUUUGGACAUGUGAUGAGGAGGGACGCGGAUGUCCCAGUGCGUAAGUGUGAGAGACUAGCGUUGGAUGACUUUAGGAGGACUAGAGGUAGGCCAAAGAAAUACUGGAGGGAGGUGAUCAGACAUGAUAUGAGCAGCUGCAGCUUACUGAGGACAUGACCCUAGAUAAGAAGGUAUGGAGGUCGCGGAUAAUGGUAGAAGGCUAGCGGAAGGGUGUGGGUUGUAGCAAGCCACCAAGAGAGUUCUUAUGUAGCCGGGUUAGUAACCUUAGGUCUGUGUCUAUAGGUGUUUAGGGCGGCGAGUAUGUGUUACUUAUACGUGGGGUCCCAUUCAUAUUUUCUCAGUUGCUAUUUGUUACUUCGUGUUGCCGUAUCUCUCGUAUUUUCGUAUUGCUAUGAUUUACUUUUUAUUAUUCUUUACGCCUUUUCUGUUAUGUAUUCCAUCUCCUCGUCGCUUAUUCUUUAUCUUGAGUCGGGGGUCUAUCGGAAACAGUCUCUCUACUUCUUUGGAGGUAGCGGUAUGGACUGCGUACAUCUUACCCUCCCCAAACCCCAUUUUGUGGGAACACACUGGGUUUGUUGUUGUUGUUGUUGUUGUAUUGUUAAACUAAAUCUAGAAUAUGACCAUGUUUCCGUAGCAGAUUUUGUUAAACUAAAUCUAGAAUAUGACCAUGUUUCCGUAGCAGAUUUUAUUUUCGCAUUUCCUAUUUAUAUAUAUAUAUUUAUGAAUGGUGUAUAUGAUUACAAGUUAGAAGGGCUCUCAGACCUUCAUGGUUCGGGAUGUCCGUCACGGCCAGGGCCCCGGUUCGGGUCAUGACAGAAAGGUUAAAACUCCGUACACUGCACAAAGACUAAUAGAAGCUGGGAGUUUAAAACCAAGACCAAAAACUCAAGGCUACCAAGCCAUUGAGCGGGACCUAAUAAAAUCUAAAAGGGGGACAACCUCAUUAACAGGGGAUAAUUUGCUCCAACUAAAAAGGUUAACUAAACACAGAGAAUUGAGAGCACAGCUAUGAGUUGAAGUCCCACCAAAGCAUUUGUUGUUCCUCUCUGUCCAUAGACACCAAAAAAUACAUGCAGGGAUCAUUUGCCAGAUCUUCUUGAUGGCUCUAUCUACUUUCCAUAAGCUCCAACUUUCAACUGCUCCUGUUAAGUUGUCUGGGGUUGUCCAACUGAUUCCAAAUAUUGCUGUAAACACGUGCCAUAGGUCUGCUGCAACAGGGCAAUGCCAAAAAAGGUGGUUAACUGACUCUAAGUCUUUUUGGAACAUAUGACAUCUGUUCACCAGAGGGAUCUUCUUCAUUUUUAGAUUAUCCUGAGUUAGUAUGGAAUCUCUGAGGGCUGUCCACGUAACUUGACUUUGGUGGGUAGUUUUGUCUUCCUAUCCAUUUCCAAGGCCAAGUAUUAGUCAAAAUAUCGACAGCAUUCAUGCUAUUACAGCCUAACUUAUAGGAAAAUAUAGUUAACUCACCAGUAAAUGAGGUUCAGCUUUCGAAAGAGUGCAUAAUGGCUUCUUCAGCUCUACUUCUCCUUGAAUGUCGUAGCAAAUUAGGUCUAUCCAAAUGGACAAUAGUCCCUUCAAGAAUUUAUUCUCCCUUGUGGUAACGUCAUUGAGAGGUCCGGUAAUAGAACUAGGUAGAAAUUACCUCUUCCUCCUUACAACCCUCCCCCUGAUGUGGUGAUGGAGUAUUACUAGAAUUGGGCUUAGAGUUUUGAAAGAUUACAUCCAUAUUGAUAAAAGAUCUCCUAUAGAGAGGAUGAUAACAUUGGUAACGUUUCUCUGCGGAGGAUACCUAACUAAAACACAUUUGCGAGCUCUAGAAUCAAGUUUUAUAGCAUUCCUAAUGUGAACAAAGAAAACACAAGCAAUCACAUGUGGAGGAACAAUAUAUCCAUACUUCUUUUUUGAUAACCCAAUAUAUCCAUACUUCUUUAAAGCGUCUCAAAGACUUUGAAAAAGUGGGGUUUCUUUUAUAGGCAAAAGCUGAAGCCUUUUAAUGGCAUUCUACUGAUAAGAUAGGAACCUACUUGAAUAGCAUCCCCUAGUAAGUAUUUCGUCGAUUCAUAGUACACAUAAGAGAUCUUGCUACUUCCAACAAAUGCAUGUCUUUCCUUUCAGCAAACCCAUUUGUGCAGUAGUGUAAGACUGUAAGUCCUUCUUUGUACCUGAAUUUGCUGUACUUGAGCUGAGGGUCUUUCGGAAACAGCCUCUCUACCUCCACGAGUACUGGUAAGGUAUGCGUAUACUCUACCCUCCUCAGACCUCACUUGUGGGAUUUCACUGGGUAUGUUGUUGUUGUAGUGUAAGACUGUAAGUACAACUAGUUUGAUAGACUAUCCCAUUGAAGUCCAAUAAGCACCAGAUUUCUUAUCCACGUAGUGUAUCAACAUUUUUAUUUUAGCACCAAACAGGGUAAACAUCAACUUAGCAGGAUAAAACUUCAUUUUUGGCUUUUAACAAAUAUAUGCCCAUGCCAUCCUUUUUUCAAUCAAGUAAAAGAUUUCAUUAAUAAUAACAAGGCAAAAUUGGUCAUAUACAAGUGGUUUACCAACACUGAGGAGAAAGCUAUAGGAUAUGGUUCUCUCCAAAAGACACUCAAUCCUCUAUACAAACAAGAACUACAUGGGUGCACCGAAGAGAAGAGGAUCGAAGACUACUCCUCAAUUGAGCAAAACUCAACCCCACCCUUUCCGAAGCUCUCAUAUUUCUAUCUUUCCAAAUGAGCCAAAUUAAAUCAACAGUAACUUCUAAGCCUUGUGCUUUCUUCUCCUACCUCCGUUCUUCCAGCAGAACAUCAACUCCUUUACAGAUCUUGGCAUUACCCAGGAAAUCCCACACCAACUAAAGAUAUCUCCCAUAGUCUCAUGGUUAAUUUGCAACGUAAUAGAAUGUGGUCCACAUCCUUACUCAUCUCCUUACAUAGGAAACAUCAGCUUAUUUGUACAACCUUUCGUUUCCUAAGAUUCUCCGCCGUUAAAAAUGCCCAUGCGCAGGGGAGGAGCUACCCUUGAGAUAGGAGGUUCAUCCGAACUUCCUUCGAUGGAAAAUUAUACUAUAUAUACAUGGUUAAAAUUAUUUUUAUGUAUAGUAGAUGUUGAACUCCCUUCGGUUGGUUCGUAUGUUCACUAACCCCCUUAGUGUAAAUUCGGACUUUGCCACUGCCCAUGAAAAGAAGCACGCAUUUCUUGGCACCUUAGGAAUCCAAACCAUACCAUGUGAAAAACUGACCUCUGCCCUAACCAGAAGCUUCUCAUAGGACUUAACUGAGAAAAAAUAGUUAUCCCCAAUUCCCAACUCAAAGCAUCGAGUUUGUCAACAGGCUCACAUUGCUUGUAAAGUAAAACUAGCAAUAGAUGAAGCUUGGGCACCUCUCAAUUCUGGACAUUCCUCCUGAACUCGAAAUCCCACCAAGUUCCAUCCCCUUGUGAUCCCCAUGAAUAUUGGCCAGAUUCCAAACACCAAUUGAGGUAGCAAGAUUGAUAUCAACGAUGAGGGUGUAGGCUAUCAUGAAUUAGAAACUUUCGAUCACCCAUGAAGAGUUCAAAGUACUAGGGAAGAUUCAUUAAAAGAGAUUUUAAAGUUCAUAACAUGCUCAAAUGAAUUUAUGAGGGAAGUAAUGACAACAACAUAGGCAUCAAGGACUUGAAGCAUUUCUCCUACCAUCAUAAGUUUGAAGGACUUAAAGAAAGUACAGAAGCAAGACUUCAAGACCACUGGUAUGUUCAAGUGGCUAUUUUAAUAAUUUGGCCAUUCUUGUAAUUUAGCAUCAAUAAUAGUCAUAACAUCAUGCUUGAUUGUGCUCCAACAAUAUUGAAAGAAAGCCAAAGAGAAGCCAUCCGGCCUUGGAGCCUUGUCGCCCCCACAACACUCUACCACCCCACACACCUCCACCUCUAUAACCCUCUCUAGCUUCUAGCUGUUCUUCUCUUCAACCUGACUGGAAUCUAAUCCCACCAGUUUGGCCUCCACUCCGCUUUCUUUUUGAACGAUCUUUAUAAAACCAAAUAAUUGCUCUCUCUGUACUUCCUCCUCUCCCUAUUAAGUCUCCUCCCCCACCUCCAUAGACUAUCAAAUUCCUACUCCUAUUUGUGACUGCUACCUAUGAAAGAACUUAGUACUAGAACCACUCUUUUCCAACCACAACUCCCUCGAUUUUUGUCUCCAAUUAGUCUCUCGAGCAAAAGUCAAAGAAGCUAAUCUCCUUUUAGAACUUCUUUUUUCUCCUUUUCUCUUUUACCUAACUCCCUUCUCACCACUAUUCUUUCUAACUCCUCUAGUUCAUUCAUAAUCUUUCUCAUUUUCACCUCUAACCUCUCAAACGCUUCCUUAUCCUGUACCCUUAUGUCAUUCUUAAGCAACUUUAAUCAUUUAGCAAGUCCAAAAGAUGCUCUCCCCUCUAAUGCAUAACUACCAGGGUCGGACCCACGUGGUCCGUGCCGGGUGCUUGAGAACCCAUUGAACCCGGUAAAAUUUUUAAAUAUUUAUAUAGAAAUACAGCAAAAUUGGUUAUAAUGUAUUGUUAAGCACCCAUUGACACAAAUGACUGUUGGGUGUUUUGGCUUUGGUGUGGAACUUAAGCACCUUGAUAUCUAAAGUGAUAUGGGUUCGAUUCCUAGUAGCAACACACUUUUUUUCCUUAAAGGAAGUGAGCACCCACAACCUUCAAAUCUUGGAUCCGCCCCUGAUAACUGCUCCACUCCCAAACUCUAUAUCCAGAAUGUGUCACUCGCAGCCAAGUCAUCUUAAUGCAACAAUAAAAAGAAGUGCCAAACCACGUCACCAUACAAAGAAACAGCUUAGAUAAAACUAGAGGAAGAUUUAGGAUUUAUGGAACAAGGGAGCAUUAGAUAAAGGAUAAGAAAAGAAAGUAUUAAGUCGGAAUUGAUCCCUAUUCCUCUAGGUAAAUAAUGUAGCAUUCAACGAAGUGCACCAUACAACCACUUUGGAGCAUGGAAGGCAGCAGAUAAUAUUAGAUUACUUAAAAAAAAUUGGUAAUUGUAUAUUAUAUCAAUGAACUAGAACCGUACUUAGGUAGUAUUGAAACCAUAUUUACAUGAAAGCUGUGAAAAUCUAUUAUCCACUACCUAUAGUGAGCCUAAAACAUCAGUGACAGAGAAAGUAACAUUAGAGUAAAUAUGAUUACACCAGAAACAUACCAGUAAGAUGAAGUUCAACUUGAUCUUAUGCACAUCAUCCUUUAUAUCUCAAAAAAUUUGGAGUUUCUUUCCUUCCAAAUUGUCCACUAAAUGCAUGCAAGGACAAUUCUCCAUCUACUCUUGCCCUUAGCCUAUGAACCUAUUUCCUCCCAGCUACCGAGAGCUUCCGAAACCUUUCCUGGUAUAGUCUAGGAUUUGCGUAUGAGGUUUAAGACAAUACUCCAUAGCUGAGUUGUAAAUCGACAAUGCACAACGAGAUGGCUGACCUUCUCUAUUGUUUACUUACACAUGAAGCAUCUUGAGCAUGGAAGACCUCUACUCAUCAAAUUUUCCAACAUAAGGGCAGCUUCUUUUGCUAGUAACCACACAAAACAGGCUACUUUGUGAAGGACUUUAGUCUUCCAAGGUUGUUUCCAUUGCCAGAUGGUUCGAUUGAUUCAUCAAUUUGGAUGUUGCAAUAGCCUUAAAUAGGCCCUUGGUGUUGUCUGGCCACCACGGAACAUCUUCACCUAUUUGUAACCCGGAAAGUUGUUCAAGUGUACUGAAGAAGUCUGCCCCUCUUUGCACUUCCCAAUCACUAAUUUGUCUUCUAAAGUUAAUGUUCCAACCUUGAAGUGCCCACAUAUCUGCUAGUCUUUUGCUGGUAACUAAUUAAGAUGAAUAUAUAUGGAAAGACCAUUUCCAGGUUUCCAACCACAUACCAAUUGUCCUUCCAGAAACUAGUUUUGUUCCCAUCUAACACUUUUAUCUUGGAUCGAAUACUCUAAUGGAUCUUCAUAGACUAACCCCAGAUGGUGUAUUAACGUCCUUGGUCAUCCAGUUAUCCUCCUGAACAUAUUUGCCUUUAAUAACUUUUCCUUGCAGUAGUUAAUGCUCACUAGUAAACUUCCACAGCCAUUUCAUCUUAGAGAGCUUUGCUUUGUACUAUCCCCAGACUUCUAUGUUUCUUCCAAGAGAUUAUUGUUUUCCACUUGACCAGGUGGUAUCCUUUCAUUUCUUUGUUCCCAUGCCACAAAAAAUUCGACCUAUUGAUGACCCCUAUUGGGAUAGGGAACGAGGACAUCAUGUAUGUUGGAACGGCAUCAAGAAUUGGGUUAAUGAGAGUCAAUCUGCCACCCAUAGACAAGUAUUAUGUCUUCCAAUAAGACAUAAUACAUAGAUGGAUACUUAACUUGGCCUCAUCUGGCAACUAAACACUCCUAGUCUGAAAAUGCACCUCUAGACUCCUAAUUCAGAGAACGAAAAAACUGACAGUGGGGAUGUCCAAGUUAGUUUCAGCAAACCAUUGGCUGGAAAAUGGACAUAAAAAUUGACAUUAAUUUAGUUAUGAACUAUUAAUAACCAACUUUAUGAAGUAUUAACAGCCAAAGAGAAAUUAUUCUUUCCCACAAAGUGCAACUUUUAGAGUAGGCCUAACCUAAGGACCAAAAUAGAGAUAUCUCAGGGAUCCAAAUGGCAUCAAAUAGCACGAUCACAGAUGACCUAAAUCCUAAAACAAGCUCAAAAUAUUACAAGUACACGUAAAAACAUACGUUAAAUCUCACAGCAGCUUUAAUUUGUUUAUUCCAAAAACUACUACUACUACAUAACAUAUACUAGUUCUUUUGAGUUGCUACUCACCAACGGAUAAGUUCCAAAGGAAAACUGUCCCUUUUAAAUCCCGCAAUGUUGAAUGCUUUAGAGAAAGCGUCCGUCCAUCUCUGCAACUCCACCGUGUAAGAAAAAAUGAUAUCAUCUGCAAUGUAUUGGGCCAACGUUUGAUCAAUGAUGCCUGACACCUGUGAUGCAGUUACACAAUAGAACACCGAGUAAAAUUCCUGUCCUUGGUUGUCAACCCACUCCAUUAUCUUACUGAGUUCCUCCAAGCGCUGUCUCGAUGAAGCAUAGUACUCGGAAAAGAUGGUAAUAGCAAUCAUUGAUUCCUCUAUGGCUUCUGAGAUUUCUGUUUUAAUUGGUUCUUCUUUUCUUUCAUAUUCGAACUCAGGUUUGAAUACGUUGAUUCCCAUGUCUUCCAGACGUUUGUAAAGUUGUGUAACAAAAUUCCCCUCCAAGUCUUGUCGUCUGAAAUUCAGGAAAACAUCGUAUUUCCAUUUUUUGACAGUUGGAAUUUGGGAAUCCAUAUUCCAAAUUCCAAAGGAUGUGUAUGGUCUGGUGGUGACCCUUUUUCUUUUAGUUUAUCACUUAUAUUGGCACAAUUGAUUUUUAUUUUCUCUGUUACAAGAAUUAUUUUUGGCCUCAUCAGACCUCUUAAACAAAGUAUGGUCAGUGCACAACUUAUUGUAAGUUCCUUUUUUCUCUUAUAAAAGCACCGACACAUUUUGUUAUAGAAGGUGUUUGGAUUAGAUUAUAAUUUGGUUAUAAUAGUUUAAAAAUUAUUUUUAAAUUUUAGGAGUGUUUGAUAAUUUAAAAAAUUGCUUGAAAAAAGUCAAUUUUUAUUUUUUAUAAGUCAACAACUAGAAGUUGAUCAUUACCUACUUAUUUUUUUAAGCUUAUAGUCUAUUGAAAGUUGACCAAAUAAAUGACUUUUGUAUCCCUUGUAAUUUUUACUUGUUUCAAAAUUACCCUUUUAUAGUCCAUUUGAUUUUUUUUAGCUUAUAAUCCAUUAAUAUUUGUAUUAAUUAAACAUUUUCACUUUUUGUAUUUAUGACAAACUUAACUCUAGCCAUAUUAGUACCUCGUUUGUAUGAAACUUUUAAUUUAUGAAAUAUGAUUUUUAUGUAUUAUUUCUCUUCUUUAAUAUAUUUUUUUAAAUUUGGACAAUUAUUAUUGUACAACAUAUAAAUUUCUCUAAGAAAAAAAACUCACCAACAAAGAUAUUGGGAGAACACUCACCGAAGAUAUUCAAAGUCAUGAACGAUUAGUGAACGAUUCAUGUAUAUUUGACGACGCAACAUUCGUAUUCAACAAUGUUUUAAUAGUGAUAUAGCCAUCACUCAAUCAACGAGCAAUAUAUUUUUCAAUUAAGAUUCAUUUUAGCAAACAAAUAGUAUCAUUUGUGACCAACUAUUUAUCUAUUAAUGUAAUUAUAAUAAUUAGUAACAUAUAUAUUUUGUUUGAUGAUUUAAACUAUUUUAACCAAGAAAAAAAAAAUUACCGCACAAAUUUAAUAGUCAUUAAUGAAAAUAUUAUAUUAUAUAAUAUUUUUUCUCUCUAUAUAUAUAUAUGAAAUUGCAACUUUAUUGAUAAACGUCGUGUUAUCAAAAGUGGGGUAGGGGGGGGGGGUAUUAAUAUAUAUCUUAAUUUUAAUUUGAAUCAUUUUAGAAAUAAAAAUUAAUAAUAAUCAACUCUACAUAUUGUUAACAACUUUAAGAAUAUUUCGGACAUUUUGAUAAAAAAAGUGGUUAACAGCACUUGUUUAUCAAACACAUCAACAACUUUUUUUUAAUUUCAGCACUUUUAUCCAAACACGUAACUGCUUAUUUUUAACAUAAAUUUUUGCACUUUUAAAGAAUUUUUUAAAAAUCACUUUUUUUCAGCUUAUCCAAACGGACCCAUACUAGUGUUUCAAAAUUCAUGCUAACCAAGUUGAUUCAAAUAACUAUAUCUAGUACCCUUUUGGAAUGGAUUCAAAAAACUCAUUUCGUUUCAAUUUGUUUUUUUUAGUCCGUUUAAAAAAAUAUUUUUUUUUAUAAUAAUAAUUCUAACUUUCUUCAUGACAUGUUUAAUAUUAUAAAAUUAAAAUAUAUUCUGAUAUAUUUUAUGUAUUUCUAAUUUAAGUAAAUAAGAUUCUGAAGGCUUAUUUAAUUUCUUAAAUUUUAUGGUAAAUCAAAAUUAAAUAAAUAAAUUAAAAGAAAGGUAGUAUAAUAUUUCUUGAAGUUUUAGUAGUAGUAGUAAUAUUUUUGCACACAUGUAUGCGGAUUCUGGGUAUCUGCACAAGUGUGAAGUGAGAAGGAAGAAUCAUCUGACAACAAUCAGUACUCCAUUGACUGAAAGUAAAACAAAGACUCAGCUUCCCACCACCUUAAAAAGAUACUACCAUGUCAUUUUCAAUGGACGGGGUAUUAAUAAUAUUAUUAGGGGUAGUUUGGUUUGAAAAUUGUUAUUUCGGGAUAAUUAAUUAUUUUGAGAUAAAAUAAAAGAAUAUAUUUUUUUUGUUUAGUUGGAGGGAUUAAUUCAAUCCGGGAUAACUUAUUCCAUCAUUUUUCUAUUAGUCCUGAGAUUAUUUAUUCCAUAUACAUGGUGGGAUAAGUUAUCCCGGGUAAUCCCGAGGUAAUUAAUCUCGGUAUUAGUUAUCUCGGGAUAACAAUUUUCAAACCAAACGACCCAAGGGUCGUUUGGUGUGAGAUAUAAGGGAUAAGUAAUUUCGCGAUAAAAUGAUUCUUUAUUUUAUUUUAUAUUUGGUUGGAGGGAUAAGUCAAUUCCGUGAUAAUUUAUCCCACCAUUUACACUAUAAUGAUGGGAUAACUUAUCUCAUAUGCAUGGUGGGAUAAGUUAUUUCGGGAUCUCAAAAUAACUAAUUGCGGAAUUAAUUAUUUCGGGAUAACCAUUUCCCAACCAAACGAUCCUUUACGGGUCGUUUGGCGUGAGGGAUAAGAACAGAUAGUCUCGGUUAAUUUUUUUAGUACUCCUUAAUCUUUUAUUUAGUUGUAAAGUGUGGAAUCAGAAUUAAUAAUUAGUACUAAAAUAAGUUAUUCCUAUCUUUGAAUGGUCUAGUAAUAUCAGGAUAACUUAUCCCGAUAUAAAAUAAUAAAAAUAUCCUCCUUAAAUUCUCUUUUAUACCUCACUUUUCACAUUCAUGUAUGUUCUCAUAUAUUUUUAGUAUCCGUUUGGCCAUGGAAAUAAUUUUUUUCUGGAGUUGGAGUUAGAGUUGAAAAUGAAGUUGGAGUUGUGUUUGACCAUAUCUUUUUUUUUUUUUUUUUAAGUUUUGAAAAAUCUUUUUUAAAUAUGAUUUUAUGCUCUCAACUUUUAAAAAUUAUCAAAAUCACUCAACUACUAAUUUAUCUACUAACAUACAACCAAAUGUCGAGAAAAUAAUUUAUAUGUCUACAAUUCAUAAAAUAAUUAACAACAAAGUAAUUAUUAUGAUUGUUAUUCUUCUAAAAUCUGAAUAAAAAUAUCACAAGUACGAGCUAAAUGAGUUUAUCUAACCAUAAUCGAUUGAAUAGAGAAAAAUAUAUUUUGAUAAAUAUUAUUGAAGGAUAUAAAUAUAUUUUAUAUAUUCUUAAAUUUGUUGAUGAAAAUUUUAAUUACUUUCACUUGAAUUAGUUAUUUUAUUGAAUUUGGUCUUUCUUAAAAAAUUUACGGAUGAAUUAUUUCUGAAUAACUAUUUUUUUUGCUUUUUUUUUAUUGAUGAUAUUGAUUUUUCUUGAAUAUUAUUGUAUUGUAAAUAUGAAUCGUUUCAUUAUGUUUGAUAUGCGACUUUAUUGACCACUUUUUAAUAAUUUAUUAAAAUCAUAAUAGCCAUUAUAUAACAUAUACAAAAAAUUAGAAUGACAAGAAAAAAAUAUUAAAUUUCUCAUUUUUAAAUAACAUCAUGUACUAGACCUUAUAUUUCUACAAUAUAGUUCAUUCAAAAUAAAAGUUGAUAUAUUUCCGCCAUAGAUUGUCAUUUAUUAGUUUUUUACUUCACGUUAGUAAAUUUUGAUUAAAAGAGAAAAAAGAGAUUAGAAUAUCUGUAACAAUUAAAAAUGAUGUUAUACCAUAGAAAAUAAAUAAUAAUGUUUUGGAGUUAUAUAUAAUAAUAAUGAAAGUUGAAAAUGGAAGUGAAAAAUUGUGAAAACAACAAAAAGUUGUUUUCACUUUUUGGAAGAGUAAUAAUACAUAAAUAUGAAUUGUUAGGCAUAAAACAUUACCACCUUGGGUGUUAUUAGAUUUGCGAACAAUGAAUAAUGAUUAGGCAAUCAUGGAAAAAGAAAAUGACCAUAUAAGAUUGCUAAUCAUUGGAUAAUGAUGUUUGAAUGAUUUUGUGUAAUGGUUUCUUGUACAUAUAAAAGUGUUGCAGUUGCAGGUUUUCGUUUUGCAAUUAGCUUUAAAUUAUCAGAUUUUUAUUUAGCUCGAAUUUUGACAAAUUUAGAUUUUAGGUUCAGGGUUUUUAGAGUAUUAAUUUAGUGCACGUGCGUUGCUCGUGUACAUCAUGUCAAGUCAUUAUCAAAAAGAAGAAUAUAUUAUUAAAAAAUAGAUCAAAUUAGUAGUCUUUUGAUUAACAAAAACAAAAAAUAAUAAUUAGCAACAAAAUUGUUAGCUACGGACAUGCCAAUUAAUUGACCUUUUAAAAGAUUUAUAUGAGGUAAAAAGUUUAAUUAGUUUUAUAGUCCCUAAAUUCUAGAUACGUAAUUCAAAUAAGGAAUUGUUUGAUAACUACAUUUUAAUGAAUGUAUAUAUUUUGAUAGUUCAUGUGCAGCUUGAUUGACAAAGUUAUAUCUAGAAGUAAUACUAUAAACUUGCAGCAACUAAUCACGUGUUAGGAAGUUACUCAAACAAAGUCCACUUAGUACACCAAAGAAAAAACAGAAAGUUUAAUGUUUUUUGGCUAAAACAAAUAGCAACAUUCAUUAUUUUGAAGCAUAAAUGAGUUCCUUGAAAUAUUUCUCAAGGUGAAAACCUAAAGGCACCACAAAUUUGUAAACUUACAUAAAAUUAAAAAAUAUAGAACAGAUAAGUAGCAAAAUCUUUUAUAAAACGCCAUAUAGCAGAUCCCUACACUUUCUGCAAUGAACAAUAUUUUAAAAAUAAAUUAAGUGAGUUUUAGUUUUAAAAAAUAUUUCUUAUUAAUAUUUAUAUAUAAUUUAGUUUAUGAAAAAUAGUAAAAGGAUAUUUUGUCUAUUGCGCACGGACCUUGCAUGUGUAGCAUUCAGUUAUUUUAAAAUUACAAUUUUAAUAAUUAUUUAUUUAAUUAAUUUAAAAUUUUAAAUAUUACAUAAAUAAUAGAUUAAGAAAUUUAUAACCUAAAAAAUUAAAUUAUUUAUCAAAUAAAUAUUAUUUGAUAUUGAAUAAAUUAUAAGAAAAGCUGAGUUGAUUCGUAGGAUGAUUGUACUUAAAUUUUGGUUUAUAGCAAAACUACUAUCUUUCAAUCUAUUACUUAUUUAAGUCAUUAAAUAAAACAUCAUAUUUUUUGCAUCUUUUUAAAUUUAAACAAAAGAUUGUCAAGUUCAUAUAAAUCCAUGUUGAAAACAACACAAUAACCUAAAAUAGUUAUAAUCACAAUCACUUAUUUCUGAAAAAAAUUAAAUUGAAUGAUUAAUAUAAAAGGAAAAAGAUAAACAAAUAUAAUAUCACAUAAUGUAUUGUUGAUUGAGAUAGACACAUAAACAUUAUGUGCUUGCAACAAACAACAACAAUAACAACAUACCCAGUGUACUCCCACAAAGUGAGGUCUGGGGAGGGUAAAAUGUACGCAGUCCAUACCAUUACCUCCGAAGAGGUAGAGAAACUGUUUUCGAUAGACCACCGACUCAAGAAUGAGAAUAGUAUACCAAGGCCGUAAUGAAACAAGAGACAUGGUGGAUAACAUAAACAGAAAUAAGGGAUAAGAAAUAAUACCAAUAAAUAUCAGAGAAUUACGAAAUAAGAGAAAAUACGAGCAAUACGCAAUAAAUAUAAGAAAACGGAUACUCACCUUGUAAUGACAUACUCUCACAAUACCUAAGCCACCCAUCACACCCAAACUCUCCUAACCCCUAGCCACAAGCCACACACUCACACUAGCCUUCUACUCUAAUCCGCGACCUAAACACAUUUCUAUCUAGGGUCAUGUCCUCAGUAAGCUGAAGCUGCUCCAUGUCAUGUCUAAUCACCUCCCUCCAGUAUUUCUUUAGCCUACCUCUACUCCUCCUGAAUCCAUCCAAAGCUAGCCUCUCACACCUCCGAAUAGGGGCAUCCGUGUUCCUCCUCAUCACAUGCCCAAACCAUUUAAACUUGCCUUCUCGCAUCUUGUCCUCCACCGAAGCCACUUUCACCUUCUCCUGAAUAAUCUCAUUCCUGACUUUAUCUCCUCUAGUAAGACCACACAUCCAAUGCAACAUUCUCAUUUUCACCACUUUCAAUCUUUAGAUAUGAGAUUUCUUGACUGGCCAACACUCUGCUCCAUACAGCAUAGCCGGACGGACUGCAACUAUGUAGAAUUUUCCUUUAAGCUUAAGGGGUACCUUCUUAUCACACAACACUCUCAAGGCAAGCUUCCACUUCAUCCAACCAGCUCCAAUACGUUUAGAGACAUCCUCAUCAAUCUCGCCAUUCCCCUGAAUCAUAGAUCCAAGAUACUUACAACUAUCCUUCUUACAAACAUCCUGAGAUUCCAACCUCACCACCACACCGUCCUUCUAACUCGAGUCACUAAACUUGCAUUCCAAAUACUCCGUCUUGGACCUACUCAACCUGAACCCCUUAGACUCAAGGGUUUGCCUCCAAACCUCCAAUUUCUCAUUCACCCCCCCAUGACUCAUCAUCAGCACUACAUCAUCCGCAAAUAACAUAUACCAUGACACCUCACCUUGAAUACUCUGUGUCAACACGUCCAUCACCAACAUAAAAAGGAACGAGCUUAGGGUAGAACCUUAGUGCAAACCUGUCUUGACCGGAAAAUGCCCUGAGUCUCCUCUCGCUGUCCUCACCCGAGUUUUCUCUCCAUCAUACAUAUCCUUAAUAGCUCUGAUGUACGCCAAUAAAACUCCUCUUACCUUCAAGCAUCUCCAAAGAACCUCCCUAGGGACUUUGUCAUAUUUCUUCUCCCUAGGGACUUGCAACAAAGCUGUAAGGCCCCGCAAAGUUCCCUCGUAGUCUGAGCCUUUAGAGCAUGUCAAGUGAAGUGUAAUUACGGCUCUAAAAGAUUAAGAAAUGACUUUCAAGUGAUUAGUGUCUAAACCUUGUUGAAUUUUCCUAAAAAAUGACUUUCUAUCGUAUGGAAAAUUGAAUUAUUUUUCCAACGAUACCUAUUUCGUCAAAAUCUGACAUCGGGAGAGAAAGAUAUGGACAUUUUACAUAAAGUAGUUGAAUUGACCAGGUGCGACAUAGAGGGCCAACGGACCGUCGCCCAAACCAUCGCAGAGGGGACAGUGAGUCCGCUUACUGGCCAAGCACGACGAUGGGACCUACGGACCGUCAGACUAGCGAUGAACCGUCGCACCUCACUGUCGCAGUUGAGGCAGAAAGUCCAAAUCUGGUCCAGGUGCGACGGUCAGGACCGACGGACCGUCGACCCAGCGACGGACCUUCAUACCCCACCAUUGCAUAUCCCAUUCAGUAUUUUUGAGUCAUUUUAAAAAGGGGUUUUUUGGUCCUUUUCCACCCUUUUAACACCUUGAUAUACCCAAUACGAAUCAGAUAACUUCAUUAUUCAUUCAAACCAUCUCAAGAGCUAGGGUUUCUCCCUCAAGAAUAAAUCCAAAUCUUCUUUCAAGAAAUUCAAGAAUCCUCCAUAGUUUUUUACAAAUUGAGUUAAGAUUCAAGGUUCCCAAGUUAAAGGCUUCAAGAACCCCCCCCCCCCCUUAGGAGUAAGAAGAAGAGUCUCAAGCAAGUUUGUUCAUCUAAGUAACAAUCUAAGGUAUGUGGGGUUUGAGGACACUUCUUUCGUCCUUGUGCCUAAAAGUUGUUUUAAAUAUGAGAAUAUAUGAUUUUCCAUGCUUUUCUAUGAAAUUGAAGUAUGGGUUUAUACCUUAUGUUAUUAUUCCUUGAGAAUUUAAUAGCUCCAAUGUUCUAGAAAUUGAAGUACAUGAGUAUGUUAAGAUUUUAAGGCAGAUUGCUGAAAAUUUCAGAUUUCUAUAUGAUUUAUGAAUCCUUAUGACAUCUAGUAUGCAUUUUGAUGUCUUAACUUGAGAUUUGAUUAUGGGUCAUUAAGCCCUACUUGAGAUUUACAAUUUUAUGAACUUUUGUGCUACAAGCACCCAUGAAUUGAGUACUUUGAUAUUAUUGAGAAUGAUUUGGCCUUUUGGUCAUAACAGAGUUGAAAUCCACAUUGAGUAUGGUUUAAAGCAAAUAGAAAUUUGUUUUGGUUUUCAUUAUAGACCCUUGAGUUAUUUUGAGGUGGAUUUCCUAAGAGUUCUGAGCUGAGUAUGGGAGUAGUAUUUAGCACCGAGUUGAGUAUGAUUCUAAGGUCUCAUACCCUUGAACUACGUGCUACCGUAGGUUCGAGAUUAAUGGGCCCAAGGCCAAGACAGUGAUCACUAAAGAUGAGGUUCUACUCCGAUGGCAAGGAUAGAACAAUACUACUCAAUGUGGGCGAUACGUUGGACUCCAUGUAGCUCACAUUGUUUAUAUUGGUUAGAAGAAAUUCCUAAGUUAUAUAAUCCCGAGUUCCAAGUGUCCCGAGUCUGAAAGAGUUUUAGAGUUCCCAAGGGUUGAAGUUCCUAAAAGUUCUAAGUCCUUAAGUUUUAAAGAAGUUUUACUCUCCAUGAGAUAAAAACAUGAGAAUGAAAAGUAUUGUUUAAAGUUCCUUUAGCCUUCAAUUAUUGAGAAUAAGAGGAGCGUAGAGAUUUUAAAGUUAAGUAUAAUGGCUCACGAUAUUUGUGUUACAUGCUUCACUAUUCAUGAUUCAUGAGUUUUACAUUUUAGACUUAUUCGAGCUAUGUGAGUCAUUCCUAUUUGCAUGCAUGAUUUUAUUAAAGAGUAAUGAUAUUGUUUUAUGUAAAUGCAUAUACCCCACAUAUACUCAGUUUGUUCCCAAAGUGUUGAUCCAUAUAUACGUCUAUGUGCUACAUUGUAUUAUAAUGUAGGUCCAGGUGCUCAGUCUUAGCAGUGACCGUGAUUCUCGAGUGCCUUUGCCUACAUCCCACAGUUGGUGAGUCCUCAUGGUUCGAGGACCUACUUUUCUUAGAUUCCCAGUUGUCAUUAUUUUUAUAUCAGUUCGAGUCAGUUGGGGGUUUGUUCCAAUGGGUUUUCAGUUUGAGUAGUAGAGGCUUUGUCAGACUACACUAGCAAUUGUGUUUUAGACUUUUAGUAUGUUAGAUUUUAGACUAUGUUUUCCAGUUAUUUUAAUUUUGAGAUGAUGUGUUAUAGCCUUAUUGCUUGACUUGAUAUCCCAAAGUGAGAGAUAUAGAUAGUAGCAGGCUUAAAGGGUUAGCUUGGGGAUACUUGUAGCCUUAAGCACCAUGUAUCGCACCGGGAUGAGAUUUCGGGGUGUUACAAACUUGGUAUCAGAGCCUAAUGUGUAAGGAGUACUAGGGAGUCUAACAAGCCGUGUUAAGUAGAGUUUUGAUUAUCUAUGUGUAGCGCGCCAUAUCUAUGAGCAAGAGGCAACAAAAUAUUUUAGGAAAAGUUGUUUCUUUCUUUCAGAUUCUAUCGUGCCUACAGCUGUCCCUCUCAUCUAAUAAUUUGUACUCUCCUAUUUCAGAAAAUGCCUCCCCGAAGAGCGAACGCCCGUAGAAACAAUAAUGAGCAACCCCAACCUGUUGAUCCCUUGAAUGAGAGUGUGUCACAUAUUGAGUUUCAGGCGGCCUUUCAGGUAUUAGCCUAAAAACUCACCGCCCAUGUUCAGGCUAAUAACCUGGCUGCAAUUCCAAAUCAGCAGGGAGGUGAUUUAGCUACUGCUAGAAUUUGUGGUUUCAUGCUGAUGAAUCUGCUAGAGUUUUAUAGGUCUAAGGCAGGUGAGGACCCACAGUUAUACCUUGAGAAGGUGAGAAAGAUCACACAGGUGAUGUAUGUUUCUGAGAAAAAAGUUGUUGAGCUGGUAUCUUACAGAUUGAAAGACAUUUCUUAUGACUGGGUUGUAGCGUGGAAGAAGGGUAGAGGUGAGGAUGCUACUCUUAUGACUUGGCAGGUGUUCCAAGAUACAUUUUUGGACAAGUUCUUCCCACUUGAGAUUAGGGAAACGAAGAUUGAGGAGUUUAUGAACUUAAGGCAGGGAUCUAUGACUGUUAAGGAGUACUACUUGAAGUUCAACCAGUUAUCCAAGUGUGCUCCUGAUUUGAUUUUUGACACUCGAGCUAGUAUGAGCAAGUUCGUGACAGGUGUUUCUGGUUUGGUACUUAAAGAGUGUAGGACUGUGAUACUGAAUAGGGAUAUAGAUCUGUCUAGAUUGAUGAUACAUGCACAACAGAUAGAGAAGUAUAAGAUAAGAGAGAAAUAUAGAGUGAGGGAUAACAAGAGGGCUAGAUCCGAGCAGCAUAAGUAUGGUCAGGCUAGGUCCCAUGGAGGGAACCGCCCGCAGUUCUAGAGUCGUUCAUCUAUACCAGCGCCUUCAUCAGCUAGUGCUCCCGCACCUAGAAAUAGGUAGGAGUAAUGGAACAAGUUUUCUAUGUCUAGGUCAUAAAAUAGUUUAAGUAACAGAACCCUCUAUCCUUCUUGUGCUAAGUGUGGUAGGAACUAUCUCGAUAAGUGUUUAGCAGACCAGAGGGGUUGUUAUGGUUGUGGCAAGCUGGGCCACGGACUUAAAGAUUGUCUGCAUGCUAGGCAAGGAAACAGAGAUGCCCGACCCCUAAAACAGACUACUAGUGCACCAGCUCCCGUACCUCGUCCCGCUCCUGCUCAGGGCGCUUCAUCUAGCACUGCUGGCGGUCAGUGCCAGAAUAGAUUCUAUGCCUUACCAUCCCACCAGGAGUAGGAGGAUUCUCCCGAUGUUGUUACUGGUACGCUCCGCAUCUUUUGCUUUGAUGUUUAUGUGUUGUUGUUCCCUGGGUUAAGUUUCUCUUAUGUGACCCCAUUAGUCGCUUUGAAUUUUGAAGUGAGUCCCGAAAAUAUUCCUGAGCCUUUCCUAGUUUUCACACCAGUAUGGGAGUCAGUUGUUGCUAAGCAAGUGUAUAGAAAUUAUCCUAUUACUAUUUUUCAUAUAGUCAUACUUGCUGAUUUGAUAGAGUUGGACAUAGUGGAUUUUGACCUUAUUCUGGGUAUGGAUUGGCUUCAUUCCUGUAUGCAUCUAUAGACUGUCGUAACCAAUUUUUGAGUGGUCUGGAAAUUCAGUAUAUCCCAAGAGUUAUUUUAUCUCUUAUCUCAAAGCCAAAAAGCUAAUAUCCAAAGGUUGGAUCUAUCACAUAGUUAGAGUUAAAGACAUUAAGUCCGAGGCUCCAACUAUUCAUUCGGUCAACAUUGUUAAUGAUUUUUCUGAUGUUUUUUCGAAAGAUCUCCCAAGGGUACCUCCCAAUAGAGAGAUAGAAUUUGGGAUUAACCUUUUUCCCAACACUCAGCCUAUUUCUAUUCUGCCAUAUCGUAUGGCACCUGCAGAGCUUAAGGAGUUGAAAAAGCAACUCAAAGAUUUUUUAGAUAAUGGUUUCAUAAGGCUCUGUAUCUCUCCUUGGGGCGCACCUAUUCUAUUCGUGUGAAAGAAAGAUGGUUCGUUGCGUAUGUGCAUUGACUAUCGUCUGCUUAAUAAGGUCAUAAUAAAAAAUAAGUAUCCUCUUCCGAGAAUUGAUGACCUGUUUGAUCAGUUGCAAGGUGCAAUUUAUUUCUCCAAGACAGACCUUAGAUUUGGCUAUCACCAGCUUAAGGUAAGGGAGGGUGACAUCCCAAAAAUGGCCUUCUAAACCCGUUAUGGUCACUUUGAGUUUCUAGUCAUGUCUUUUGGGCUAACCAAUGCUCCAGCUGCCUUUAUUGACCUCAUAAAUCGAGUGUUCAAGCAGUAUCUUGAUAUGUUUGUCAUAGUGCUCAUAGAUGAUAUCCUUGUGUACUCUUGUACUAAGAAUGACUAUGCAGAUCACCUUAGAAUUAUCUUGGAAACUCUCAGAGAUCACUAGUUGUUCACCAAACUCAACAAAUGUGAAUUUUGGCUAAGGUCGGUAGCCUUUCUGGGUCAUAUCAUUUCAGCCGAAGGCAUUAGAGUUGAUCCCCAAAAGACAGAAGCUAUAAGAAAUUAGCCUAGACCUAUCUCUCUAUCAGACAUUAGGAGUUUCUUGGGUCUAGCUGGCUACUACCACCAUUUUGUUGAAGGCUUCUCUUCUAUUACGUCUCCCAUGACCCGGUUGACCCAAAAAAAAUUAAGUUCCAGUGGUCAGAUUCCCGUGAGAAGAGUUUUUAGGAGUUGAAGACUCGACUUACUUCAAACCUUGUAUUGACUUUGCCUGAGGGUGUGGAUGGUUUUAUAGUGUAUUGUGAUUCCUCUAGAGUUGGUUUGGGUUAUGUGUUGAUGAAAAGAGGUAAGGUUAUAUCCUAUGACUCUAGACAGUUGAAGCCGCAUAAAAAGAACUACCCAACCCAUGAUCUUUAAUUAGAUGAUGUGGUCUUUGCUUUGAAAAUAUGGAGACACUAUCUUUAUGGUGUUCAUGUUGAUGUGUUUACUGAUCAUAAAAGUAUACAAUAUAUGUUUACAUAGAGGGAGUUAAAUCUUAGGAAUAGGAGGUGGUUAGAGUUGCUAAAAAACUAUGACAUGAGUGUGUUGUAUCACUCGGGCAAGGCCAAUGUAGUGGCAGAUGCCCUUAGUAGGUUGUCUAUGGGUAGUGUUACUCUUGUAGAAGAAGGUAAGAAAAAGUUACCUUGUGAUGUGCAUCGUUUAGCUCGACUGGGUGUUAGGUUGUUGAUUCAGCUGAGGGAAGUAUUGUGGUGUAGAGUAGUUCCGAUUCCUCCUUAGUUUCAGAAGUGAAGGAGAAGCAAGACAGGGAUCCUAGUUUGGUCAGACUGGAGGAGCCAGUUAAGGACAAAAAGGUAGAGGUUUUCUCCCAAGGGGGAUAUGGUGUGUUGAGAUUAUAGGGUAGAUUGGGUGUUUCAUAUGUUGAUGAUCUGAGGCAGAGGAUUAUGGCUGAGGCACAUGGCACACGGUAUUCUAUUUAUCCCGACACUACUAAGAUGUACCGCGACUUGCGGGAAAUCUAUUGGUGGAGUGGUAUGAAGAAGGAUAUAGCUGAGUUUGUAGCAACGUGUGCAAUGUUCCAACAAGUUAAGUUAGAGCACCAAAGACCUGGUGGUGUGAUUCAAGAGUUUGGUAUACCCUCUUGGAAGUGGGAAGAUAUAAAUAUGGACUUCAUGACUGGGUUACCUCUUUCGCAUCAUUAUCAUGAUUCUAUUUAGGUGGUUGUAGACAGGUUGACUAAGUCCGUCAUUUCUUGCCCGUGAAUACAUCUUAUACAGCUAAGGAUUAUGCUAGAUUGUAUAUUCGGUAGUUAGUCAGGUUGCAUGAAGUUACCUUGUCCAUCAUCUCGGAUAGAGGUACUCAGUUCACUUCUCAUUUUUGGAGAGCUUUCCAGAAAGGUCUUGGUACCCAAGUUCAUUUGAGUUCUGAUUUUCAUCCGUAGACAGAUGGUCAGGCUGAGAGGACCAUUCAUACUCUAGAAUAUAUGUUGAGGGUGUGUGCACUUGAUUUCAAAGGUAGUUAGGAUGACCAUUUUCCACUAAUUGAGUUUGCAUAUAACAAUAGUUACCAUGCUAGCAUCAAGAUGGCACUAUUUGAGACUUUGUAUGGUAGAAGAUGUAGAUCACCCAUAGGUUGGUUUGAAGUGGGUGAAGAUUCUGUGAUUGGGCCUGAUGCAGUAUUUGAGGCUAUGGAGAAAUUUAAGUUGAUUAGAAAAAGGUUGAAGAUAGCUCAGAGUCGUCAGAAGUCAUAUGCAGAUGUGAGGAGAAAAGAUCUUGAGUUUGAGGUGGGUGAUUUGGUGUACUUAAAGAUUUCACCCAUGAAAGGGUUUGGGAAAAAGGGGAAGAUUAGUCCCCGUUAUGUUGGCCCUUAUAGAGUUUUGAGUCGUGUUGGGAAAAUAUCCUAUGAAGUUGAGUUGCCCGUAGAGUUAUCAGCUAUUCAUCCCAUUUUUUAUAUCUCCAUGCUUAAGAAGCAUAUUGGUGAUUCCGUUGUAGUGGAUCCUUCAGAGAGUGCUGAUGUUCAGAACAGUCUUUCAUUUAGUGAGAUUCCCGUUGAGAUCCUAGAUUUCCAUAUCCGUAGACUGAGGAAAAAGAGGUUCCCUCGGUUAAAGUUUUGUGGCGGAAACAGUCAGUUGAGGGCGCUACUUGAGAGGCAGAAGCAGACAUGCGAGCCAAGUAUUGGCACCUUUUCUCUACAAAUUCAGAUCAAGCAGAAGGUAUUAUUCUUCCUUGAUUCAACCUUUCUAAUCUAAAGUUCAACUAUGUAUCUAUUCUUACAUGAGUUCUUGCAAUUUUCGAAGUAUUAAAAAGUUUAGAAAGAUAUAGAGUCCAUUUGGCGAUUUGCUUCAGCUGUACCACCCCUGAUUUCUCUGUGCUUUGAGCCUAACUAACGACAUUUAAGGACGAAUAUUUUCAAGGGGGAGAUAUUGUAAGGCCCCACAAAGUUUUCUUGUAGUCUGAGCCUUUAGAGCGUGUCAAGUGAAGUGUAAUUGCGGCCCUAAAAAAAUUAAGGAAUGACUUCCAAGUGAUUAGUGUUUAAACCUUGAUGAAUUUUCCUAAAAAAUAAUUUUCUAUCGUGUGGGAAAUUGAAUUAUCUUUCCAACGAUACCUAUUUCGUCAAAAUUCAACAUCAGAAGAGAAAGAUAUGGCCAUUUUACAGAAAGCAGUUGAAUCGCCCAAGUGCGACGUAGAGGGCCGACAACCGUCGGACUAGCGACGGACCGUCACCCAAACUAUCGCAGAGAGGGUAGUGAGUCCACUUACUGGAUAAGCACGACGGCGGGACUGAUGGAACAUUGUAUCUCACCAUUGCAGUUGAGGCAGAAAGUCCAAAUCUGGCCCAGGUGCGACGGUCAGGACUGACGGAUCAUCGAUCCAGCGACGGACCAUUGCACCCCACCGUCGCAUAUCCCGUUCAGUCUUUUUAAGCUACUUUUAAAAAGAAUUUUUUGAUCUUUUUCCACCCUUUUAACACCUUGAUAUACCCAAUACGAAUCAGAUAACUUCAUUAUUCAUUCAAACCAUCUCAAGAGCUAAGGUUUCUCCCUCAAGAACAAAUCCAAAUCUUCUUUUAAGAAAUUCAAGAAUCCUCCAUAGAUUUUUACAAAUUGAGUUAAGAUUCAAGGUCCCAAGUCAAAGGCUUUAAGAACCCUCCCCCAAGAGUAAGAAAAAGAGUAUCAAACAAGUUUGUUCAUCUAAGUCACAAUCUAAGGUAUGUGGGGUUUGUAUAAGGACAUUUCUUUCGUCUUUGUGCCCAAAAGUUGUUUUAAAUACAAGAAUAUAUGAUUUUUCAUGAUUUCUUAUGAAAUUGAAGUAUGGGUUUAUACUCUAUGUUGUUAUUCCUUGAGAUUUUAAUAGCUCCAAUGUUCUAGAAAUUGAAGUACAUGAGUAUGUUGAGAUUUUAAAACAAAUUGCUGAAAAUUUCAGAUUUCUAUAUGAUUUAUGAAUCCCUAUGACAUCUAGUAUGCAUUUUGAUGUCUUAACUUGAGAUUUGAUUAUCGGUCAUUAAGCCCUACUUGAGAUUUACAAUUUUAUGAACUUUUGUGCUACAAGCACCCGUGAAUUGAGUACUUUGAUAUUAUUGAGAACGAUUUGGCCUUUUGGUCAUAAUAAAGUCUAAAUUCACAUUGAGUAUGAUUUAAAGCAAAUAGAAAUAUGUUUUGGUCUUCAUUAUAGACCCUUGAGUUAUUUUGAGGUGGAUUUUCUAAGAGUUUUGAGCUGAGUAUGGGAGUAGUAUUUAGCACCGAGUUGGGUAUGAUUCCAAGGUCUCAUAACCCUAAACUACGUGCUACUGUAGGUUCAAGAUUUAUGGGCCCAAGGCCGAGACAGUGAUCACUAAAGAUGAGUCUCUACUCCGAUGGCAAGGAUAGAACAGCUCUCCCCAACGUGGGCGAGACAUUGGAAUCCAUGUAGCUCACAUGGUUUAUGUCGGUUAAAAGAAACUCUCAAAGUUAUAUAAUCCCGAGUUCCAAGUGUCCCGAGUCUGAAAGAGUUUUAGAGUUCCCAAGGGUUGAAGUUCCUAAAAGUUCUAAGUCCUUAAGUUUUACAGAAGUUUUACUCUCCAUGAGAUAAAAGCAUGUGAUUGAAAAGUAUUGUUUAAAGUUCCUUUAGCCUUCAAGUAUUGAGAAUAAGAGGAUUGUAGAGAUUUUAAAAUUAAGUAUAAUGGCUCACAAGAUUUGUGUUACAUGCUUCACUAUUCAUGAUUCAUGAGUUUUACAUUUUAGACUUAUUCGAGCUAUGUGAGUCAUUCUUAUUUUCAUGCAUGAUUUUAUUAAAGAUUAAUGAUAUUGUUUUAUAUAAAUGCAUGCACCCCCAUAUACUCAGUUCGUUCCCAAAGUGUUGAUCCACAUAUACGUCUAUGUGAUGUAGGUCCAGGUGCUCAGUCUUAGCAGUGAAUGUAAUUCUCGAGUGCCUUUGCCUACAUCCCACAGUUGGUGAGUCCUCAUGGUUCGAGGACCUACUUUUCUUAGAUUCCCAGUUGUCAUUAUUUUUAUAUCAGUUCGAGUCGGUUGGGGGUUUGUCCCAAUGGGUUUUCAGUUUGAGUAGUAGAGGCUUUGUUAGACAAGACUAGCAGUUGUGUUUUAGACUUUCAGUAUAUUAUAUUUCAGACUAUGUUUUCCAGUUAUUUCAGUUUUGAGAUAAUAUGUUAUAACCUUAUUGCUUGACUUGAUAUCCCAAAGUAAGAGAUAGAGAUAGUAGCAGGCUCGAAGGGUUAGCUUGGGGCUACUUGUAGCCUUAAGCACCGUGUGAUGCACCGAAAUGAGAUUUUGGGGCGUUACAAAAGCCUUAUUAAAGAAUAGAAACAACGAAAUCUUACGUAUGGUGAAAGAUGUCCCUCAAAGCGUGUGAUGGUCUUUGAAAUUGAAACGAUCUCUAACAUCCACAAUAGUUGAGAUAUAAUAUUUGAUAAGUUUAAAUUUAAUUGAGCAAAAGAUACGGAUGAUUGUAUAUUGCAUACAACUAUACGUAUUUGAGGCUGAAGCAUGCACGAACCACAAUGACUCUAUCUUCUUUAUAGUACAAUAAUGAAGUACACAUGAAUCACCAUGAUUCUAUCUCCUUUAUAGUACAAUAAUAUAAUUAAAUUAACAUAACGAAUGUGAAUAAUAUCAAAUUAAAAAGAACAUAACACUAAAGUAGGACUACAUUUGUUGUCACCGAUAUACCUCUUCAAUACAUUCAUAUAUAGUUUCUGAAAGACAGAUUUUUUGUAAAAUCAAAAUCACUAUACUCUUUCUUUCCUCUUUUUUUUUUUUUUUGCCUGUGUUUAAAAGAGAUAAAUUGUUGACUUUUCUUUGAACUGUGCUAUUUCUUGUAAAACUCUUUUGGUUUGUCUUUUUUAUCAAAAAAAAUUUCCUUACUGAAUAUUCAAGUAGUAUUUUUCAAACGAAUUAGUCCUAGUAAAUUGGACUUCUUUUUCUUUUAUCAUAUAUACGCCCAAUAUUUUAGGAAAAGUGAAAAGGCACCAUAACAAANNNNNNNNNNUCAGCAGGAGCAAUUUUCUUUGGGAGAAAAAUUAAUGAACGAAUUAGUCCUUGUAAAUUGAAAUUUUUUUUCUUUUACCAUAUGUACGUCCAUUAUUUUAGGAAAAGUGAAAAGUCACGGGAACAAAAAAGAAUUUCAGCUGGAGUAAUUUUUUUUUGGAGAAAAAUUAAUGUGAGGAAAAAAGUAAAAAAAAUUAUUUUGUCUAUUACGAAUUAUUUUAGUGAAAAGAAAAAAGUUAAACAAUAAUUUAAAAUUAUAGACAAAUAAAAAUAUAAAAUUAACAUUACUUUUAUAGAAAUUAAAAAAAGUUAUGGACCAAGCCUAUUUUAUCAGUACGUUUGAUAUGAAUUUUGGCCUAUUUUUUGGUUCAAGUUUUUUUAAGACAUUUGUUAUGAAUUUUUGCCUAUUUUUUAGGGAUCAAGCCUGUUUGAAAAAAGAAUUUUUUACCUUUUUUUUUAUUUGUUAUAACACAAAAAUGACACAAAAAGGAUGUAUAAGAAUUUUUUUAAAGAUAAAGUAAUAAAGUAAAGGAGCGGAAAAAAGCUAAAUUAGGACAUUUAUUUUUGAAACAUUUUAAGAAUAUAAUAUUAUUAAUAUUUUAAUAUAUGUUAGUGUUUGUGUGUAAUUGUAAUUUAAUCGGGAAGACUAUUUUCUUAAAUUAAAGAGCAAAAUUCUACAAUUGAAUUAAGGAAAAAAAAAGUAUAUACCAGUAUGGGAAAAAGAGACAAAAAUAAAAGAUAAAAUCCUCAUUCCUAAGGUUUUAGUUUAUUUAAUUUUGAUAAAUAAUUUCUUAAAAAAAAAAAUCUGCCAUAUUUAGUUUUUUUUUUUUAUGAAAAAGUUUUAGAAUUUUAUAUAAAAAAAAGCUUUAAAACUUUAUUAAUAUCCUACUUUUUUUUAUUCUUCCACAAAGAUUGAUUGCUCCUUAACAACGUGAGUUCUUCAAACUAUUAUUUUAUAGCAUGUGAUAUAUAAUAUUUUCUUUAAUUUGUUUAGUUCAUCAUUUCUUUUGUUUUAAUUUUUUUUAAUAUGAUUUUGAAAGAAUUUUGUAAUGACCAUCCAAUUCAAUUUCUUUUCGAAAUAAGAGAUCGUGAUUACUACUGCUUCAGGUUAUUACGUAUGUUUUCAACAAGGAUUUAUAUGAACUUGAUAUUUUUUACUUAUGAAUCAUAUUUACAUUAAAUUUUUAUUAAAAUUUUAAAAUAAAAUGUAAGGAACAAGAUGCUUGAUUUUAAAGACUUAAUAAACAACUGAUUUGAAAGAUAGUAGUUUUGUCAGAAACCAAGUUUAAGUACAAUCAUAUUACUUGUCAACUUAGCUUCUGAUAAUUUCAUUUAAUAUCAAAUAAUCUUUGUAUAAUAAAUAAUUUUAAUUUUGAAGGGUCUAAAUUUUUAAUCUAUUAUUUUCUUAGUAUUUAACAUUUUGAAAUUAAUUAAAAUAAUUAAAUUUUAAUUUUAAAUAAGCAAAGGCUCCAGUGCGAGGCACAUGCAUGCUUUUAAAUAAUUUAUUUAUUUAUUUAUUUAUUAAUUCGGUAUUUUUAAAAAAUAAUAUCAAAGAGAGACAGAGAUAGUAGCAGGCUCGAAGGGUUAACUUGGGGCUACUUGUAGCCUUAAGUACCGUGUGACGCACCGGGAUGAGAUUUCGGGGCGUUACAAAAGCCUUAUUAAAGAAUAGAAACAAUUAAAUCUUACAUAUGGUGAAAGAUGUCCCUCAAAGCGUGUGAUGGUCUUUGAAAUUGAAACAAUCUCUAACAUCUACGAUAGUUGAGAUAUAAUAUUUGAGAAGUUUAAAUUUAAUUGAGCAAAAGAUGCGGACGAUUGUAUAUUGCAUACAACUAUACGUAUUUGAGGCUGAAGCAUGCACGAACCACCAUGACUCUAUCUUCUUUAUAGUACAAUAAUGAAGUACACACGAAUCACCAUGAUUCUAUCUCCUUUAUAGUACAAUAAUAUAAUUAAAUUAACAUAACGAAUGUGAAGAAUAUCAAAUUAAAAAGAACAUAACAGUAUAGUAGGACCACAUUUAUUGUCACCGAUAUACCUCUUCAAUACAUUCAUAUAUAGUUUCUGAAAGAUAGAUUUUUUGUAAAAUCAAAAUCACUCUACUCUUUCUUUCCUCUUUUUUUUUUGCCUGUGCUUAAAAGAGAUAAAUUGUUGACUUUUCUUUGAACUGUGCUAUUUCUUGUAAAACUCUUUUGGGUUGUCUUUUUUAUCAAAAAUUUUUUCCUUACUGAAUAUUCAAGUAGUAAAUGAAUUAGUCCUAGUAAAUUGGACUUCUUCUUCUUUUAUCAUAUAUAUGCACAAUAUUUUAGGAAAAGUGGAAAGUCACCAUAACAAAAAAGAAUUUCAGUAGGAGUAAUUUUUUUGGAAAUUAAUGAACGAAUUAGUCCUUAUAAAUUGGACUUUUUUUAUUUUACCAUAUGUAUGCGCAUUAUUUUAGGAAAAGUGAAAAGUCACGGGAACAAAAAAGAAUUUCAGCUAUAGUAAUUUUUUUUGGAGAAAAAUUAAUGUGAGAAAAAAAGUAAGAAAAAUUAUUUUGUCUAUUACAAAUUAUUUUAGUGAAGAGCAAAAAGUUAAACAAUAAUUUAAAAUUAUAGACAAAGAAAAAUAUAAAAUUAACAUUACUUUAAUAGAAAUUAAGAAAAGUUAUGGACCAAGCCUAUUUUAUCAGCACACUUGAUAUGGAUUUUGGCCUAUUUUUUGGUUCAAGUUUUUUUAAGACAUUUGUUAUGAAUUUUUGCCUAUUUUUUAGGGAUCAAGCCUGUUUGAAAAAGGAAAAUUUUACCUUUUUUGGGGGGGGAUCAAGUCUAUUUUAGUUAAAAAAUAUUUUUUUGCCUUUUUUUUUUUUUAAGGUUUGCCGUGAUUUUAUUUUUUUUGAUUUGCUAUAGCUUUUUGCCUAUUUUUAGGGUAAGUAGUUGGAAAAGUUUUUUAUUUUUAACUAUUUAUGAAUUUAAUUAUAAUAAAAAAUUCCUUCCCUAUUUAAUUUUUAAUAUCAUUAAAAUAAUUAAAAAAAUAAAAGACAUUUUAUCUAAAGCAAAGACUUUUAAUAAAGGGCAAAAAGUUCAAAUUACUUUUCUAAGGGUCUUUACACUUUUAAUAUACUAGUUUAGGUGUACGUGCUUUGCACGUGUAUAUAAUUAAUUAACAAUAAAUGAAUAUCAAAAGAACAAAUUAUUGUGUGUACGUUAUAUUAUUAAGUUAAAAAUUUUAAAAAUCAAAACUAAUUUUAAGACAAAAAAUGUGAAGAACAUGAUAAUUCACCAUACAUUUUCUAAUGUCUCUUUUAAUUAUUAUAGACAUGUGAAAUAUAUUAAAAUAUACUUUAAUCUUGUAGUUUUAAAUACACUGUAUGAAAAUUUAGAAAUAGAGUAUUUUAAAAAAAGAUAUUGAAAUGAACUAAAAAAAAGGUAAGAUAAACAAUUGAAUUCAUGUAUUUUUUUCGUAUGCUAAAGAAAUAAAAUAUUUGUGUGCUAGAGUAUGUAUGUAUACAGGAAGACAAUUCUUUGUGUAAUUUCUUUUACACCGACCACUAAUUGAGCCAACAAAUACUUUUUUUUUAGAGUUUUUUAACGUUGCAUGCCAUAUAGAGUUUUAAAAUAGUACAACUCAUUUAGGUACACAUUUAUAGUGCUUUAUAGCUAAUUAAGAUUUAAUAUCCUUUUUUUAAUUGCUUUCAAAGUUCUAAAUAUUUUUUUAAAAGGUCCAAUUAAAAAAAUAAGAUUAAAUCACAAUUAGUACAAAAUUUUCAAAAAAGUUUAGAUGAAAAUACAUGAAAAAAAUUCAUGAUAUUCAAAAUUAAGGAACAAUAUGGAACAAACUAAAUAACCAUUAUUAUGCCUUAUUUCAGUGCUCAAUUAACGUGAAGUAUCUAACUACAAAAAAAGCAAAUAAGAUCUAUUAGAAAAAUAAUAAUUAGCAUCCUAAUGAUCUAUCUUUAAAUUGUCAGAAUCAUUUAUGAAGGUUCGAAUCAAUUAUUAUACUGUAUUUGUAUUAUUGGACGGAAUUCGCUAUUUAGGAGAAGAAAUCAAUUAAGAAAAAACACUAUAAAAAGUCAAGUUACAAGCCAAACAAUUAAUAAAUAAAAAUCAAAUCUCCUAAAAAUCUAAUCCCAUGAAUAAUCCUCAGAACGUAGUACACGUAGUUUUUUAACCACAAAGCAUAGAUAAAAAAAUCUUUAAUUAAUAAGAUAACUAAUUAUUAUGCAUUCAGAAUGACUUAUCAAUUUUUCGUAACGAUACGACGAUUCGAAUAAUUUAUCCAAAAUCAUAAAUAAGUCAAUUUCAUUACUAAUUAUCAUGAAUUUUGAAUGACCAAUCAAUUUCUCGUGACAAAAUGCAACGAUCUAAAUAAUCUGUUCAAAAUUGUAAAUAAUUCAAUUUCAAAUUACUAAUUGUAUAUGAAAUACUAUAAACAAAAUUCACAAAGAAAUUUCUCAAUUUAUAAUUGUUUAUCAAAAAAUACAUCAUUUAUUAUUAUAAACUUCAAAACCAGUCUAAAAUUUUAGAAAACAUACCUGUGGACAAAUUCAUUACAAGAAUCUUUAAUUUUAAUAAAGAAUAUGAAUGAUAUAUUUAUGAUGGAAAACAUAAGAGAAAGUAAUAAGACAAACACUAAGAUCUAUUAUAAAAGAAAAAUUCGUAAAGAAAGAAAACCUAGAAAUACAAAAGUGAUAAAAUUUAUGAGUGAGAUUGUGCAAUGAUAUUUUAUAUAUAUAUAUAUAUAUAUAGGAGAUCCUAAACCAAAAAGGAAUUAAAAAAGUAAAUAUUGUCUAAACCAAAAAGAAAUUAAAAAAAUAAAUAUUAUAGAUUCCAACAACUAAAAAAAAACCUAAUACAUGAAAACUUUUUAAAGAAAAAGACAAAUAGACUCUACUUUAAGAAAACAUUACGUAAAUAAAAAAUAUAAAAUUUUGUAAAGUAUAAUUAUAGAGCAUUUUAGCAUGGUAACGUGAUUUCGAUAAAUAUGGUAAUUUAAGAAAAAAUAAUAAUUUUGGAAUUUAUGCUCUUAAAAAAUAUUAUAGUAUUUAUACGAUUGUAAGAGUUUUGACUACUAAUAAAAAGAGAAUCUAAAUCUCUAUUUUGGAUCACCUGGUUUUUAAAAAAUUUAAUAAUCAAAAUUUAGUAUAUUUAUUUUAUUAGGAUUCCAUAUAUAUUCUAUUGGUUAUUUCUUUCCAUAUAUUUCAAAAGUCCUUAAUUUCGAUCUCAUAUAGUUUAGGAGUGUUUAAUUUCUAUUCAUAUAUUUUUAGGAGUCCUUAAUUUGAUUAAAUAAUAAUUUUUUUUUAAAAAAAAAAGGUGAAAAGACAAUUUUGUCUAUUGUAGAGACUUUUAAUGAAGGGUAAAAAGUUCAAAUCACUUUUUUAAGGGCCUUCACACUUUUAAUAUAUUAUAGAUAUAGAUAGAUUAUAGAUUAUAGAUAUAGAUUAUAGAUAUAAUGACCCACUUUAAUUGAAAUUUGACGUACUAAGUCAUACUUUUAUGGGGAUUAUAUAUUUGAACAGAGUUUAACCAUUUGAAAGCUUUAUGAAAGGCAAGUUUAUAAAUUGAUGCUUGAGCUUCGAUUUGAGGCAAGUUGUGACUUUCUUAGACUCUUUUUCGAAAUAUUUAUGUGUUGUUAUGUGUAAUGGGAGUAGUGGGAAAUUAGGGUGGGGUGGGGUCCUGUAUAGGUGAAAUGACGAGCAUCUAUGUAAGUCGGUGUUAUUUGAGGGGUUAAAAUAAUUCAAUUGUAUGUCUGAAACUAUUUUUCCCUAUUUGCUAGUACGAUGAACUGAUUUGCUAUGAUAAAUAAAUUAUUUGAAUCGGAGUUGCACACCUACAUAUCAUGCAUUGUAUUUUGCAUGGGGUUGGAGUGCACGCCUGCACAAUAUUAUUUAUUUAUUUAUUGAGGUCGGAGUGCAUUUUUGCACAAUAUAUUUAAUGAGAUCAGAGUGCACGCUUGCACAGUACAUGGACCUUGUGAGUCUUCAUGGGUCUUGACCUUGAAAUCAUUGCUCGAUAGGUGCGUACACAACAUAUGCAUUGCAUUGCAUUCAUUCGUUCCUGGUUCAAAUUAAGUAAGGUGAAAUUGUUGACUUUGUAUUGUUUAUUAACUACUUGACUAUUUAUUACUUGAUUUCGCUACAUUGAGAAAUUCUUGGACUGUAUUACGAUAUUCUUAUGCCUUUUAAACUUUAUUAUUCAGUUAGAGUAUAGUGGCUUUCCUGAGUGCAGGUUGUAUGACUGUUGUAGAUGAUUGACAUGGUGUUACUCGUCACCACUUUGAAUUAGGAUUUGUCGACGACACUUGCUGAGUAUACAUGAUUUCGUACUCACCCUUACUUAUUCUGUACCUUACAUGCAGUUACCGAUCCGACAACCUACGGACAUUGACUCCAGUGGUUCCUUCUUUGCUAGCAUCAUUGAAGAUUCGAGGUAGUUGUUAUUGAUUUUAAAAACUACUGAAAUCUCCUUCAGCCUUAUCUUUAUGCAUUUUUCGCAUUUUAAGAUACUCAAACUUUUCUUUGAUUUUGUAUUUAGUGGCUUGUAUUAGUGGCUUCCAGACCUGGGAUCAUCUAUGUUUUGACUACUAAUCUACAUUUUGAAAUUAUUUGGGAUUUGUUAUGUUGUUAUUUUCCUUCCACGUCUAUAAGUUUGGGAUAUUGUAUUUGGAGUUGAGUUCCUGACUUAUCUAUCACAGAGGGUGGGAUAUGCGCCAUCAUGAUCCCGAAGUCGGACCGUGACACUUAUUCAAACAUAACUUAUCCCAGCAUAACUAAUCCCAACAUAACUUGUUUUCAAACCAAACGACCCCUUACUUUACUUUUACUUACUCCUCCCCAUUUAUGUGUAGGUUGAUCGAGCACGGAGUUUAAGAAUAAAAAAGGACUUGAUAAUUUUUAUUAAAUUAUCCUUUAUUAAAAGAUGUACUGCUACUAUCUUUAAUUAAAUGGGUCCUUAUAAGUGGAACCAAUAAUGAUAAAAGUGAAAUUGUGUCUUUAAACAGUUAUUAAAUAAGAAAAAAUGACAUUCUUUUGGGAUGAAUAAAAAGAAAAUGACGACAUAUAAAAUGGGACGGAAGGAGUAUUAUGGAAGAGUGAAUGAAGAUAUGGGUAUCGAUAUUGUUUGCUUCUAUGUCAUUAUUUAAUUUUAAAUGGUAGUUUAAUUGAUGAUUUACGAUUCUUUUCAUUUUUUAAAUAAAUAAUUUUUGUUUUAAUAAAUACUGAAAAAUUAUACCCUUUGUUCUAAUUUAUGUGGUGUUUUUGAAUUUUAAGAGUUAAAUUUAAAUUUUGAACAAGAAAUAUUUAAGUUCUUAAAAAUAAAAUUUAGAUGUUCGGCACUAUAUAAAAAGCAUUAUAAGUCCCAAUAAUUAAAAGUUUUAAAAUAUUUAAAAAGUGUUUUUACCAGCACUUAAAUUAGAGAUGCAUGUUUUCACAAAAGUGAUAUGAGAAAAUUUUCAAUCACAGUACUUUUUUGUGCAGUUUUUAAAUAUUUAAUAAUUCAAAAAAUUAACCAAAUGAACUUUCGAGAAUUGAAGCAUGACAAAUAUUUUGAAUGGCGGAGCAAUGAGUCACCACCAUAUUUAAAUUAUGUGACUAUUUUUCAAAAACUAUGCAAAUUAAUUUUAAAAAAUCUAUUGGACUUAACCAUGUUACUUUAUAGUUAACUUACUUUUAUUUGUACUACAAAAGAUAUAUAAGAGAAAUUACAAAUAGUUCAAGGCAUUAAAUUAUGAUAAUAAGUUUGUAACUUUUUUUAAUUUUUAUUUUAGUAAUUUCGAAGAGAACAGUUAAUAAAAUAAAACAGUAUUAGUAUAAUUUUUAUCUUUCAUUUCAAGUAUGAAAGCUAAUGUCGAUUCUAUUAGGUUGUACUUGAAAUUUAGGGCAAUAACAAAUGAUAUUUAAAUUAAUUGAAUUAUAAUUAUCUUUGUUAUUAAAUUAACUUACUUUUUCUUGCUAGAUCGUGCUUGUACAGGCUUACAUCGUCUAGUAAACUAUAUUAUGGGAAUUUUUGUUAUUUAUUGUUAUUAUAAAAUCUUUAUAUUUAAAUUUUGAAUUAUAAAAUAGAAAAUGUAGAAUUAACAAUAUAUUUGAUCAUUUAUAUUUUAUUCAUCAAGUAAAAUUCAUAAAAGUAAACAAUGCAUUUGUCAUCAAACAAAAACUAAGCAAAGCUAAGUAAGAUUAUGUUGUCUUUAAUGGUAUGGAUAUUUCAAUGACUUAAUGCUUGAAAAACUAACAAAUGCAUGUAAAAUUCGUUUAACGAAAUUAAUCUUCUCUUGUAUACGUUUCACGAAAUAGUAAAAAGGUACUUUAUUCGCCUUAAAUUAAAUUAAUUACUUGACAUAUUAGUUUUGUACAAUUCUUAAGUAGAAAUUAAUAAGAAAUGCAAAUCGAUUAAUAUAAUAAUCUUAAUUUGAUGAAUUUUCUUCAAUUAAGAUAGUAUAGUUAAAAAAAUAAUUAAUUAUUGUUGUUACAUUUUAAUAUUAUUGUAUUGUAUUAAAGUGUGAUUUAAUACACUGGCAGUAAGUGGCCUUAAUAAACUAUUCACUUUUUUUAGGGUUUAUCUGUCUUUAUUAUUAUUAUAUUGAUUAGACACAUAUUAAGAAACAAUAAAUACCGUAAAGUUGAAGUAUGUCAUAACAAAUUUGAUCAUAGUUUAGGAGGAUACUAGAUGCUUUACUCUUUAUUUUUACUUUUUAUAUUUAGACUUGUCUCAACCAUUAAAAAUAAUGAUUGACAUGAUUAUUUUUAUUUUACUACUUAUAUUAAUUAAUAUUUAAUACUUCUUUUUAGAGAUAGGCAUAAAAUACCAAAAAUGAAUUACUGAAUCAAUAAAACAAAUUUGACAGUGGUAUUUGAGAAGUAGGUAUUUGAUAGGUAUUUGAGAGUAAAAAUUCUAAAAUUAUGAUAUUUGAUUCGAUUUACUACAAGAUAUUAAUAUCAUUUAAUAAUUGAUAUUAACAGAAUAUCGAAUUAUUAUUAAAUAAAGAUCCACCCCAUACACACGUACAUAUAUAAUAUUUAAUUGAUUCAUUGUUAGCCAAAGAAGCUCAAAGGUCAAGAGAAUCACUCUCCGUUCUUUACUUCUACCUUAAAAGAUCAUUAGUCAAAAGCUCUGAUCGGAUCAAUCCUAUUUACUUGGAUAUAUUUGUAGCUGCCUUCGAAAUGAGUAGGUUGUUUUUUCAAAAAUUCAGUUAGACAAAAUAAAAAUAUGACAUUACUAAAUACUAUAUCAUAGUUUAAUUUAUAUUACUGAAUCAAAGAUUAAAAAUAUGAUAUUUGAUAUCUACUUUUAAUUAUCGGUUAUUGAAUUACUGAAAUCGUUUACCGAUAUUGUAUCAUCAAACCGUAUACCAAAUGCUCACUCCUGCUCCCCCCAAUAAAAAAUAAUUUAGCAAAUAAAUAAUUAAUUUCAAGGAUUAAAUAUGAAAAAGAACUAAUUAUUUUUCUUAAUAUGUUACAAGUAACAAAUAAAAGUGAAAAUCUAUUUUUAAAAUGUUGGUCAAAGAAAAAAUAUCAGAGCAAGUACUUCCUACAUUUCAUUUGUUUAGCCUACUUUUUUUAAUUCAUCUAAAAAAGUCUAACCUAUUUUCUACUUUAGCACUUCUUUAAUUUCAAUUUUUCACAAGUAGUAUUUAAAUAAAUUUAAAAAGUAUUUUGUUACAUUUGACAUAUCUUUAUCUUUAAUUUAAAAUUCAAAAUCUAUUUAAAUUUUUACACUUCAUGUCAAGUCAAAAUAGACCAAAAAUAUUGAAAUGGACAAAGUAAAAAUAAUUUCAUUAUAUCAUUAUUUGAAUAUAAUAAAUUUAAUAUUUUAAAAAUUGCAUCUGAUAAUGAAUACUACACUAUAGCAGCAAGGUAAAAUGGAUAGAAAUAAUAACUUAUCUCUUUAAUUUUUUAAAUUAGACAAGUAAAAUUAAACAUUUAUUAUUAAUACAACAAACAUACAAAGAUGGAUAAAGUAAGUAGAGAAAAUUGAAGGAAAUGUGUCUUUUAAGUCUUGAAUGAAAGAUUGGUGACAUUGACCAAUUUAAAGGGUCACACAUAAUUAAAAAACUUGAUUAGGUUAAUUGUAGACUUGAUUAAUAUUUUCUAAACUUUUUAAUCUUUUCAAAAAUACAAAUUAACCCACACCCAUAAAACUUUCCUCCCUUUGCAAAUCAAUCUCUCUCUCUUCUCUCUUUUUUUCUAUAGUUUCUCUCUCUAACUUCUCCCAACCAACAACUUUUCAAAUUUGUCCCUUCAAUUUUGUGCAACUUCAACCUCUGACAACAAAUAGUUUUGAGUUCUUACCCGUUCCUUUUUUACUUUCAACUGUCGAUCGACGUGACAACAUUCUCCGGCGACAACAACUUCGAGUUUUUCAUCGUUUCUUUUCGAUUUUCACAAGUAAAAAAUUAGGGCUUUUAAGUUAUGACAAAAUGAGGAACUUGAUUUGUUGGUUUUUGUUAUUUUUUUAUGUUUUUAAAUUUUUUUUAAUGUUUGUUAUUUUUUAGUUGAAUUUCUCAUCUUGAUGUAUCUGCUGCUGCUGUUUUUUAAUAAUGGAUAAAACAUGUAACGUGAAUUCAAUAGAUGAGUAUUUGUUGCAACAUAUAUGACUAAUAUGUUGCACAGAUUAGUAAUAUAUUGCAACAUAUAAGACUAAUUUGUUGCAACAUAUAUGACUAAUUUNNNNNNNNNNNNNNNNNNNNNNNAGUAAUAUGUUGCAACAUAUAUGACUAAUCUAAUUCAACAGAUUACUCAUCUAUUAGAUUUGUUUUAUAGUGUUGUAAUAUGAAUCCAACAUAUGGGUCAUCUGUUGCAACAUAUUAGUCAUAUAUUGUAACAGAUUACUCAUUUAUUGCAAUAGAUGACUCAUAUGUUGGAUUCAUGUUGCAGGUUCUAUCCAUUGUAGCAGUAGCAGAUACACCAAAUAAGAAAUUCAACAAAUAUUAUAAUUUUACUUACAAAAUAAGCUAUGAAGUAAUGUCCAAGAGAUAUACGAACAAAAUUUGACCUAAUUUUUUUUUUUAAUUUUUUCAACAGGGGCACAACGAAUAAGUAAAACAAAUGAAAAAUUUUAUGAAACAGGUAAAGAAGACAAAAAUAAUAUACCAUACAUCAAAUGCAAAAGGAUCAAGGGGACAAACAUUUGAGUUCUCCUAAAAACGUAAGUUCCCUAGUAUUUUAAUUACUUUCUAAUAGUCGACUCAUCUGUUACAAUAGAUUUUCUAUCUGUUUGAUAAUUUCCAACAGAUGAAUCAUCUGAUGCAACAUGCUAGUCAUCUGUUGAUUCAAAUUAAGCAAUUAUUAGUAAUAACUAAAUUGAUUUAGCUAAAAUUAAAGACGUCUCUACGACAAUGGGACAAACAUUUGUGUUCUCCUAAAAAUAUUUGAGUUCCCUAGUAUUUUAAUUAUUUUUCAACAGGUUAUCUAUUUAUUACAACAAGUUAGUCAUCUAUUGCAACAGAUGUUUAUAACAGGUUAGUCCUUUGUUUAUUCAAAUUAAGUAAUUAUUAAUAAUAACUAAAUUAAGUUAAUUAAAGUUAAAGAAGAGUCUUUAAUACAAGACCUUAGACAAGGAGACAAAUGUUUGAGUUCUCCUAAAGACAUUUGAGCUUUAGUAUUUUAAAUUACUUUUCAACAUAUAUUGAACUCGAAACCAAAAUGAGUCACGGAAUUAAAAAAGUGACCAAAAUAGGCCACCUAUUUAAAAAGUUACCAAAAUAGGCUAAACGUAAUAAUUUAUUACGUUUUAUACUUUUUUUUUAACGGUCAACUAAUGGAGUUGACUUUUACAAAAAAACGUAAGAAUUUCUUACAUUUUACAUUUUUUUGUAAAACGUAAGAAAUUCUUACGUUUUAUAAAAAAAUUAUAAAACGCAAGAAUUUCUUAUGUUUUACAUGAUAACCAAAGAAUAAAAUACAAUGAAUUGUCAAAUCAAUUAAAAAGGUACUAAAAAAAAGAGUUGUUCAACGUAAUAAAAAGUUACGUUCUUAACUUUUUUAUAGCAGUGGUCCCCCANNNNNNNNNNNNNNNNNNNNNNNNNNNNNNNNNNNNNNNNNNNNNNNNNNNNNNNNNNNNNNNNNNNNNNNNNNNNNNNNNNNNNNNNNNNNNNNNNNUAUUAGUUAAAUUUAUUUAUAUUUUACAUGUAGUUCAAAUAAUUUAUUUUUUCUAAUAAAUUUUUUACGUUUUACAUAAAAAAAAAUAAAAAAAGAAGUAUCAAUUACCUCAUUAACUUAACAAUUUUUUCAUAUUUAUUUUAUAUCAAAAAAUAAUCAUUUCUAUCCUUAAUUAUCCGAUUUUUCUUUAAAAAAAAUUAUACUCUUGAGUUUUUCUCUACUCCAAAAUAGUGAAAUGUUGAAUUAUCGUCGAUUAAAUAUGCUACUAUAUACAAGAAUUAUAUUUUUUUAGGAGUGUUCCUAAAAAAAUAUAUUUUCUUAUAUUAAUUUAGGAGUGUUCCUAAAUUAACCUGUAAUUUUUUACUCCACUAAUUAUAAUAUGAAAUGUAUUUGUGCAUGUGAGUCUCUUCAAUAUCCUAAUCGAAAUACUAUUUGAAAACUAUGAUGAUCACUAUCCGAAAAAAUUAAUUUCAUAUUUUCAACACACCAAAAAAAUAUAAUUCUUGUAUAUAGUAGAAUAUUUUAUCGAUGAUAAUUCAAUAUUUCACUAUUUUGGAGUAGAGCAAAACUCAAAAGUAUAUAUUUUUUUUAGAGAGAAUCGAAUAAUUAAGGAUAGAAGUGAUUAUUUUUUUAUAUAGAAUAAAUAUAAGAAAAUUGUUAAGUUAAUGAGGUAAUUGAUACUUCUAUUUUUUAAAUUUUUUUAUGUAAAACGUAAAAAUUUAUUACAUAGAGGAAAAAAUAAAUUAUUUGAACUACAUGUAAAAUAUAAAUAAAUUUAACUAAUCAAAAAAUUCAUAAUUAUCAUAUGUAAAAGAGGAAAAAGUAGAAGUGAUGGGACAUUUGUGGAAAAAGGAAUUGUGGGUGGGGGACCACUGUUAUAAAAAAGUUUAAAACGUAACUUUUUGUUAUGUUGAACAACUCAUUUUUUAGUAUCUUUUUAAUUGAUUUGAUAAUUCACUAUAUUUUUUCCUCGAUCAUCGUGUAAAACGUAAGAAAUUCUUACAUUUUAUAUAUUUUUUUUAUAAAAUGUAAGAAUUUCUUACGUUUUACAAAAAAAAUGUAAAACGUAAGAAAUUCUUACGUUUUUGUAAAAGUCAACUCCGUUAGUUGAUCGUUAAGAAAAUAGAAAACGUAAUAAAUUAUUACGUUUAGUCUAUUUUGGUAACUUUUUAAAUAGAUGACCUAUUUUGGUCACUUUUUAAAUUUUGUGGCUCAUUUUGGUUCUGCGUUCACAUAUAUCUUGUCUAUUUAAUAAUUUCCAAUAAAUGAGUCAUAUGUUGCAACAAUUUAGUCAUCUGUUGCAACAUAUGUCUAUAUUUGUUGGAUAAUUUCCAAUAGAUGAGUUAGCUAUUGCCACAGGUUAGUCAUUUGUUGCAACAAAUGUCUAUAUAUAUUUGGUUAUUUUCAACAAAUGUCAUUAACUGUUUGGUCUUUUCCAGCAGACUACUCAUCUAUUGCAACAUGUUAAUUGAAAUCGUAAUUGAACUUAUCAAUUCAUCUUUAAUUUUAGUUAAAUCAAUGUUGUUAUUACUAAUAAUGUCUUAAUUUAAUUCAUUUCAAAUAAAAUUGGUCAAUUAACAUUUACUCAAAACGAAUACACUUAGAUGAUCAUGUAAUUACUAUGAGAUUAAUUGAAAUCGUAAUUACAUUAUCAAUUCAUCUUUAAUUUUAGUUAAAUCAAUUUAGUUAUUACUAAUAAUUNNNNNNNNNNNNNNNNNNNNNNNNNNNNNNNNNNNNNNNNNNNNNNNNNNNNNNNNNNNNNNNNNNNNNNNNNNNNNNNNNNNNNNNNNNNNNNNNNNNNNNNNNNNNNNNNNNNNNNNNNUAAUUCAUCUUUAAUUUUAGUUAAAUCAAUAUAGUUAUUUCUAAUUAUGGAUUGGUUUGAAUCAUUUCGAAUAAAAUUGGUCAAUUGAUCACUCUACUCAGGACGACACACUUAGUUGAUUGUGUAAUUACCAUGAGAUUAAUUGAAAAAUUGAACUUAUAAAUACUAGUUAAAUCAAUUUAGUUAUUACUAAUAUAAUGACUUGAUAUGAAUCAAUAGAUGACUAAGAUGUUGCAAAAGAUGAGCAAUCUGUUGAAAAUGACCAAACAAAUAAAGACAUCUGUAGCAACAGAUUAGUCACCUAUUGCAACAAAUUAGUAAUCUGUUGGAAAUAACAAACAGAUAAAGUCAUAUGUUGCAACAGAUUGGUCAUCUGUUGGAAAUGACCAACAGAUAAAGACAUUUGUUACAACAGAUGACUAAUCUAUGGCAACAUAUGUGUAUAUCUGUUUGAUAAUUUGAAACAAAUGACUCAUCUGUUGCAACAGAUUAAAUCUGUUGCAAUAGGUUAUACACUUAAAUGAUCAUAUAAUUACUAUGAGAUUAAUUGGAAUUGUAAUUAUUAAAUUAAUUUGGCUAUUACUACUAAUGGCUUAAUUUGAAUCAUUUCAAAUAAAAUUAGUCAAUUGAUCACUCUGCUCAAAACGAACACACUAAGAUGAUCGUGUAAUUAAAAUGAGAAUAAUUGAAAUUGUAAUUGAACUUAUCAAUUCAUCUUUAAUUUUAAUUAUAUCAAUGUAGUUAUUACUAAUAAUAUCUUAAUUUGAAUCAUUUCAAAUAAAAUUAGUCAAUUGAUCACUCUGCUCAAAACGAACACACUAAGAUGAUCGUGUAAUUAAAAUGAGAAUAAUUGAAAUUGUAAUUGAACUUAUCAAUUCAUCUUUAAUUUUAAUUAUAUCAAUGUAGUUAUUACUAAUAAUAUCUUAAUUUGAAUCAUUUCAAAUAAAAUUAGUCAAUUGAUCAUUCUACUUAAGACGAAAUACUUAGUUGAUCAUGUAAUUACUAUAAAAUUAAUUCAAAUUGUUAGUCAACUUACUAAUUCAUCCUUAAUUUUAGUUAAAUCAAUUUAGUUAUUUCUAAUUAUGGUUUGGUUUUAAUUAUUUCAAAUAAAAUUAAUCAAUUGAUCACUCUACUCAGGACGAACACACUUAGUUGAUAGUGUAAUUACCAUGAGAUUAAUUGAAACUGUAAUUGAACUUAUUAAUUCAUGUUUANNNNNNNNNNNNNNNNNNNNNNNNNNNNNNNNNNNNNNNNNNNNNNNNNNNNNNNNNNNNNNNNNNNAAACAGAUAAAGACAUCUGUUGGAAAUGACCAAACAAAUAAAGACAUUUGUUGGAAAUGACCAAACAAAUAUAGACAUAUGUUGCAACAGAUGACUAACCUGUUGCUAUAAAUGACUCAUCUAUUGAAAAUUAUCAAACAUAUAGGAUAUAUAUUGAAAAAUAAUUUAAAAUACUAAAGCUCAGAUGUUUUUAAGAGAGCUCAAAUGUUUGUCCCCUUAUCUAAGGUCUUGUCUUUAAUUUUAGUUAAAUCAAUUUAGUUAUUACUAAUAAUUGCUUAAUUUGAAUCAUUUUAAAUAAAAUUUAUUAAUUGAUCAUUUUAUUAAGAACGAAUACAUUAAUUAAAAUUGUAAGUGGACUUAUCAAUUCAUCUUUAAUUUAGUCAAAAUUAAUUAUUUAUUACUAAUAAUGACUUAAUUUGAAUCACUUGAAAUAAAAUUGGUCGAUUGAUCACUCUCCUUGAGACGAAUACACAUAGUUGAUCAUGUAAUUACUAUGAGAUUAAUUGAAAUUGUAAGUGAACUUAUCAAUUCAUCUUUAAUUUUAGUUAUAUCAAUUUAGUUAUUACGAAUAAUGGCUUAAUUUGAUUCAUUUCAAAUAAAAUUGGUCAAUUGAUCACUCUAAUCAUGAUGAAUACACUUAGUUGAUAAUUUAAUUACUAUGAGAUUAAUUAAAAUUAUAAGUUUAUCUUUAAUUUUAGUUAAAUAAAUUUAGUUAUUUCUAAUAAUAGCUUAAUUUGAAUUUAUUUCAAAUAAAAUUAGUCGCUUGAUCACUCUACUCGGGAUGAAUACACUUAGUUAAUCAUGUAAUUACGAUGAGAUUAAUUGAAAUUGUAAGUGAACUCAUUAAUUCAUCUUUAAUUUUAGUUAAAUCAACAUAGUUAUUACAAAUAAUGACUUAAUUUGAAUCAUUUAAAAUAAAAUUGAUCAAUUAAUUAUUCUACUAAGGAUGAAACACUUAAUUGAUCAUUUAAUUACUGAGAUUAAUUAAAAUCGUAAUUGAACUUACUAAUUCAUCUUUAAUUUUAGUUAAAUCAAUGUAGUUAUUUCUAAUAAUGGUUUAAUUUGAAUUAUUUCACAUAAAAUUUGUCAAUUAAUCAUUCUACUCAGUACGAAACACUUAAUUGAUCAUGUAAUUACUAUGAAAUUAAUUGAAAUCGUAAUUGAACUUACUAAUUCAUCUUUAGUUUUAGUUAAAUCAAUAUAGUUAUUUCUAAUGAUGACUUAGUUUGAAUCAUUUCAAAUAAAAUUGGUCAAUUGAUCACUCUACUCAGGACGAACAUACUUAGUUGAUCGUGUAAUUACCGUGAGAUUAAUUGAAACUGUAAUUGAACUUAUUAAUUCAUAUUUUAUUUUAGUAAUCAAUUUAGUUAUUACUAAUAAUGACUUAAUGUAAAUCAAUAGAUGACUAACAUGUUGCGACAGAUGAGUAAUCUGUUGGAAAUGAUCAAACAAAUAAAAAUAUCUGUUGAAAAUGACCAAACAGAUACAGACAUCUGUUGCAACAAAUGACUCACUUGUUGCAACAACUAAUUCAUCUAUUGAAAAUUAUCAAACAGAUAUAGACAUCUGUUGCAACAGAUGACUAAGUUGUUGCAACAUAUGACUCAUCUGUUGAAAAUUACUAAAUAGACAAAAUAUGUGUUGAAAAACAAUUUAAAAUACUAAAACUUAAAUGUUUUUUAGGAGAACUCAAAUGUUUUACCCCUUGUCUAAGGUCUUGUCUUCAAUUUUAGUUAAUUUAAUUUAAUUAUUAUUAAUAAUUGCUUAAUUUGAAUCAACAAAUGACUAACCUGUUAUAAGCAUUUAUUGCAACAGAUGACUAACUUGUUGCAAUAAAUAGGUGAUNNNNNNNNNNNNNNNNNNNNNNNNNNNNNNNNNNNNNNNNNNNNNNNNNNNNNNNNNNNNNNNNNNAUUUUUAGGAGAACUCAAAUGUUUGUCCCAUUGUCUUAAAGACUUGUCUUUAAUUUUAGCUAAAUCAAUUUAGUUAUUACUAAUAAUUGCUUAAUUUGAAUCAACAGAUGACUGAUAUGUUGCAACAGAUGAUUCAUCUGUUGGAAAUUAUCAAACAGAUAGAAAAUCUGUUAUAAUAGAUGGGCUAUCCAUUAGAAAACAAUUAAAAUACUAGGGAACUUAAAUAUUUUUAGGAGAACUCAAACGUUUGUCCCCUCGAUCCUUUUGCAUUUGAUGUAUGAUACACUAUUUUUGUCUUCUUUACCUGUUUCAUGAAAUUUUUCAUGUGUUUCACUUAUUCGUUGUGCCCUUGUUUAAAUUUUUAGAAUUUUUUUAGGUCAAAUUUUGUUCGUAUAUCACUUGGACAUUACUUCAUAGGUGAUUUUGUAAGUAUGAUUAUGAUUUCUGUUGAAUUUUUUAUUUGGUGUAUUUACUACUGCUACAAUGGAUAGAACCUGCAACAUGAAUUCAACAUAUGAGUCAUUUAUUGCAAUAAGUGAGUAAUAUGUUGCAACAGAUGACCCAUAUGUUGAAUUCAUGUUACAACAUUAUAAUACAAAUCCAACAGAUGAGUAAUCUGUUGCAACAGAUUAGUCAUAUAUAUAAUCUGUUGCAACAGAUUAGUUAAUAUGUUGCAACAGAUUAGUCAAUAUGUUGCAACAGAUUACUCAUCUGUUGCUCAUCUGUUGGAUUCACGUUAUAUGUUUUAUCUACUGUUGAAAAAACAGCAGUAACAGAUACCCCCAGAUGAGAAAUUCAACUAAAAAUUAUAAUUUUACUUACUAAAAUCACGUAUAAGUAAUUCCCAAGUGAUAUACGAAUAAAAUUUGACCUAAAAAAAUUUGAUCAAGUAGCAAUAGUAGCGGUAACAACAAUGUUCAACAACAAGAAGAUGAUGAUCAUGAACAUGAAAAGAUGAUAAUGAAGAACAAGAUGAUGAUAAUGAAGAAGAAGAUGAUGAAUAAAGCAGCAACAACAAUAAUGAACAACAAAAAUCACGAAGAAAGAAAAACUCCAAUAAAUGAGAAGAGAGAGAAACGUGUCUUUUUUCCCUCCAUUUCUAGUUAUAUUAGGUUUUACAUUGUACCAAAGUGUAAAUCAAAAAACUUGUGGGUUAUUUUCAAAUUUUUCUUACUUUCUUAAUUCUUAAUAAGUAUUUUUCACCUUCACUCAAUUAUUAAGACUUGUGUCACCCACAAUUCAUUUUAAAACUCUUUUAUCACCUAGAGCCUAAAACCCCAUGUAAGUAGCUUGUAAUGCAGCUACCACUAAAGUCUAGCGGCCUAUAUUUGUGAGCGGUUGAAAACAUAUUUGAAAAGUAAAUAAAAAAGAAACAAAAAAGUGCAAAGUUGGCCUACCAGUUUUUCUGUAAAGGAAAUUGUGUAAUAAAUUAAAUCAUUUCUUGCCAAGUGCUUCGAAACAGUUUUUCACAUCACACGUACUACCAUUGUGGAUAAAUACAACAUUAGUAAGCUCAGUGACUAACAGAGAAGUGCCCCCUGCUCACAAAUCUGUCUAUAGAUACAGCAGCACUACUUGCAAUCACACCAUCCUACAAAUCACAGAUUAAAAAGUUACCCAUCACUUGGAAUUUUGAGAAUAAGAUAUAAAGUCACUCUUGCUGAGGAGCCAUGUAAUUAUUUCCAAAUGUAUUUUGAGAAAGACUACGAUACUUGGCUAUAUUAGUUACUUUCUCUAAGCUUGCACAAAAAUGACAGAGCUUGAUUAGCAAUAGAUCCCAAUGCUAAAGUAUCGGAAGGCAAUCUAAAGGAAUAUAGGAGUAAUUUAAUUUACAGAGAGAAACAUUAAGAAUCGUGAAAAGAAAAAAGAUGCACCUGAUACAGAAAAUAUGUGACAGGCGGCUCAAUGUCGUCUCCUCUUUGAUCUCAACCAAAUAACACUGCCUCUGUUAAGACAGUAAGACGCCAAAUACUGAUACAUUUUCCACUUCAUAAAUUCAUGCAAGCAAAUUUGACACUUGUGCUUCAUGAAUAUAUCCCAUUUUUUCAACAAUGUGUGACAUAGCCCAACAUUGAGACAAGGAGAGUUGGUGCAUCUUAGUAUUUAACUAUCAUAUCUGAAACUAAAUAAGAUACAAUUUACCAAGGUUUAUAGCCUAGCAGUAACAGUGGGAGUCACCAACAUAGUAGCUACUAGGUGUGAUAUUAAUUUUUUUCAUUGUUUCUCCCUGCUUCCCCUUUCAGAAGAACUUGGUACCCAAUAAAAGUAAGAUAGGAAAUUUUGAGGGAAAAAACAAAAUUAGAGUACUAAUAUAUCAAGUUAAUUGCUCUAUAUUAACUUCCUAUGCAGAGGUAUUAUGAUAGGGAGAUACUUUUGAGUAUAUGUUGCUUAUUCUUUUACUAAUCACUGGCAAUUCAUCCUACCCAGGGACUGACCUUUUCAAGUAAACCAAAUACAAGAGCAGAAGGAAAAGGAAAAGGAAACCAAAUGCUAAUUAGGUAAAAGCUGGUGAAUUACUAUCAGUUAAGGAUAGAAAGCAAGAAUUGUCCAUUGAGAAUAGGGUAGAAAGAGAGAAAGAAAAUUAAUGAAAUGGAGAAAUACACAUGACUACAAGAUGUGCAAAGUAUAGUAUUUCUUUGCAAAUAAAGGAAGGAGGUGACAGAUAUGUAAGAUUGAACGAUGUAGAAGCCAAAAAAUGAAAUACAGAGGGAAAUGCAGAAAAGGCCAAAACAUGAUCACCCUAGAAGCAGAAAUUUGGAGAUGUUGAACAAUCACGAUCACUAAUUCAAAUUGCAGAAUAUGUGAAAAGGUUAUGUCACUAAAAGUUUAUUGUUUUAUUUCGCAUAUCUUGUCAAAUGAAAGGACAUUUGACUAGUACAAUGUUAUCAACAAGAUAAAUGUACAUGCACUAACAAGAACUUGUCAUGUUGAAAUUGUAAAAUUCCAACUUUGGAAAUUUUCUGGUAGUUUUAUCAUAUAAGAUCCGAAAGUAAGCCUCCAUUUUAUCCGCCCUACACCAAUCUGAUGAGUGAUCCUCGUCAAUUUCUCCAUUCUCCUAAAUCAUAGACCCCAAAUACUUUAAACUAUCUCUCUUUUGGAUGGAAUGAGUAUAAAGCUUUACAACCACAUUAGACUCAUGUGACACUUCGCUGAACUUAAACACAAAAUAUUUCAUCUUGAACCUACUCAACUUAAAUCCAGUCAUAAUCCCUCGAAGAAGACCCUAUGUGCCUAUUGAAAUCUCCUCCUACAAAAAGCUUCUCAUUGCUGGGGACACCCCUCACCGUCUCAUCCAAAGCCUCCCAAAGCUCUUUUUCUCUUCCUCAUCCAAGCCUAUUGUGGGGUAUACGCACUAAUAAUAUUCCAAGAAGACCCUCCAAUAACUAAUUUAAUCGACAUCAUUCUAUCAUUGUCCCUCCUAACCUCUACCACUUGCUCCCUCAGCUCAUCAUAUAAAAUAAAGCAGCCUUUCCAACCGCUGACCGCUAGACUUUCCAACAUCUUAAUUCUCGAAUAUUAGCAGCCUUUUAGUAUUUUUUUUUGGAUGACAGUACACUUAGGGAUCGUUUGGUACGAAGGUAAGUAAUGUAGGAAUUAGCAAUGCGGGAAUUAGUAAUGUAGGGAUUGUAGUGCUUGGGUUAUUUUUUAUCAAAUAUUUGAUUCAUUGUAUUAAAAACUAGAUAUACCAUGUAUUGUGUUUGAUUUUAAAUGCUAUAAAAAUCUCCUUUGCAACUUUACCCUUGAAUUUUUGUGGAAUUUUCUAUUUUAUUAAAUUAGUCAAGUUAAAAAUUAAAAUAUGAAUAAAAACUUGUUACUAAUUUUUAGGUAUGAUGUUCCACUAUCGAAAUCCUUGAUAGCACGGUGUACCCUCGAUAUUCGUCUAUUCGAUUGAUAUUGGAUUUUAUUUACAAAGGACACUUUCUAAAUAAUAAAAUUUGUAAAUGAAUUUAUUUAAAUAAAUUUAUUAGUACAAAUAUACAAAAUAAAAUCAAGAAAAUAAAAAAAUAUGCUUAAAAGAAUUUGAGGGAUAUUUUUGUCUUACACAUAUUAGUCUCAUGGUAUUAAAACUCAUGUAUUAUUAAUACUAUCAAAUGAGAUGUAUUAGUUAUACGCCCUGUAAUACCAUGUAGGGUGUAUAACUCAUACAUGUAUUAAUUAUAUAUUGAUUCAAAAUCCAACCAAACAUCUAUAUCUAUAAUCUAUAUCUAUCUAUAAUAUAUUAAAAGAUCUAUCUAUAAUCUAUAAUCUAUAAUCUAUAUUUAUAAUAUAUUAAAAGUGUAAAAACUCUUAGAAAAGUGAUUUAAACUUUUUGCCCUUUAUUAAAACACUUCGAAAUAGACAAAAUCGUCUUUUCACCAUUUUUCUUCAAUUAUUGUCAUUUAAUAAUUUUCCAUAAAUUAAGAUGUUGAAAUUAACUAAAGUCCUUAUUUGAUUAGGUAAAAAAUCAUAAUAUUUAACAUUCUAUAUCAAUUAAAAUUUUACCAUAUAUAUAGAAAGAAAUUCUAUAAAUCAAUUUAAUUAUACGGUUUUUUCUACAUACAAACAUAUGACUUAUUGGUUUCUUACUAUAAUUAAAUUCCUAAGUUUAUGGAGUUUUUAUUUUAGGUAAAAAAUCACUUUCUUAUAGAUUUAGGACUCUAUAUACGUCACUUUCUAUUUAAUUUGGUUCCCAUACAAACACAAAUAGGUUAGAAUUAAUUAUUUCUUCUUUUCUAUAUUUAAAUUUUAAAAAGAAUAUCCCCAAUAUAAAUCUUUAUAAAUUUACACAGAAACACAAAUAUGGAGUUUUGGUGCUCUCCAAUUAUGACUUUUUAUUUUACUAUUGAAAGAUAAAUUAUUCUAGGGUAGUUCGAUUUCGCACUUUAUACCUUAGAGCGGAUUCUUUUUAGGUUAGGUUAAUUUAGUUUGUCCCAUUUCUGUCUUUUAUUUGGUUUGUUCAUGCUCUCUUCUAUAUAAACUUGUGGUUUUUCAUUGUUCAUGUUGAUUUUUCACUGUCCAUCAUUUAUAUUAUUUGUUAUGCCAGCUUAAAUUGCUUAGUUUAAUUUAGCUUAAUGCGUACAUUAACUUACUUAGAUUGAGGCGUACAUUACUAUACUUUGGAGAAUAGUUGUUGAAUGUCUGAAUCAGUAUAUUGACUACGUUGCUCAAAUUUUAUUACCUUUUAAUACAUUGGUUUGCAGUCACUUACGUAUUUUUAAUGCAGAUUUGAUGUUGUUAUCCGUUGUGCUAAAGUUGGUGAAAGUGCUGAGAAAACUCUGAUGUACUAUGACAACAACCUUAUUGGAACAAUUACUCUCUUGAAAGUCAUGUCAUCUCAUGGAUGCAAAAUUUGUCACACUUUGGUGAACUUUUAUGAUGCGUUUCUUUUCUUGUAAGUCACUAUCUUAACUGAUUUCCUUUUCUGCUUCUCCAACUUGUGUUUUCAUCAUCAGUUACUGGUUAGGGUUUGUCGAAAGAGGUUCCUUAUACUGAGGAAUUCCACGAGUGUUGCAAAUCCCUAUGAACGGACAAAGAUAUUGUCAAUUAUUGUUUCAUCUCACAUUUUUAGCGCUCAACUUAUUGAAGUCCAAAAUUGACAUGUAGCCUCAUUUGACUGCUUUCCUGUCUAGCUUGCUCAUAUGAGCCAAAUCCCUUUCCCUUCUUUUUGCAGUUUUACUUCUUGGUUCUUGUUGGUUCCGUCUCUAGAUAUUAGAACACUUCUCUUGAACGUAGAUAUGACUAAACCUUUUCGUUUUCUUUCAUCGUGACCUUUAGUUUGUUACCAUAUAUACUUUAUCAUAAUGCUUUCUUUUUGUUAUUAUUAAAUUUAUUUCAAGUAAUCGUAUUAAAUUAUUAUACUUAUGUGAAGUAAUAUACUUUGCUUUCCAUUUUCUUGAAAUCUUCUCUUUGGAACCUUGGUUUGGGGAGUGUUCUCUCUCUUUUGUGUCAACGAAGGUUAGAAUAUUCGUUGUUGAAGAAUGACGACAAGACCUUUUCGUUUUCUUAAUUUCAUCAUAAUUUCUAGGUUGUCAUAUUUGCUUUAUCAUAAUCCAUUUUGUUAUUGUUAAAUUUGUUACAAGUAAGUAUUAUAUUAUUAUGUUCAUAGUUAAUACAUUUCAUUUUUUUGUUUACUUUAUUGUUUAGUGUAUUUACCUGUAUCAAAAUCAACAUAAUUUUGAAAUCGAAAGUUCUAAUGUUCGGUGGACUAAUGGACAAGAAGUUCCUUAUUGACAUUGGUGUGUGAUCCUUUCCUAAUCAACUACUUCCUCGAUUUAAAUAUCUAUAAAGCCUUCUAAUAGGGAUGUGUUCCUCCGUUUUUUCUGAGACAAAGUUUAAGAAAUUAAGGAAUACUUUUGAAUCUUAUCAUCUUAUAUUAAAGAUACGUAAUGAAAGUAAGAUCACAUUCACUUUACCCCUCUCAUACCCUACUUUAUGGGGAUAUAUUAUUAUACAUGUUUUUUGUACCUUUCAUCCAUGAGUAACUUUUAUGUUUGUAUGUGGGUGUCUUGUGCCUAAUUACUUUAACUUCUCUUAGAGUGAAAAUGAGAUAGACAACAAAAUGAAAUAUCUGCUUGAUUUGGAGAAGAUCAAGAGUGGAGAAAAUGCUAGGAGUAAUUUAAUACUUAAAAACAUCCCAAACAAGUAAGAGUCAUGUAAAAUUUUUAAUUAUCAAAUUUUGAGUUUGUUUGAUUAUUCAAUACUUAAUAAUUUGUAUUCUUCCAUUUGUUUAGGGUAUACCUUAAAGAUGCUACUUAUAGCAAUUGACGAGACUCAUAAGAAACAUAUGAUUUUCACUAUUUGUCUAUUAAUUUCAACAUACUACAAUAUAUGGGGCCUUGAAUCUGUAGCUAGGAAUAUUCGUGUGUUCGAGUGAAACCAAUCUUUAAGGAGGUAGUCAUACUCUUUUAUGUUUUUUUUUUUGUUAUUAGAUAGAACAACGACUUAACUUCCAUUUGACCUCAUGAAAGUAAAGUUUUAGGGAUUUAAGGUUCUUCAUUUUGUCCUAUUUUGUUCUUGGGUAAUAAUAGAUUAAUUUUUUCGAUUCUUGUAGUAUGCAUGAAAUAUUCGUUUUCUGGGAUCUAAUUUAAUUUUCAUUAUGUUGUUCAUUUUAUUGUUUUGCAUGUCCUGUCAUAAUCAUUUUUUUUCAAUAGAAGGCUUAUGUGUUUUCAUGUACCCUUCAUUAAUAUUAUUGUCUGUUUGAUUGUAUUAACAUCACAAAAUUCAUAUAAUCAUCAAUUGAGUUUUGAUACAAUAACGUUCUUGUAGAUGAACGAACCAAUAAAAAGUACUUAUAAACUUUCAAAUCUAUUCAUAUCUUUUUCUAUUGACCUCUAAAAUCACAUGCUUAUUUUUAUGCUUAUGAAAUCUAUAACAUAAAAGGUACACACUUUGGGGUUAGAGAGAUUAUUAACAAUCUCUGUGCAGAUGUGUUCUAUUGUUGGGGAAUUAAGAAUGCAAAUGCAAACAACGAAAAAAAAAAUAGGAUUUGACCUUUGUAAAGGGUGUUAUAAAAGCUCUUCAAAGCUCUCAGGCAAAUUUAAUCAAUCACAUACAUGAGAACACCAAUUUGAGUUAAUACAACCACUUCAAGUCAGAUACAAGGUAUUAACGGAUGAGAAUUUAAACAAAAGAAAGUUUAAUCUAUGCUCUAGGUGUUAUUCAUGUGAAGAAGAACUGGAAAUAGUAAACCAUCUCUUUUUACAUUGAAAUUGGACAGCUCAACUAUGACAGAUGUUCAUCCACAAGAGAAAGAUCCAAUGGGUGAAAUCUGAAAGAAUUACAGAAGUGUUAAAGUGCUGGAAUAGAGAUGGCAAUACAACAAAAAAAGAGGAGAGACGAAGAAUUAUCCUAGCUUGCAUCUCACAAGAGAAAGAUCCAAUGGGUGAAAUCUGAAAGAAUUACAGAAGUGUUAAAGUGCUGGAAUAGAGAUGGCAAUGCAGCAAAAAAAGAGGAGAGAUGAAGAAUUAUCCUAGCUUGCAUCUAGUGGACUAUUGGAGAGAAAGAAAUCAUAGAUGCUUUGAAGAAAGACAAAGCAGCAUGUAAAAGCUAAAGAUAGAUGGCCUAAGCCUUUAUUAUGUUUGAUGUAAACGUAUAAUGUAGGCAAUACAGUAGAUGUUCUUAAUGCUAUUGACGGAUAGUAACUAGGAGAUCCUAGGUGUUGUAAGGAAAACUUUAAGUAGACGGAGAAAACAAGGAUAAUAUUCGUGAGAAGCAACAUUAUCUUCUGGAGUUCAGGCAAGGUACAAAUAAUAUUUAUUUACUUUUCUAUUUGAUUUUCAUUUAUCUUUUUCUUUUUAAAAAUUGUUGGGCCUUUGCAGAUUGUGGGCCAUAUUUUUAUUUUUUUCAUCUUUAAAAUGCAUGUUUAUAACCAAAAUUUUUGCUUACAUUAUCUCAAAUUUAUAUCAUUCACUUUCAUUUAUAGUUAAUCUCAAGAAGAUGACAUAUUUCUAAAUUUAAAUAUAGGGUAUAGGUAAAAAAUAAUUGAAUUUCCAUGAACACGUAAUUCUCUUCAAGAUCUGUUUCUCCUUUUCAGUACUCGAUAUUCAUACUAAAGUCAAACUCUAAAUGUAUACCACGUAAGAUUCAUUUAAGAGGAAGCAUUCCCUAUCAAAAAAAGUUUUUAAAAUUGUUACCAUUUAUGUUUUUAAUUAAAUUAUAUGUUAUCUGUUGUUAUAAAUCAUCUCAUUAGGAAUGAAAUAGACUAUGGUUAUUGUAACUAAAUACACAAUGUCAAGUUAGUUUAGAUUUAAAAAAAAUAAAAAUGUGCCAUAUAAUUAAACAAUGGGAAUAGAAUAUUAUAGAUCAAAUUAUAAUUAUCUAAGAAAUUAUAUAUAGAAAAUGAAUUUCAGAGAAUGGUGAUGAAAAUAAACUAUGUAUAGAAAUUGUUUUAAGGAAAACUACAUUUUACAUAGAAUACAAAUAUAUAAAAUAUUUAUAUUUGAAUUAAUCGUCAAUACAUCAAUAUCUUCGUAUGCACCCAUCAAAUGUUAUAUAAAUUAUAUAGUUUAAAUACAUAAAUAACUUUUUUCUUAUCAGAACUCACGCCCCGUAACAUGUUAUAGAUUUAUAAUCAUCUAAAAUAUCCAAAAAAUUUAUAAUAAUAAAAAUAAUGCUUCAUAACGUAUAUAGAAUUAAUAUUUUUUAUAUACGUUUAUCUUAAUUAAUAUUUUAAUACACGUGCAAUGCACGUACACUAAUCUAGUAGCACUAAAUAAUACCACACUUACUACAUGAACUAUUUCUAAUAAUACACCCUACCAAACGUCCCGUUAAAGGUUACAUUAAUUUUAUCAUUCUUUUUUGAAACUACAUUAGUUAAUUUUAUAUGUAUUAUAAGCUGAAGAUUCUAAAACAUAAGAGAAAUCUAAACAUUAAAGCCUUGUUCACAUCGAAGCUUCAAGUUCAACUCUGAAUCAUCGCCAUCAACAAAAAGACAACUCCUUAAUGUAAAUUCUGCUAACCUACUAUUUUUUGUUUUGUUUUACCAUCCCGUGUCUCAUACUCGCUUUGGAGUCUCACUAAUCACGAUUUGCACCGAAAAGUCCCACUUUGUGGGUAAAUCGUUGUCUCUCAAAUACAACUCUAUUCCUAAAGGAACGAACCCAAAACCUUAGGUUAAGGAUGGAGAAAUGCUUACUACCCUAUCACAAACUUUGGUGAUGCCUAAAGAACUGUGUUUAAAUUUCUGAAACACUUAUUGCUACCUUUCAUAUUAAUUAAAUCCUUAAUUGUAAUACUAUUUAACAAGGAAGAAGAACUAUUAUGCUUUAGUUUGAAGAAUUGUUAUACUAUUAGAUUACCCGUUGAAGAUCAGUACCAGCUACUGUAUUUUGAAUAGGUUACUACAAAAUAAUGAGACUACAGUCUCAAGAAUAAUAUGCGAUUUAAAAUGUAACCAUUAUAUUGGUAUAUUCAUCUAAUUUGAAGUUUUAGUUAUCUGAUUAACUCUUAUAUUUUCUAAACCUAUUAAUUGCCAUGUACUUAUAAUUUUAAUUUCAAAAUUGAUCUUAUUAAUUCUAUGAUUCUGAGUAAAUGUUAUUUUUGUCUAAUCAUUUCCAACAUUUAAACCGAAUGCUUCGUAGCAGUGAAAUAAAAUUGUUAAUCUAACCAUAUUCGAAUUAUUAAGCUCUAGUAACAAAUAAGAGGCAUUUCGAGUUACAUUAAACUAUUUCUCAAGUGAUCCCUUCAGAAUCCCAGCAGCAUAUCCAGAGCUAAUUUAGUCUUUUUUUCAACAUUGAUUAACUCUAAAGGCUCAUUUUGUUUGCACUGAAUGAAGGUCUGAAUCUGAACGGUUCAGAUUUCAGACCAUUAAGUGCAUUUUAUUUUUUAUUAAGAUUUUAGCUCUUAAUAAGUCUUAAUCAUUCAGAUCUAGAAUUAAGUCUUAAUAUGUCUGAAAAGGAAUUUUGGUGUUGAAUAAUAUUCACCGCCACUCUAUUCAUAAUCAUCCAUCACCACCACUAACCACCUCUGCCACCGCCACCAUUGUCAACCACCACCCACCUCCACCACCACAACCACCAUUGACAACAGAUAUUGCUACCAACCACUAUUGUCAACCGCUACUACACUUACUACCUCUAUUAUUCUAAUUAUAUUCACCGUCAUCAACACCACAACCAUCAUCAACCAUUACCAAUCAAUCCCUACUAUCGACCAACUCAUCUAGCACAGUAACCACAUCUUCUUUCCUUUUUCCUCUAAGGAAGCAUGCAAUAUGAAGAAACAUAUUCUUGUAGUCGUCAUCUAAUGCAUCUAGACUUAAGCUGAGUAACCUAACAAUCUUCCCAUCUCUGAAAUCUUUGCCUCUAUAUAAGGCAUUUAUGUGCUCUUCUGUACCUUGUUUGUAGAGAAAAGAACCCAAUACCCCUAGAGCUAAGGGUAAGCCUUUAGCAUAAUCUACUACACAACACGAGAGCUCUUCAAAGCCUUCAACCGGAGUUCCUUGUUGAAAGGCGUGCCAACUAAAAAGUUCUAAAGCCUCAUGGUUAGUCAGUUCUGGAACACGAUAUAGCACAUCAUGCUUGCUAAGUAAAUCCAAGUUUCUAGUUGUUGUAAUGACCUUAGUGCCAUCACCAAACCAAUCACGCUUUCCAACUAAAUAUUCCAGUUGCUGGCUGUCAUCCAUAUCAUCAAGAACAAUUAGAACCUUCUUGAAGCGAAGCAUUUGGCUUAUCAUUUCGUCUCCUGUGGCAAAAUGUGGUACAUUCACGGAGUCUUUCUUCAAGAUCUGUGAAAGAAGCUUCUGUUGCAAAUGUUGUAGGACUUCCAGCCCGCUCUUUUUGACACUCCUAACAUUUGCAAGAAAACAAGAUCCUUCAAAUUGAGAAGAGAUCUCAUCAAAAAUUCCACUUGCAAUGGUUGUCUUCCCUACCCCACCCAACCCCCAUAACCCGACAAAAUAAACACCGCCAGAUUCAACAUUCAACAAUGAUUUUACUUUCUCUAUACGAGGUUUGAUUCCCACGUGAUAUUUUGCAAUACUUGGAACAACAGAAAUCUUGUCAAGAAUUUCCUCAAAAAAUUCUUUGAUAAUCAGUGCUAUCAAAGGCAUGCUUAAGCCCUAAAGCAAGACUCAAAACGUGUUGAGCGCUUCACCUCUCUUUUACGUGCACUUCACUCUCGUCAUCAAGUUUCUAAGGCAUACUUUUCCUUGCUAAUAGGUCUCUUCUGAAGAGGCGACACUAUACAUUUGAUAUUUCACUUUAUCGUAAUUGUUUUUCAAUUUCUUUGCUCAUAUAUUUGUCAUUCAUGAUUAUAAUUAUUAGUCUUCAACUAACAUAAAUAUUUGUACAAUUUCUGCUUUGCGCCUUUUUUUAUUAAGCCCAUGCUUUUAUUUGCGCUUAAAGCCCCAGCAGACCUUAAACCUUUUUUGUGCUUUUCGUUUUGACAACACUGAUGAUAAUUGAUAAAAGCAAAAGGCAUUACCCAUGUCCCAGAAAAUGCAACAUUAAAAUUUCACUAAGUCAACAAGGAGCAACACCUCAAAUUGACAACUAUCUUGUCAAAUAUCUUAGCUGGAGUAGUUGUCUUCUCUAUGCCACCCAAAAGUGUUUUAUUAAAGACCUUCAAAUUCGUAACCCCUAGUCCUCCCCACAUUUUAGGCUAUGCCACGGUCUUCCAAUGAAUGAAAUGAAAUUUCUUUGUCCCAUCCGCCACAUUCGAAAGGAGAUUUUUUUGAAACCUUUCAACUUGCCUAUCACGAAGGUCGGUGCAUUGAACAAGGACAUGCAAUAAGGAUACUCAAUGUCUUAAUAAGCACUUUCUUGCCUCCUUUAGACAAGUAUUUUUUCUGCCAAUCUGCUAACCUCUUCUCUACCCUAUGAACGGCCGAAUUCCAAACACCAAUAUCCGUGUUCGAAGAGCCUAGAGGUAAUUCCAGAUAGCAGGUAGGGGGAACCCCUACCCUUCAUUGCAUAACUUGGGAAAACCAGUCAAUAUUAUCCAUUAUACCUAAAGUAUGAUCGCAUAUUUUCUAAGUUUGAUUUUCAGUAUGACACCACCGGGAACCAAGACUUGCCCCGGAAAGUCCAACUGAGUACAUCAGCAUCACAAAACACAAAGUACCGUCUGCCUCAAACUGUUGUAAAAUUGUUUUGUCCAUCAAUCUGCUCAAAGUUUCCAUCACCAAGAUAAAGAGCAUAGGAGAUAAAGGAUCUCCCUGCCUCAAACUCCUUGAACUACCAAGGAAACCACAGGGAUUGCCAUUCACCAACACCGAAUAUCUCACUAAAGAGAAGCAAAAAUUGAUUCACUUCCUCUAUUUCUUACCAAAACUCAUCUUCAACAACUUGAAAUCUAGGAAUUUCCUAUUAACAUGAUCAUUAGCCUUCUCGAUAUCCAGCUUGCCCAACACACCUGGCUCCCCUUGUUUCUUCCUCGAAUCUACUACUUCAUUAGUUACUAAAGUUGUAUCCAAAAUCUGUCUUCCUUUGACAAAUACAUUUUGCGAAAAAAGAUAGUCUCAUCCAGAACUCUCUUAAGUUUAUUAAAAAGCAACUUGGAAAUAAUCCGGUAGAUGUUCCCCACUAGACUAAUAGAUAUGUGAUCCCAAUGCCAGUAGCUCCUUCCUUCUAAGUGAUAAUGACAAUAAAAGAAUCAUCUAAGCUUCUUUCCAAUUCACCCCUCCUAGAACUCAUCAAUAGUACUCAUAAUAUCUUACUUGAUUGUGCUCCAACAAUGUUGAAAGAAAGCCAAAGUGAAGCUAUCCAACCAUGGAGCCCUGUCACCCACGCAAUACUCUACCACCUUCUCCUCUCUAGCCACCCACUAUUCUCCCCUCCAAUCUGACUGAACUUUAUCCCACCCAAAUUUGGCCUCCACUCAACUUCCUCUAUGAAAAACCGUUCGUAGAAACAAACAAUUGUUCCCUCCAAUUCCGCCUCUCCCUAUUAAGUCUCGUCCCCAACCUCCACAGACUAUCAAUCCUACUCCUAUUUGCAACUGCUACCCUAUGGAAAAACUCAGCAUUAGAAUACCCCCUCUUCCAACCACAAUGCUCUUGAUUUUUGUCUCCAACUAGUCUCUUGAGCCAAAGUCAAAGAAGCUAGCUACCCUCUUAGAACUUCUUUUUUCUCCGGUUCUCUCUCAUCUAACUCCCUUCCCACCUCUAUUCUUUCUGAACUUCUUUCUUCUCCUUCUCUUUCAUCUUACUCCCACCACCUCUAUUAUUUCUAGCUCCCACACUUCAUUUAUAAUGUCCCUUAUUUUCUCCUCUAACCUCCCAACACUUUCUUAUUCCACACCCUUAUGUCAUUCUUAAGCAACUUCAAUUUUUAGCAAGUCUGAAAGAUGGUCUCCCUUCCAGUGCAUAACUGCUCCACCACCGUAUCUCCCAAAUAAGUCGCUCGCAGCCAAGUCAUCCUAGUGCAACAAUAAACAGAAGUACCAAACAAUCGGUUACCCGUCAAAGAAACAGUUUAGAUAGGACCAUAGGAAGAUUUAGGAUUUAUGGAACAUGGUGCAAUAUUAGAUAAGGAGGAAAAAAGGGAAGUAUUAAAUGGGAAUUGAUCCCUAUUCUUCUAGAUAAAGAACUUAACAUCUAACAAAGUGCACCAUACAACCCCUUUGGAGCAUGGAGAGCAGCGGAAAAUAUCAGAUUAAUUCUUUUUUUCUUUGCAUUGGCAACUGUAUAUUACAUCAAUGAACCAAAAUGGUAUUUAGGUAGUACUGAAACCAUAUUUGCAUGAAAGCUCCGAAAAUCUACUAUUCUCUAUCUCUAGCGAGUCUAAAAUAUGAAUGACAGAGAUAAUAUCAUUAGAGUAAAUCUCAUCACAAAGUAAAUCUCAUUACACCAAAAACAUAACAGUAAGAUGAAGUUCAACUUGAUCUUCUGUACAUCAUCCUCUAUAGUCUUAAAAUAUUUGGAGUUUCUUUUCUUCCAAAUUUUCCACCAAACGCAUGCUGGGGCAAUUCUCCAUCUACUCUUGUACUUUGCCAGUGAACCUAUUUCCUCUCGGACUACUGAGAGCUUCUGAAACCUUUUUCUGGCAUAGUCCAGUAUAUGCCUUAGAGGUUUAAGACACCACUCUACAGCUGAGCUGUAAAUGGACAAAGGUGCACAACCAACAUGAUAUAAAUGCCGCCAAAUAUGUGUCAGUCCUAUGUUCAUAUUUCACUCCAAGUUUGGAAAACGUAGCAUCAUCUGAACUUAACCAUUUCGCUGCUUUCGGAAUAGUCCCUGUUGGGUUAUGGGUUGACUUCAAACGAGCUGAUUUUUUCUCUUUCCUCAGUGGAGCUGACUUGAAUCUUAAUAUCCUCUUGCACCAAAACUUUAUCCACUUGCUUAGAGGAACUCUCGGAUUAGAAGCUUCUCCUUCUUGAAGAUGUUGGAAAGCUACAAACAAGAAUUCACAAGAACAAGGGAUAAAUCUCUCAUGCUUUUCAUCAACACUUGUAAGCUCAAUUGCGUUAGGCACUACUUCUUCAUAAGGAAGACCUCUGAUGGACAGAACUCCGAUCUUGUAUAAGUCCCAAAGGGAUAUGGAUAGCUCUCCAGCUGAAGUAAGCAAUGUAUUAGUAGUUGGACACCAAGCCUCAAGGAAUGCCUGUAAUAUGUUUGGGUUUCGGUCAUAUGUAAACAAUGAAGCAUAAACGGCAUCAUAUAUUUUUGCUGCCUUCAAGGUUUGUGCACUUCCUGCCAAGAUGUCCUCAGCCCAUUCUCAAUAUCCUUGAGUAUGACGAUAUUCACCAGCUACCUCCAUAGUGUUUCCCCAACGUAUAUCUCCUUUGAGUAUUCGAUGUCCUAAGCAAGGAAGGGUGCUCGCAAUAUUCAAUUGACGUUAGUUGGGAGUUUGAAGAAGCCAUACUUUAAUCGAUCGAUUAACACCAAUGUCAUGUUCCGAAGUUCAAACUGACAUAUGGAGAGAAUUUUGCAAGGGUGGCCACGGGUCUGCACAUUUGCCUGUUGUUGGAGUUUCAGUCAAUAGCCUAGUUAAAAUCGUGCCGUCAUCAGCCUCAAUUAGAAGAUACUUGUUUUUAGAGGAUGGAGAUAUGUAGUCUCUAAAGUGGACCAUUUCUGCAAGCUGUAUAAACAAAAGAAUCUUGGUCAAACACAGUGUCAAGAUUUAGAGAAAAGAUACCUUCAAUAAAUAAAUAAAUAAAUAAAUAAAGGGGUCCUUCAUUUUUUUUUGGCUUAAGUGAAAUAUAGUCAUGUAUACUUCAAGCAAAAUUGGUCGGGUUUUAAGAUGACGAAGGUGAAGUUAAACUCUCGCACCUUAAGCUGGCCACUUACGGGUUUAUCCUUAAAAGAAUCUCAAAAUUUCCAUGCCUUAAGGUAGACAAAAUUUGUCCCUUUGCACCUUAAGCGGACCGCUUACGGAUUUAUCCUUAAAAGGAUCUCAAAAGUUCCAUGCCUUAAGGUGGACAAAAUUUAUCUCUUUGCACCUUAAGCUGGCCUAUCACGGAAUUAUCCUUAAAAGAAUAUCGAAAUUUCCAUGCCUUAAGGUAGACAAGAUUUGUCCCUUUGCACUUAAGCUGACAUUCUGAUGGAUUUGUUAUGUAAAGGGACCGGCUUCAAGUAAAAUUGGUCGGGUCUUGAGGUGACGAAGCCUCGCACACCUUAAGCCGACGUCCACCGUCUUCAGCAAAAUUAGUUGAGUCUUGAGGUGACGAAGCCUCGAAGAUCUUAUGCCGACGGACACCAUUUUCAAGCAAUGCAAUUAUUGUAUAUUGCUAUUUGUUUUAAGCCCACGAAAAGAAAACAAAAAAAAAAGGAAAAGAACAAGAAAAAAAAAGUAAAAGCAUAAAACGAAGAAGAAAGUAAUUACCUGUUUCUGAUUUAUCAAGAAACUGUUGCUGAGAAGUCUCACGAGGUUAAUAAUUUGAUGCUUUGCAUGAAAAAAAUAAUAAUAAUAUAUGGGUAUUUAUAGGAGUUGUUGGUCAGUGUAUACUCCCUAAUCCUUGAUAAAUUUGGAGAAUACAUCUACCAGUUUUGAUAAAAGACGGACUGCCAACACAAUGAAGGUUAAAGACGGCGGAGGUCUUUACUAAUUCAAAAGGAAAUUGAAUAAGGUCAUUUAUUUUGAAAAAGGAUAAGUCUGUGAGACCCAUAAAAAAAAAAAAAGAGAAAAAGGAAAGAAAGAGUGGUGCACGUUAAUGGCAUUAAAUACCAAAACAAAAAUUAUAAUAUACUACUAUUUGUUUUUCCACUUUCAGUGGCAAAAGAAAAAGUUAAUAUAUUUGUGUUACACUUUCACAAGCACCAAGGAUUAAAAUAUACUAAAUGUAUAUUACAAUUUUACAGGGCCCAUAUGAUUAUGACAUGUUUUAUGUUCGAAUUUGGUCCAUCAUAAUUUUAUUUGCACGUAAAUUUGUGUAAUUAAAAAAAAAAAAAUAUAUCAAGUUUAUACUUCGAGACUAGUCUCCGAAAGAUCUCGACAACUCUCAAAGUAGGGGUAUUAUGUGGAUAAUGAAAUUUUAUUAAAUUUAAAUCCGUACGAAAUUCGGAUUAUAUUAAAUUCAAAAUAUAUUAGUCCCAAAUAAAUAUUGCGGAUUAAUUAUUUAAGUCCAAACAUAUAUGGAUUUAAUUAAAGUUUAAUUUUUAUUGGGCUAACUCAUUAAUUUGGGCUACAAAUGAUGAACCCACUUUGCUAAGCCCAAAAUAUUAUCAUAUUCUAGAGGCCCAAAUAAGCGCCACGCAUCAAAUGACGUGGCAUGCCAAGCCAAGGCAAUGAUUCAAUAGAAUCAUGCCACAUGUCAAAAUGAUGCAGCAAACCCAUGAAAUCAAGGCCCAUAAAAGGUGAUAUGUCACUCAAAUCUGAUUGGUCAAAGAAAGUCCAUCUUCAUCAUGACUCUCUCUUUUCCACAACUAUAAAUAAGGGUCUCAUAAUUCAGAAAAAGGAGCCCCAGGACUCUAACAAGUAGCAUGAGUUCAUCAAGAUCAAGACCGCAAUAUUCAAGAACAAGAACAAGCUCAAAAGCCCUUGAAGUUCAUCAAGAUUCAAGAACAAGCUCAAAAGCCCUUGAAUUCAAGCAUAAGUCAAGAUCAAAUCUCUCAAGUCCAUCAAAUCAAGUUCAAAUUCAAGAUUAAGCAUUAAGACCUUGAAUUUAUAUUUGAAAACCAUCAAAUCAAGUUCAAAUUCAAGAUUAAGCAUUAAGACCUUGAAUUUAUAUUUGAAAAGGCGAAUCAGAGGAUUCAUAGAGAUUGUAACACUCGCAUUGAAAUAAAUAAAUUGAUUGUUGCAAUAUUUUUCUUGUCUCGAAUUAUUUAUUUUCGGCCUCAAAAAUUUUAUUGUCCAACAACAAGCAUUAUUAAUACAUCAUAUUUUGCAUUAUUCUUAUACAAUCUAUUAAACACCCGUUAGUGUUGAAAUUAUUUAAAAUUUUUAGGAGGCAACUUUGCUGACUUUUCAAAUGCACUUUUCUCAAAUUCCACCCUAACCAUAUAAAAUAGCACCAAAAAAUCAAAUGACAUCCACUUUCUGGGGCCGAUGGAAAAAUAUUGUAGUUUCUCAGAAAUUGACAUAGUCGUCGGCCAACCUCAAGAAUUGUCUUGUCCCUCCGUACGUUCUUAAACAAUAUCCUAAUAUUAUAGUUGAAUCAUCAAAAAUUUUAAGAAAAUAUAUUGUUUUAGUACUUCAUGCUCGGAACCCCAACAAGGUGAUACAGGGCUUCAAUGAUGAGAAUAUGAUAAGGAAAACAUGCAUUAUCAUCUAUUCGAAAGGCCUUUUACAAGGAUUAGAUUCCUUCAGCUAUCCCUCAUGGCUUGAUUAGUGCUUCCUCCUUCAUGUUUAAGCAAAAUCACAACUUUGCAUUUCUGUAAAAAAUGACGAUAAUUAAUUUGAUUAGUCAACACACACACAUAAUGAAUUUAAGCAAUUAGGCUUAACAUUUAAUUCCUAAAGUCAGACUUUAUAUAGAAUUCUGAUGAACCAAAGGCGAAUGAGAUUGUAAAAAAGCCAUGCUGGUAUCUGUAGGAUCCUAGCCCUCACAUAAGGCAAGAAGGCUAUGAUCUAAAAAAUUAUGCACUAUCAAAGAAUGAUAACAAUGAUCAAGUUUGGAAUCUUCUAUGGUAUGUAAACACCCUCGUUUUAUGACUCGUGAGCAAGUUUUGUAUAUAUGCACUGGUAACGAUGAAGAAGUGAAUUAAAUAUGGGCUGGGGUAAAAUUAAAAGCACACGUAAGAGUAGCACGAUAAAUAAAGAUGACAAUGAGUGAAGAACAUCGUUAAUUAAUAGUGAGAAUAAACAUAUAGAAUAAAUCAUCAUUUAUAGUGUAUUCCCUAAAUGGUUGUCUGUUACUCAUGCAUAUUAAUUUCAUUCUUACAGGGCACUUCUUUAAGUUUCAAAAUAAUCAAACUGCAGUUAUUGGACAUAAGCAUAUGCCGUGAAGAAAUAGAACAAUACCUUUUAAAUAAUAUAACCUGACACAAUUUAUUCCAUCAUGAAUCUUCAUCUUUACGCCUAUUUAUCUAAAAGAACAGAGACAUUGGUAAAUGGAUAAUUAAUUGAUUAACCGUAAUAGUAUAUAGUAUUGCAUGCUACCAAAAAUCAUAAAUGCACAAUAAUAAUAUCAAAGAAGUAGAAGAAUAUAGUACCUCAUGUGUAAAUGAACCAUUAGAAAUUUCAAGAAUGAUCUUAGGCCCUGAUUUUGCAAUCCUCUAAAUCUCUACUACAAUGUGAUGGGUACCUUUUUGAUUAUUAUCAUAUUAUUAUCAUUAUCCUUACAACUUUCUUAAAAAGUAGCACUAAGUGUUGCACCCCUUAUGCUGCUUUAUGGGAUCAUUCUGUUUUAGCACCAUUCAGUGUCUAAAGAUAGGAAUAUCUUUAACUUCCACAAUGUCGUCUGGUGAAUUCUCAUGAUUUCAUUACAUUCUUUUUUGCAACCAUUCCUUCAAUAUAAACAAGAAGGCAUGCAUGGCAAGAGCAGUAUACAGAGAAACGCGAAAGAACAAGAAAUAAAACUGAGAAUUCAUAUAUUAUUAAAGAGAGUUUAAUAGUUGAAGGGAGGUGUUAUUUGUGUGGAGCUUUGAACUCAAUUCUAGUCCAGGGUAUUUAGUUAUAUUGUGUAGGCUGUUGUAUCCUGGAGGGGACAGGCCAAUAAGUAUUACUGCUGGACCGGAGAAAUAAUUAUCGCAGUGGGCUUGAAUCUCCUUAAAGAGAGCGAGAUAUUCGCGCCUCAGCCGUAUAAGAAGAAAUAAUAUUUUUCUUUAUUCAUUUGUAAUUUUUAGUUAUAAAUCAGUUGUAAUAUCACUGCAAUUUAUUGAGAUUUUCACCAACAAUUUUUAAGGAGAAUUCAAUAUGGCAACAACUGAAAAUUCCGCGGAUGUCAAGAUGGGAGAUCUCAACAAGCCAUUCUGGUUCAACGGUACUACUUCAAGAGGUGGAAGGGUAAAGUGUUUUUCUACUUAAGUCUUCUCAAUGUUUUUUAUGUGUUAACUGCGAAGAACCCAAAUAAAGUAGAUAACUCUUCCAUGACUGACAACGAACUUAUCUCUCUUAAAGAGAAAGUUGAAAAAUACAACAAUGUGUAAGACCCCGCAAAAAUUGUUGCGUCCGAAUUCAACUCUCUUGGCUUUACAAGCCUCAAGACUUAGCAAAUUUUCAUAAGUGUUCAACACUUAGUCUCAUUUUAGACCUCCAAACUUCGGGGAUUUAUUUGACGACCUUUCCGACAUUCAUUUUUCGAUUUUCAAGUUGCGUUGUGAUGGAGCAAGGUUGUAGUACAUCCCGGGUAAGUUUCAGAAUUUUUGAACUCCGUUUAGGGCAUGUUUGGAUUUGAAACCAGUAGCUCUCUGCGAUUAGGGGGCGCCGCCCAUCUUAGAGAGCCUCUCUAAGCAAGGCACCACCUUACUUAGAGAGGGGGGAGAGCAAGGCGCCGCCCUGCCAGUCCGGUGGGUACCCAGCUUUCAGCAUUCAACCUCCGCAUUUAAAGGGUAUUUUGGACAUUUUUCCUACCCUGUAUAUUGUCUUAAACACGGGAUUAAACUCAUUUUUCACCAAAAUAUUGUGUUUUCAUCAAUUUUCUCUUAAGAACACCCAAGAGCAAGUCUAGGGUUCAAUUGGGGGUUUCCAAUUACAAGCUUAAUUCAGUAUAAUCUUCACAGAUUAUCAUUCUAAGGUAUGCGUAGUGUUCAUCUAUGGAUUCAAUUCAUUCAUAGAGCUCAAGAAUCAUGCUUCUAAAUGUUAUUUUGUAAACUUUUUAUGGUGAUAUGAAUAUGUAUUGAUGAUGAUUGUUGUUUAAGUUUCAAGAUGAUAUCUAAGGAUGUUUUCAUGGAAUAUAUGUGGUGGUUGGUUGAAAAUCAUGAACUUUGGGUGGUUUGAAAUAAUGCAAGUAUGAAAUCCACCUAUGCCUUAGAGAAUACAUGUAAGAUGUUUGAUAAAAUGCCUAGGAUGCUAGAAGUUCAUAUGUACAUGAUUUCAUGAUAUCUAAAUGAUAAGUCCAUGUUAGCUAUACACUUCAAUAUGAAUGUCCAUGCUAUUUAUUUAUUCUUAUGGUGAUGGCAUGAAGCAUGUAUGAUGAUGAAAAUAUGAAUUAUGUGUGCGAAUUAUAUCCAUGCUUUCCCUACCAUGUUUGAGGUGUUGAGUAAAUACAUGAAGUAUACUAUCCCCUACUUAUGAUAUAGUGAAUUAUGGACUCCAAUCUUGUGAUCAAGUCAUGUCAUGUGUGUCAGUUUCCUUCUAUCGAGUCCUGGGGGUAUUCGUACCCGAAAAAUAUAGCUGUGUGCCUAGAUCCAUGUCAUGUUGUCACGAUAAACUCGGUCAAGCUAUAAUCUAUAAAAAUUAGUCAGUCAUGUGACUCAGGAAACAUCAGAAAUCUCAUGAUCUCAGUUAACUCUCAGAUAAUAGUAUUACUCCGUCAGUCAACGUAUGUCAGUUAUUCAACCUAUGUACAGUCAGUCGAAUCAUGUUCAGUCCCUUCAGAUGGGAGUAGAAGUUAGCACCGAGUGAACCCAAUGAUGGGAACUCCCUUAUCAGUUUAGGGUGUGAUUCUUAGCAUUCAUCCUUGUGUUUCAGAACUACGUAGCCAGCGUAGGUUGAGACAUCUUAACCUGCCAGAUUAGGGUUGAUGAGGUGGCUUAACCUGUCAGUUUAGGGUCCCACCGUUCUCACUAUUGAGUACCUGCUAGAUAAGGGUCACUCACAACUGUCCUUACCAGUGGCACGGUAUUGACACCCCUCUAGUUGGGGCAGAUAUUGGACCCCAACUUAGCCAUAAUGGCAUACAUGGGGCAUGUCGGUUAAACAACUACUUCCCACAAUUUUAGUAUCAGUCUCAAUAAAAGAACUCAGACAAUUCUUCAGAUAUCAGUAUACUAGGACUGUUAGAUACAGUCAUCUCAGGGCUGUCAGACACAGUCAUCUAUGUUAUCAGAAUUACGGUUCUAUCCAUGUAUUAGUGUACAGAUUUAGCUAUUUCGUACUCACGAUCUUAGUUACUAUGUAUGCAUAUUUGUACUCUUAGGUUCAUAUCAUUCAGUCAGUAGCAUUAUUCAUGCAUGUAAACCCUUUGCAUUAGACUACUUCACUCGUAUACUCAGUACUCCAAUUGUACUGACGCAUUUGCGCUAUGGUGCUUUCUUUUCAUGUUACACCAUAGGUUCAGAGACACGAGGCCCAGACCAGCAGUAACAGUCGCAUUCAACAUACAGAGUUGCAGUAAGUCCUCUUCAUGCGAGGACGACAUUAUUUGAUUUAUUCACUUAUUUCUUCAAUUCAGUUUUACGGAGUUAGUUGGAGACAUGUUCCUUCAACUCCUUAUUCAGAAAAGACUUAGAGGCUUUCAGAUUUAGUCAAAUUUAGUUAUUAGAUUCAGUAUUCAGUUUUAUAUUCAGUUGUUUUGGGUAUUCUUUACCCCAUGAAUGUUAUUAUAUCUCUUCAGUUGAACCUUAUUGCCUACAUGUUCAUGUUUUCCACGUAUUGUAUAUAUAUUAUGCAGUGUACAGGUACAAAUAUCAGUUAUGGGUUAGUUUGUGGUCCCUCGGGGUCAUAAACACCGUGUAGCAUUCCGGUUCAGAAAAUCGAGGCAUUACACAAUGACUCCUACAAGUGUCAUUAUUUUUUACUUAUUAGUCUAUCGAAUAAUUUUGUAGUGCAAAGAAAAUUUGGAAAGUCUUGCAGAGUAAGUAUGAAACUGAGGAGGUGAGAGCAAAAAAAUAUGCGGCUAGAGGCCAAGAUGCACUCAUGCAAACUGAAGAGAACAACAUCACAUUGAAGGUAAAUUUAUCUUCAUAUAAUACUACCCUUGUAAAUAAUAAAAAUACUACUUUGAAGCUUAAGAAGAAAAUAUUAAAGAAAAAUAAUGGUAGACAUCCAAUAAUAAUAAUGGUGGAAAUAUCCAAGAAAAAAAUCAACAUGUACGAGAAAAGGGACUGUGCUUUGUCUGUGGCAAAAGUGGGCAUAUUGCUCGACCUUGCAGAUAUCGAAAACGUGGACCUACAUCUAGGCAAACAUUACCGAAGAUCCAUUUAUGGCGGUAAUAACAGACAUAAAUAUGGUGGUGAAUGUUGAUGGAUGAUGGGCUGACUCUGGUGCAAACCGUCAUGUCUUUUAUGACAAAGAAUGGUUUAAAAAUUAUAAAAAUUUCAAGGAGCCCAAAACCAUCAUGCUUGAAGAUUCACACACAAAUCAAGUAGUUAGAGUGGAGGAUGCUGAGUUGAGAUUUACUUCUGGAAGGGUAUUAAUCUUAAAAGAUGUACUUUAUACUCCUUCCAUAAAGAAAAAAUUAUUGUAUAGUUUUCUUCUUAAUAAAGCAGGCUUCAAACAGAUUAUUGAAUCUGAUUAGUAUAUAAUUAUGAAAAAUAAUAUUUUUGUGGGAAAAGGGUAUGCAUGUGAUGGUAUGUUCAAACUGAGUGUUGCAAUGCAUAAAACAUUUACUUCUGUUUAUAUGUGUUUUUCUACUAAUUUUUGGUAUGCUUGUUUGUGUCAUAUAAAUGAACGUUACGUGGGAACCAUGAGUAGUUUAGGAUUAAUUUCAAUGAUCAAAAAGAAUUUUGAAAAAUGUGAAGCUUGUAGUAAAGCUAAAAUCACAAAAAGGCCUCUCUUCCAUGUUGAAAGAAAAAUUGGUUUAUUAGAAUUAGUUCAUAGUGAUAUUUGUGAACUUGGUAAAAUUUUAACUCGUGGAGGAAAUAGAUAUUUUAUCACUUUCAUUGAUUAUUUUUCUAAGUUUACAUAUGUUUACUUAAUGAAAAAUAAAAGUGAUGCAUUUGAGAAUUUUAAAAUUUUCCUCCAUGAAGUUGAAGAUCGGUUUAAUAGAAAAAUAAAAAGAAUAAGAAGUGAUAGAGGCCGCGAAUAUGAGUUACUUGAGUUCAAUUCUUUUGUAAGAUCAUUGGGUAUAAUUGAUGAAACUACUCCUCCUUAUUCUCCUGCAUCGGACGGGGUAGCGGAAAGGAAGAAUAGAACUUUGGUUGAGUUAACUAAUGCCAUGUUAAUUGAGUCUUGUGCACCUUUAAGUUUUUGGGGUGAAGUUCUUUUGACUGCUUGUUAUGUGUUGAAUCGUGUGCCUAAUAAAAAGAACAAAUUAACUCCUUUUGAAUUGUGGAAAUGUCAUAAGCCAAAUUUGGGAUAUCUAAGAGUUUGGAGUUGUUUAGCCUAUGUGAGGUUAAUGGAUCCUAAAAUCUCUAAGUUGGGUAAAAAAGUUACUACUUGUGCUUUUCUUGGUUAUGCUUCAAAUAGUACAGCCUAUAGAUUUUUUAAUCUUGAAGAUAGCAUGAUAAUAGAAUCAGGUGAUGCUAUUUUUCAUAAAAAUAAAUUUCCUUUUUAUUCUAAUUAAAAAUAGUGGGGGUCCAAGGACCGAAGAAAACAUUUUGACACUACCUAGUUCUUCUACUUCUACUUUAAAUAAUAAUAAAAAUGAUGAUUUUGAGUUAAGAAGAAGUAAACGAGCUAGAGUAGAAAAAGACUUUGGUCCUGAUUAUUACGUUUUUAACGUUGCAGAAGACAAUCACUUUAAAAGAAGUUUUAUCUUCAAAUGAUGCUAUUUUCUGGAAAGAGGCUGUAAAUGAUAAAAUGAAAUCGCUAAUUUCUAAUAAAACUUGAAAGUUAGUUGAUUUACCACCGGGUUGUAAAACAAUUGAAUGUAAAUGGGUCUUACGUAAAAAAUUAAAGCCGGAUGGAUCUGUUGAAAAAUAUAAAGCUAGGCUUGUGAAAAAAGGUUUUAAACAACUUGAAGGCCUAGAAUUUUUUGAUACUUUUUCACCGGUAAUGAGAAUUACAUCCAUUAGACUUUUAAUUGCUAUUGUGGCAAUUUUUUAUUUACAAAUUCAUGAAAUGGAUGUAAAAAUUACUUUUUUAAAUAGAGACCUAAAUGAGGAGAUUUACAUGGAACAACUCGAAGGUUUUGUUGAGGCUGGCCAAGAAAGCAAAGUAUAUAAACUUAAUAAAUCCUUAUAUGGCUUGAAACAGGCACCGAAGCAAUGGCAUGAAAAGUUUGAGUCCUGCAUGAUUGAAAAUGGGUUUAAAACAAACGAGUAUGAUAAGUGCAUAUAUCAUAAGUCUUGAAAUAAUUCGCAUGUUAUUAUUUGCCUAUAUGUUGAUGAUUUAUUGAUCUUUGGCUCUAACAUGAAUAUUAUUGAUGAGACUAAAAAUAUUCUUAGAAGCCAUUUUGAAAUGAAAGAUCUUGGUGAGGCAAAUUUUAUUCUAGGAAUAAAAAUUACUAGAACAUGUGAUGAAAUUUUCCUUGACUAGUCACAGUAUGUUGAGAAAAUAUUGAAAAAAAUAUAAUUUUCUUGAUUGCAAGCAUGUUGUAGCUCCAUUUGAUUCUAGUAUUCACCUGGUUUAUGUUGAGAGUAAAACAGAAGUAAUAAAUCAAAAGAAAUAUGCGAGCAUAAUUGGAAGUUUGAGAUAUGUGACUGCUUGCACUAGGCCUGAUAUUGCAUAUGCAGUAGGAGUACUUAGCAGGUUUACUAGCAAUCCAGGUAAUGAACAUUGACAUGCUAUAGACAAAGUAAUGAGAUAUUUAAUUGGAACAAAAAAUUGUGGUUUGUUCUAUACAAAAUAUCUUCUUGUACUUGAAGGCUUUUGUGAUGCGAAUUAGAACACUUUAUCAGGUGAUUCCUUAUCCACGACUGGUUAUAUUUUUAUUUUGGGUGGUGGUGCUAUUUGUUAGAAGUCUAAAAAUCAAGCAAUAAUUGCGAACUCUACCAUGGAGGCUGAACUAAUUGCUUUAGUUUCAGCUAGUGAGGAAGCGAAUUGGUUAAGAGAUUUGUUAUUUCAAAUACCUUAUUUUAAAAAACCAAUUCCUCCUAUUUUAAUUCAUUGUGAUAGCACUGCUGCAAUUGGUAGAGCUCAAAAUCGUUAUUACAACGGUAAAUCUAGACCUAUACGGAGAAAGCACAGUAAUGUGAGAUUAUAUUUGACAAAUGGUACCAUUAAUGUUGAUUAUGUCAAAUCUUGUGAUAAUCUUGCAGAUACGUUGACCAAGGCCUUGGCAAGAGAAAAUGUCUAGAGUACAUCGAGGGGAAUGGGAUUGAAGCCUAUUAAAUCAUCAGUCAUAUGUGAGGAAACCCAACCUGGGGACUAGGGAUCCUAUAACCAUGUUCAAUAGGAAAAAUGAAUCACCUGAUGACUUGUUGUGAAAAAUGCACUAUUUAUCCCUACCUAUGAUGUAAGUGCAUUUGCCUGUAAUGAUUAUGAGAUUGAGUUUAUUAAACUCUUAAUGAAUAUCUAUAGCUCUUAUGAGUGGGGUGCUAAAUUGCAGGAGCACUCUAGAUGGAUUUCACCUAUGUGAGUGUGGAGAUAGGCCGCUCCCUAUUGAUAAUUAGGCUAAUUCUCUAAAGACACUCAUUAAAAUCGGAAUAACACAAGACCGUAACGUUCUGGCUAAAAAUCUCAUUUCAACACUUUGACCAUUAUGUGUAAGCAGUAACUUUUUAUUUUCCUAAAGCAGUCAUAGUUCAAGUCUGAGACCACUACGACUCUAGAGUAAAAAUUACUAUUUUACUAAGUGGAGGUUCAAUGCAGAGCAUGUUAAGAAAUGGACCUUGGUCCUAACUCAACCUCAAAAGCUAGAUCGGGAGGUGAGGAUUACCCAAGUCUAUAUAAACAAACCACUAGUCCAUUCCCCAACCAAUGUGGGACUUUUACCCACUCUAACACCCCCCUCACGCCUAGGCCCAACUGGCCGUGACACAUGGACCGGGAGCCCAAAAUGGGGAUGAACCUGAAUCUGAUACCAUGAUAAAGAAAUGGACUAUGUCAAUAAUGGACCUUGGGCCUAACUCAACCUCAAAAGCUAGCUCAUCCUCUUGACCACCCGACUUAUCGGCAUAUCCCCUUCUCUACCUCAGCCUAGACUCUUUCAUGGCUGACAACCCUGGCUUGUUGCUUUGCACGAACAAACUAUUUGACUGACAAGCUUCUGAUUUACUCCACCAACCUUGCUUGAUGUCCUCUUCAAGUCCAUGCUCUCUUCUGACCAUAGUUGCCAACAUAUCGCUAACAGAGUUUCUGACGAACUGAUGGUUCCCCACAAUCAAGGAUAUUUGAGUAACAACUAUUCGAUUGUCCAACUUUGUAGUUCCACUCAAACAGCAUCGCACGAUGACCACACCUAUUGGCCUAGCGUACCUCUAUAGAAUCCCUCUGCAUACGGUAUCCACUGACUUGAAGUCAUCCCUUGAAGAGAUCUUAAUCACUCUCGGAUGCUUUGAAGAUGAAUCAACCCGUAAAGAUGAAAGCGGAAUCAAUGGCUGUGACAUGGCGUGAUUCUGAAAUGAUGGGCCUUGGUUGACAUCGCUAACUCAAGCAUCUCAACGUACAACCAAUUCCCUUUAUAAGGUAGCAUUGUCUCAAAAGAUCUUCAUGAGCACAAUGAAUGUCAAUCUAUGCUUUGACGUGAUCACUGCAAUGACAUCCACAAUCUGCUCUCAAUUCUAUGCUCUGAUACCACUUGUCAUGGGCUUAUUUGUCACUGUGUCAGCGGCAUAAAAUUUUGUCCGUGCGGUGCCCAUGGUUCCCCCAACUAUGGGCCAACCUUCCUUAUUUCCUAAGUUUUUAGCACAAUCCUGUGCUUGUAAAAAGCCUGCCUCAGAGGUUUGCUCCCUUUGGUGCCGCUCUAUCAACAUGUUGGCUGACAUGCCAACGUAUAAGCAACUCUUGUGGCGCACCUUCAAUCCUUGGAUCUCAUCUAUAUGUGCUUCAGGGGAUGACUACGGACAUACUCGUCCCUCAACUGGACCUGAUCAUUGCUAUAGCAUGCACAGUCUUAUCCUCAAGCUUGACAUCGCUUGGCCUUUGCUUCGCCCGAGUAGGGCAACCUUCAAUCCUUGACCUUUGUCUCAAGCGUCUUUCUUAGACAUGCCCUCUCUUGUCUUAUGGCAUAGCCAAACAUAGCCACGCAACUUGCAUCCAACUUCCAUAGCGCAGUGUCGCCCCAUAACUGCGCGUCUAAGCCAACGGACCCUUGCUCGCUUGGCUGAACCUUGGCCAAGCUCACAAGUCAGCUCAUGAGUCUCUUGGGGAGAUUAUCUCGAUUGCUCUAUCAGCUUGGAGGCAUCCUUCUAUUAUUUAGACAGCACGCGGGACAUGUUGGUUCAUAUAACCAACCUCUAGCCUUGUUGGGGCGCCCAACGCUGGUCCACCCGACCCUGCAUUGCCCAUAGGGUUCUCGAACCAUAUGAGUACCUUGCGCAUUCCUUUGAUAUGCCAAAGCAGGCCCUUGAGAUUAUCCCUCAAGGCAACACACUUGAGGCGGCCAUCUAUCGACACACCCGGGGGAGGCUGGUAGGCUGUCACCAUGUAUACCCCUUUUAUAUAUGCUUAAAAUAAAUAAUCCCAAUGUCUGGCACUAGACAUCAUUCUGCCCGAGAAUCAUACUGGGGCUUAGACUAUCCAUCCGACCUCCAAAUUGGGUACCGUUCGUUCCUAAUCCUUUUUCUUGACUUCCUUCACACCUCCAUGAAGUUCACCCCAUUCUCAUACACAUGAAACAAGUUAUGGCCUUCGGACUAAUCAGAAAAUUAUGACAAUACCACUGUACUUUGUCCAAUUCAAGCCCCUAUUUAAACGAACUCCAAAUUCCCCCAAAUUUGGUAAGCAUAAAUAAGGUACUAUUAAUAUCAACACUUUAAACCAGAAUCCUUAGAUUCUACUUGUAGCUCAAAAUGGUACGGUGCUGACAUCGAACAUCGCACACGAUCCUCACCAUGCCUCCGCCCCCUUGGGCUCACACCAAUCCCUCUCCAAAUCACCUUGACACUCUUAGGACAUGUCAUGCAACAUAUAUAGAUGCUUGUUGCCUCAUGUUAUGCCCCUUUGCCCCAUCUUCGACUUUAGUAUAUUCCCUCAGAACAUGCCGCCUGCAUAGCUGACAUGGUUGCAGCCUAGUUGGCACGCACAAUCCUGCCGGGUGACAGGCCCCAAAACUUUGAGGCUUCACACCCUCACACACGCCUUGAUACCAUGUCAAGAAUGGACCUUAGGCCUAACUCAACCUCAAAAGCUAGCUCAUCCUCUUGACCACCCGACUUAUCGGCAUAUCCUCUUCUCUACCUCAGCCUAGACUCUUUCAUGGCUAACAACCCUGGCUUGUUACUUUGCACGAACAAACUAUUUGACUGACAAGCUUCUGAAGCACUCCACCAACCUUGCUUGAUGUCCUCAUCAAGUCUAUGCUCUCUUCUUACCAUAGUUGCCAACAUACCGCUUACAGAGUUUCUGACGAACUGAUGGUUCCCCACAAUCAAGGACAUUUGAGCAACAGCUAUCCGAUUGUCCAACUUUGUGGUUUCACUCAAACAACAUCGCACGAUGACCACACCUAUUGGCCCAACGUGCCUCUAUAGAAUCCCUCUGUAUACGGUACCCACUGACUUGAAGUCAUCCCUUGAAGAUAUCUCAAUCACUCUUGGAUGCUUCGAAGGUGAAUCAACCCACACAGACGAAGGCGGAAUCAACGGUUGUGACAUGGCGAGAUUUUGAAAUGAUGGGCCUUGGUUGACAUAGAUAACUCAAGAAUCUCACAAGGUAGCAUCGUCUCAAACGAUCUUCAUGAGCACGACGAAUGUCAAUCUAUACUUUGACGUGAUCGCUGCAAUGACAUCCACAAUCUGCUCUAAAUUCUACGCUCUAAUACCAUGUUAAGAAAUGAACCUUGGGCCUAAAAAUAAACCUCAAAAGCUAGCUUGAGAGGUGAGGAUUACCCAAGUCCAUAUAAACAAACCACUAGUCCAUUCCCCAACCAAUGUGGGACUUUUACCCACUCUAACAGAGCACACCUCCAUUAUGUAUAAUAGUCUUCCUUCUAUUACUGGACUCUCUUGAUAAUAUUAAAAAAAUGAAUGGGGGAUUGAUGGGUACAUUUUUUAUUAUUAUCAUAUUAUUAUCAUUAGCCUUACAACUUUUUUAAAAAGUAGCACUAAGUGUUGCACCCCUUAUGCUGCUUUAUGGGAUCAUUCUGUUUUAGUACCAUUCAGUGUCUAAAGAUAGGAAUAUCUUUAACGUCCACAAUGUCUUGUCUGGUGCAUUCUCAUGAUUUCAUUACAUUCUUUUUUGCAAGCAUUCCUUCAAUAUAAACAAGAAGGCAUGCACGGCAAGAGCAGUAUACAGAGCCAUGCUAGUAGCGGACUCAGCUUUUCAAGGUUGUGGGUGCUCAAAAAAUUUUAUAUAAAGUAGUGUGUAGCUUAAGGGAAUCGAACCCAAAACCCUGGACAUGGAAGUCAUACCUCAAGCAAUUGCACCCAGCCAUGCGUUUGUUCACUGGGUGCAUUUUAAUAUAUUAUAUCAUUUAUUCUGUAUUUCUUAUAUAAUUACACCUAAUCUACGUCGAGUUUAGUGGGUGACGGAGCACCCAAAAAAUACACGUGGAUCCUUCUCUGAGCCACGCGAAAGAACAAGAAAUAAAACUGAGAAUUCAUAAAUUAUUAAAGAGAGUUUAAUAGUUGAAGGGAGGUGUUAUUUGUGUGGAGCUUUGAACUCAAUUCUAGUCCAGAGUAUUGAGUUAUAUUGUGUAGGUUGUUGUAUCCUGGAGGAGACAGGACAAUAAGUAUUACUGCUGGACCGGAGAAAUAAUUAUCGCAGUGGGCUUGAAUCUCCUUAAAGAGAGCGAGAUAUCCGCGCCUCAUCCGUAUAAGAAGAAAUAAUAUUUUUCUUUAUUCAUUUGUAAUUUUCAGUUGUAAAUCAAUUGUAAUAUUGCAGCAAUUUAUUGAGAUUUUCACCAACACAAUGUUAUACAUAAUCACAACACAAGAGGGAAUAACAAAUUAUUUAAGUUGAGUGUUUCACUACAAUAACUAAACAAAUUUUAGAAGUGCAGUUGAAGAAGAAAGCACAAAUUAUUGAAUGAGAGAAUCAAUAGUUAUUGGAGCGAUCGCUGGAACCUAGAAAGAGGAAUCCAUCGCGAGAAAUUAGGCAAACCCCAAGUUUCAUUUUAUACUUGACUACAACUCCAUUCCUCUAAACUUCAAAUUUUGCAUUUCAACUAUGAUAAACUUGCUAACUAUAAAUUAUUUGAAGUAAACCCCCAAUAUUAUUUUUUCGUUUGAUUUUCAUUGCAUUGCGAUUCAAAUUCUAGUCACUCCUACCACUUGAGAUUGGAUUCCGUGUUCUCAUUCCCUAAGGAUUCAACCCCGAUUCUUAUUGGGUAAAAUAUAUUGACAAAGAUCGCUUAUACCUUCAAGUAUAUUCGUAGUGUUUAUUUUACCUUAUUUGUUGUUUUUGUUCUCUCUUAGGCGACGACAGAAGUCUCUACGAUAUCAGAGCCAAAAUGGUAGCAAUACCGCUACUUUUGAUGGACAUCUAGAGGACGAGGAUCACCUUGGAGAUGCGGGUCGAGCUAGCACCAUUCAUACACCACCGGUGGAAGGGAAUGGAGUGUUUCACGUUACUAGCGUAAUGCUUUAUUUGCUUCAGAUGAAGAGACUGUUUAGGGUUCAAGCCCAUGAAGACACCAACCUUCAUUUGAAUAAUUUCAUUAAUGUGUGUCGUUCGUUUUCUAUAGCCCAUAUGUCUCGAGAAUCAAUCCGCUUGCGACUUUUUUCAUUCUCAUUAAUGAGAAAAGUGGUAUUAUAGUUGAGGGAGUUGCCCGCAGGUUCUAUCACCUCAUGGGUUGAAUUGAUGGAAGCAUUCUUGGAUCGGUUCUUUCCUCCAUCAUGAAUAUUGCAAUUAAGGGAUGAAAUCAUUAACUUUCGUCAAUUAAGUGGAGAAUCAUUACAUGAGGCGUGACAAAGGUUCAACAAGACAAGAAGUUAUUGCAAUGCCUAAAUCAUGAGGCCUUGGAUAAAAUGCUCCUUCAAAUCUUCUAUAAGGCAUUGAAUCAAUUGAACAAUACGGUAGUCGAUAAUGCAGCCAGCGGUUUUAUAGUGAAACAAUCUUAUGGUAUUGCGGUGGCUUAAUUGGAUCAAGUAAAUAAGUAAAAUUGAGGUUGGCAUACAAGAGAUAUCAAAGUGGCCGGGGGGCUCCCUCCAUAUUUUUUGUAAGUCAAGAACAAAGGAAAAAUGAUGAAGAGAGAUGAGAAUAUGGCUAAAGUAAUGACACAAUUGGAUCUUUUGAUGGGCGUAACUCCAAAGGCAUUAAUGUCGUUGCUUCUAAUAGUACCAAAGCUUAUGAUGAUGAUGAUACUGAAUCUCUUGAUACAGAAAUUCGAUUCAUGUCAAACCAAACGGAGGGGUUUCCGACCUACCUAUUAAAGGCAAGGCGGGAAUCGAGGUUGGAAGAAAAGGGGUCGUGAAUGGAAAAAUUGUGAAAGAAAGGACCAUGAACGAGAUACAGAUUGGAGAGAUAAGAAAAGAGAUAGUGAUCGCGAUUAGAGAGAUUCAUGACCAUGAUCGAUACAUUCCUCCACCUGAUUGGGCUAAAGGUAAAGAGACAACCUUCAUUAAUUCAAAAAUUUUAAAGAAUAAAGAUGUCCUUGCUCGUAACCUUAUGGGAUUUAAUUUGAGGGAAGUGCUAGGAUGUUGAGGGAUAUGAAUAGUGAUUUUUCACAAUUCAAUCAAAUGGUCACCUCACAUUCGACCUCUAUCAAGCAACUUGAACUCAAAUGGAUCAAAUCCCGACUCAUCUAAAUGCAAGGUAAAAGGGUGGACUACCUAGUGACAUUGUCGCUAAUCCAAAAAAUGAUGUUCAUAUCAUGACAAUCGUCACUAAGAGUGGUAGGACUCUUGGUAAUGAUAUGGUGAAUCUUGAUGAAGACCCCAAUGAAAGGGGAAGUGAUGACUAAGCUAGUGGAAAGAGAAAGCGUCUAGAUAAGUCAAAUGAAAAUGUCACUAAUCUUAAUGAGACCGGUGUUAAUACAUCAAGAGUAGUGAAAGAAAAGGUUGAAAAUGAAGAAGCACCACAGUGGUUGACAGUAAUACUUCAAAAUCGGAUGAAAGUUCGGUUGUCUUAAGGCCACAAAUCAAAAUCCCUCCUCCAUUCCCGCAAAGGCUUAAGAAGAAAGAAGAUGAUUCUAAGUUCUAGAAGUUUCUUGCAAAAUUUAGCAACAUAUCAUUAAACAUACCAUUGUUAGAAGUUUUACAAGAGAUGUCCGAAUAUGCUAAAUUCAUAAAGGACUUGGUCACAAAGAAAUGAAUCAUGGAUUUUGAAUCAAUUGUAGUGACGCAUAAUUAUAGUCUAGCACAAUGAUUGUGAAGAAAUAGGAUUCAGGCGCAUUGACCAUUUCUUGCACUAUUAGAGUGUACAAGUUUGGAAAGACAUUAUGUAACCUUGGGGUGAGUAUUAAUUUGACGUCAUUUCCCAUAUUUUGGAAGCUAGGUUUGGUGCUCCUAAGCUGACUACAAUGAGAAUUUUAAUAGUCGAUCGAUCUAUCAAGAAACUCAUAAUUGUGUUGUAUGACAUACUUGGGAAGGUGGACCGCUUUAUUUUUUGGCUGACUUUAUCAUUUUAGAUUAUAAAAUUGAUCAUGAGGUCCUUAUUAUUCUUGGUAGGCAAUUUUUGGCUAUUGUACGAGCCUUAGUUGAUGUUAAGUGUGGUGAAAUAAAAUUUUGGGUAAACAAUGAGGAGGUGUCCUUAAACAACCUAUGGAUUUGCAAGUUAUUUCUGUGAUCGAUGUGAUGAAGUGCCUAGUCCUACGAAAGUAAAUUUUGUAAGUGAUCCUUUGGUGGGUGUCUUGUGGAACUUGGGGAGCAAGGAAAUUAAGGAAUAUGAUGACGUAGUUGCAUCAUUGAUGGGUCUUAGAUCCUAUACUAAGAAUCAUUGCAAGUUGGAUCUUGACUUAAAGAAUAGAGAACGCCCCUAGCCAAACCUUAUAUUGCUGAACCACCUUAACUUGAACUUAAGUCGUUGCCUUCACAUCUUCAUUAUAUCUUCUUGGGUGAGUGUAAUAUUUUGAUAAUCAUUGUUGCGGAAGAUCUAUUGCCUUGGCAACUGGAGGUCGUGAAAUCUAUUGUGAAGAAGUUCAUUCGAGCCAUAGAGUGGACCAUAACAGACAUCAUCAGAAUUGCUCUUAAUAUUUACAGCCACAAAAUUAAGUUAGAGGUUGAUCAUGUGCCUAGUGUGCAAUACUAACGAAGACUAAACUCACCAAUGCAAGAGGUGGUCAAGAAGGAUAUCAUCAAGUAGUUUGAUGCGGUUGUUGUAUAAUCGAUUUCGAAUAGUAUGUGGGUUAGUCUAGUCCAAUGCAUUUAUAAGAAGGAUGGUAUGAGAGCCAUCCCAAAUGAAAAUAAUAAUCUUGUGUUCGUCUGUCCGGUCAAGGGUUGGUGGGUGUGUAAGAGUUGCCAAAAAUUGAAUUCUUGGAUCGACAGAGACCACUUUCCUAUGUUAUUCAUGGACGAAAUUCUAGAUUUAUUGGUCGGGAGUGAGUGAUAUUGUUUUCUUGAUGGAUUCUCCGGUUAUAAUCAGAUUUGUAUUACUUCUGAAAAUCAAGAAAAAACUUCUUUUACUUGCCCUUAUGGGACCUUUGGCUUUGAACGUAUACCCUUUGGGCUAUGCAAUGAACCCACCACCUUUCAACAGUGUAUGUUGUCUAUAUUCUCGGAUAUGAUCGAGGAUACCAUGAAACUGUUCAUGGACGAUUUUUCCAUUGUUGGUGACUCAUUUGAAUCAUGCCUCAAACAUUUGAGCAAGGUCCUUGAGCGGUGUGUGGAGACAAAUUUUGUUUUAAAUUGAAUAAAUGUCAUUUUAUGGUUAAAAAGAUAUCAUGCUUGGCCUCAAGAUCUCGGGUAAAUGCAUCCAAGUCGAUCAAGCAAAGAUAGAAGUGAUUGCUAAAUUACCCCCUCCCAUUUCCGUAAUGGUGUUAGAACUUUUCUUGGCCACACCGGGUUCUAUAGACGAUUUAUUAAAGAUUUUUCUAAAUUACACAAAGGAUGAUUGCUCAUCAUCUGGGUAAGCUUUUCGAAAAGGAAGUGAAGUUUGAAUUUGAUGGCAAUUGUUUGAGUGUGUUUAAUUGUCUCAAGGAGCUACUUGUGUCGGUUCCUAUCAUCGUGGCUCCAAAUUGGGCAAUGCCUUUUGAAGUGGUGUGUGAUACGAUAAGCUGUUCAUCCAAUCUACUAUGCUAGCAAAUAGUUGAAUGAUGCCCAACACAACUAACAUGGUUAUAAAGCAAGAGUUGCUUUCGAUGGUAUAUGCUUUUGAAAAAUUUCGAACCUAUUUGUGGGGUACAAAAUUGUUGUGCACGCCGACCAUGCAGCUCUUAGGUGUUUGAUGGCGAAAAAGGAAGCGAAACCUCGGUUGAUUAGAUGGAUAUUGCUCCUCCAAAACUCAUGUACAUCUUUAAAGACCUAAAUCAUUCAUUUGCUCGUAAACAAAGUCACAGAAGGUAAGAUACAUACCGUCCUGUCACUGAACACACUUCCCUCCAUCAAACCGAGGGGCUUUAUACCACCAAAUGAUUCUCUCUCCUGCGUAACUCUUGUAACAAAAACAUAGUUUUGUAAAGUGUAAGCAUAUUUCUGUGGAUCAGCAUAAAUGAGUCUAAUACGUUAAAGUGAUCUGACUCAAUACCCUGCCACUUGACAAUAGACUCAGGAACUAUUUCAACAAGAUCUUGCAACUUAUGUGUCUCCUUAGCUAUUCUCUGCAGAAAAGUUGUUUUCCGGACACUAAUAUUCCCUUCAACAUAAAACAUAAUUCUUCUCUUUUUGGGAUGACUUCACACCAGCAUCCAAGUUUUUAUUAUUCAACUCUUCCAUCCACACCCUUCUUCAUAAACGUGGCGAUACUCUUAGCAUGGUUUCUAUGUGUGAUUCCAACUGACCUCUGCAAGAACUCGACCAUCUUCUCACUGGAUUUCCAAAAGAACUGUGAAUAAGCCAUAUAUCACCUUCAUUAUUAAUCAAGUAUCAGGACUAAAUAAAUUGGAUAAUUUUCUUGAAAUCACCCAUAUUGAAAAUUACAUCUUUCAUGCCAAGUACCAUAUAAUGAUUAAUAACUGCAAAAGAUAGAAAGUUGACUAUCCAUAAUCAUCCAAAAUGGUGAAGUGAACAAUAAAAUCAGAUUUUGAUAAGAUGCAAUAUGCUGAGCAAGUUCUGAAAUCCCAACUUUGCUUUAAACAGAGUUGUUCACGCCACGUGCAAAAAUGAGCAAGCUCUGCGCCAAGAAGCCUAUACAUAAUUCUAUAUAGUGCAUUCUAUAUGUAAAUAUAUACACACAAAUAUAUACAUAAAAACACAUCACAUCUGCACUAAACUAGAUAGGUCGUGUUAAGAAAAUAUACUUUGGGUCAAACUUAACCAUAGCAACUAGCUCAUGAGAUCAGGAUAGGCAAAGAUCAUAUAAAUAAACAAUAGUCCAUUCUUAAACCAGCAUAGGACACUUAGGCCACCUUUGUUUUCACUUAAUAAAGGUAUAAUCUUAAUCAUUCAAAUCUCAAUCAUUAAAUUAUUUGUUUUUUAGGUUUGAAUCUUAAUUAUUUAGAUCUUAACCAUUAAUCAUUCAAAUCUCAAUCAUUAAAUUAUUUGUUUUUUAGGUUUGAAUCUUAAUUAUGUAGAUCUUAACCAUCAAGUGUGUGUGUUUUCUGAAUAUAUCUGAAUGAUUUAGAUUUAUAACAAAGUCUUUUAUUUUUUGGUGAAGUAAUUGUUUCAUUGAUGGAAUCCAGUAGAUGAAGAAAAUGAAGAGUACAAAGUGUUAAAGAAUAUAUAUCAACUCCCUACAGAGAAUCAGUUUAAAGAUUUAGGGAGCUAAUAAAGUCUAAAAGGGACUAUCUUGGAGGGUUACUGGGAACAUAUUAUGUCAACUAAAAUGGUUUAACAUACACCUAGCCUUUGCAGAGUGAAUGGGAAUUCAUACCCCAACAAAGCAUCUUGUUUAUUUUCUGUCCAAAUACACCAAAUAAUGCUGGCUGGUAUUGUCCUCCAGAUCUUCCUGAUGGUUUUAUCAACUUUCCACAAGCUCCAACUUUCAUCGGCGUCCUUGAUGUUCUUAGGUACGACCCAAGAUAGACAAGAGAGAAAAACAUAUUCCAAAUAUCCAUGGAUGCUGGACAGUGUAGGAAGAGAUAAAUGUUAGACUCCAAAAAUUGAUGAAAAAUAUAACAUCUGUUCACUAUCUGGAUUUUCUUUUAUUUACGUCAUGCCAUGUUGGGCAUGAAUCAUAUAUUGUUUUCCAGGUGAAACAACUGAUAUUUGGAGGUAGGUUUGUGCCCUAAAUUAGCUUCUAAGGCCACUGUGUGGCAUUCACCGAUUGAGGUAGUGAUGGAUGAUAACUUGACUUCACUGCGUAUGCAUUUCUGAUUGUGCUCCCCACAAGUUAUUUUGUCCCGACACUAAUUGAUGCCCAAAAAUGCUUUUUAAAUUUAUCGGCAAAACACAAACUACUUCUCACCAAAACCACUUUUUUCUAAAAACACUUUUGGAAAAAAAAAAAAAACACUUCCAAAAUAAAUUGAUCUUAAAAGGUUGGCCAAAUAGGCUUUUAGACCAAGCUCUGACCACUAGACUUUCCAACAUCUUAAUUCCUGAAUAUUACCAGCCUUUUAGUUACUUUCUUUUUGGAUAGGGGUAAACUUAAAGGUUACAUUUAUUACCUAUUAUAAGCUGAAGAUUCUAAAACAUAAGAGAAAUCAAAAUAUUGAAGUCUUAAUCACAUCCAAGCUUAAAUUUCAACUCCUAAUAAUCGCCAUCAAUAAAAUACAACUCCUGAUAAAUAAUUCAGCUAACAUACUACUUUCUUUUGGUUUACCAUCAGGUGUCUGAUACCCACUUUGGAACCCGACUACUAAUCAGAAUUUGCGCUAAAAAGUCCCACUUUGGGGAUAAAGUGCUGCCUACCAAAGGCGACUCCAUUCCUUGGGCACGACACCAAGACCUCAGGUUAAUGGAGGAGGGAUUCUUACCACCCUAUCACAACCUUUGGUCAUACAUACUACUGUGUUCAGUUUCCUAAAACACUUACUACUAGGAGGUACGCUAAAGCUAACCCGGACUCAAUGGUCAUUAGAAAAAAAUCUUAAUUGUAGUUUUAUUAAAAAAAAUUAUCAAGGAAGAAGAACAGUUACGCCUUUAAGUUUUGAAGACUUGUUACACAACUAUCUCUACUAUUAGAUUACAGCUUGUAGGUACUGAUAGAUCAACUACUUUAUAUCAAAUAGGUUACUACAAAAUAAUGACAAUGUACAAACUCAAAAAUAAUAUGCAAUUUAAAAUGUACCUAUUAUAUUGAUAUAAUUUCAUCUAAUUUUAUGUUUAUUUGAUUGACUGUUAUAUGUAAUCCUAUUAAUUGCCGUGUAUUUAUAAUGUUAAUUGCAUUAUUUAUUCAUUAAUUCAAAGUAAAUACUAAUUUUGCCUAAUCUUUUCCAACAUCCUAACACUUAGCCGCAUUGAAAUAAAAUUGUUACUCUAAACCAUAUUAAAACUAUUGAACUCUAGUAACAAAUAAGAGGCAUUUCAAGUUACCUAAAACUUUUUCUUGGUAAUGCCCUCAAUAUCCCAGCAUAUAGAGCUAAUUUGGCCUCUUUUCAGCUUCUGUCGACUCAGAGCAAUCCUUCUCAGUCUGCGCUUUGAAAAUAUUCACUCAUCCUCAUAGAUCAAAUGAACUCCCCACUGUCUAGCAAUGCAACCGUGGAUAGAUGCCUCAAAUAGGCUAUACCGGUUAAUGUCUCCACCAUAUGUGCCGGACACCUGCAGUGAAGAAUACAAUGGAAUGUAGGCAAAGCAAACACACCAGCCAUACGUUCUAGAUGCUGUGCCCACUUUACAUUCUUUUUCUAUCACUCUAAGGUCUUUCAAAUGAUCACUGCAUAGCAAUUUGGCUUUGAUGAAAGUAUAGUCAUACUUUUCAGAUAGCAUUGCAUCAGCACGACAGACACCUGCCCCCAUGAAAGUCACACAGCAUAUAGCAAAGCCUUUGAACUUAUCAUUAUACCAAUUAAUGGGCAGUUUGAACAAGAUCUUUUCAUCAACAAUCUGAUGCUUAAACCACAUGGGAAUUGCACGUUCAGGAAAGACAAUGGAACAAGUCACUCUAUGAUCAUAGUUAAGAGAGGGGUGGAUCACAUCAUCCAUAUUGUUUGAUAGAAGCAAACUCAGAAUCUCAUCCGAAAAGGAGCUACCAUUGCUGUCCUCUGUAUAAGAUUGUUGAUCAAAACUAUAAUUGGUGAAUGAGACCAAAUUCAACCUUGGAUACAUUCGUAGCUUCGCAAUACAUUCUUUUGCCAAAAAAUCUUCUACAUAUAAUUCCUCUAUACUCGGAGGAAGUUUGGGGAGUUCCUUAAGUUUCUGACAGUGUGUUAUAUUGAGAUAGCGAAGGUGAGAAAGUUGACUGAAGAUAUUAGGUAAAUAAAUAAACUCAUUUCUGCUCAGAUUCAGUUCCAAUAAAGAAGUUAAGUUCUGAAGAGCAGCAACUUGGUUAUCGCAUAAAUUACAUCCACUGAGAUUUAAGCUCUUCAACUCCCUCAAUCCAUGAAACACCCAGGGUACUAAUAUCAAACUGCGAGCAGAUUGACGCUUUACCUUCCGCCCUUUUCUUAAUGAUAGGAUCUUGAGUUUACUUAAGUUUCCAAUAGAAUCUGGUAGUUUCCAAAUGGCAGUGUUGCCAGCAUAAAGCUCCUCCAACUGGUUUAGAUCACCUAGAUUUUCAGGUAAAAUUGCAAGUCUUGAGCAGCCUUUCAGAAUCAAAAUUUUCAGUUUUCUCAUCUCAGAGACACUGGCAGGGAGUCUUACAAGGUUUUCACAUGAACGCAAAUCAAGCAAGCUGAUACCACUAAGCUGCCCUAUUGAUGAGGAAAAUUCCCAAAUUGCAGUACGUGCCAGAAGAAGCUCCGAGAGCAACUCCAUAUUCCCUCGAAUUUCUGGAAAAUUCUCUAAUUUCUCACAACCUGAGAGGUUGAAGCCUUCAAGAGAUUCCAUUUGAAUAUUUCUUGGUAAACACUUCAGAUUAUUGCAGUUCUCCAUAUUCAAAAAGAUGAGUUUUUUCAGAUUUCCAAUGGAUGGAUGAAUUUCAACCAAGCGUACACAACUUUUCAGUAUAAUCCUCUGCAGGUUUGGAGUCUCACAAAAAUUGGGUGUUCGGAGUAAACUUCCUGAAAAACUUAAAUUGAGGAUCGUCAAGUUGUCAAAUGCCUGUUCAUAAAAAAAAGAAGUAAUAGAAACAUCAGAUUUAACUGUCAUUUCUUUUCUUUAAAUAUGAUUCUUUUUUGAAGGAGAUCAGCAAUACCUUUGAUUCCUUGAAGAUUUCCACAAGAGAACUAAAAGUCAUGUUGAGCCCAACAAGGUUUCCUGGUUCAAAAUCUGCUGGUAAAGAUGGAAAACUGUAGUAUGACCAAUCAAGCCAUUUCAAGUUACUGGGAAGAUACUUAAUAGGGUCACAAAUAGGGUCGUGGUGUCGGACCUCCUCCCCUUUGACAAUGAGUAACCUAAGACACGGCAUUUUGCUGAAAGAUUUGCUCCACUUGCAUAUAUGACGGUCUGAGCCAAUUGGCACCAUUACGCCUUUAAUAGAAUCUGUCCUCUGGAAAGAAAUUAAAGUAAAUUUGCUAAACAGAUCAUACUUCCAAGCUUAGAACCUAUUCUCCUUGAAUAUACUAAAGUUAAUAACAUUUUUUGUUGGAAUUAAUACUACUAGUAUAGGAUUUAUAUCUGGCUUUGCAUCACAAGUUCAGUCAAAUAGUUUCACGAAUUAAUUAAGAACUUCAAAUAUUCUCAUUUCCACUCCUUUCUAUAAUUACUGACAAAAUUGAGCAUGGAGGUUCAAUUCUCCAUUGAUGGAACACUGAGGGAAACAGAGAAAUGCAGAGAGAAAAAAUAGAAGAAAAAUGUUUAUUGAAUUUUCGGAAUAACUAACUACAAAAUUUCCUAGUGCUCACCAUUUAGAUACAAUCCUACACCUCUCUCAAAAUUAUUUUCUAACCAACUCAACAAACUUCUCAACUGACAGCUAUGCACAGUAAAAACAGAAAUCAGGAAAACAGUAAAAGCAGUUCAAUGAAACAGUAAAACUGUUUCAUCCCUAACUCACUGCAUCUUUCAAUAAUUACCUAAUAACAAAUCCAUUCUCCAAUCAAUAUAAGGAUGUUUACAUUAGGACUUCUUUCACUAUUAAGAGAAAAAGCUAAAAUUUGAACUUACAAAAGAACAUUUUUUUAAAAAACUGAAAAAAUGAAUAAUUUUGCUAAUUAAAGGGCCUUGGAUAUUCUUAUCAAAUAAUUUUUGAACUAUAUUAGUGAAUGGAUAUUGAGUAAGCUACUCUAGUUAAAAUCUUCAGAAAAGCACAUCUAGUAAUCUAUGAAACAAAAUAUGCAACUAACCUUCUUAAUUGGUGGCUACAGGAGACAACCUUGAGUGCAGAGUAAUAUGGAAGUACAAUUCAAAGCUACAAGGCUAUACUUGUUGCCAAGAUAUUGCAUGAAUUAAUUAAGAAACUACCCCAUGAGCUACAGUUUACAUUGAGAAAAAUGUACUAGUGCUAAAGUAAGUUUAAAAACUUAGGGGUCGUUUGGUAGAGUGUAUAAGAAUAAUGCUGAAUAAGGUGUAUUAGUAAUGCUUGCAUUACUAACACAAAUAUUAGUAAUGCUGGUAUUAGUUAUGCAAACAUUAUUUCUUACACAGUGUUUGGUUUGAUGUAUUAAAAAUAAUAUAUAUUUGUAUAAUUUUUAUAGAAAGAUGUUUAUUUACCAAAAUACCCCUUUUAUACACUACUAUCUUUUCAAGCUUAAAGGAAAGUAGCAUCAACACCUUUGUGGAUUUCAAUUCUAUGGUAAAACCCACAUUUUCUAACAUAAUUUUUUUUUAAAAGAAUGAGAUCUGUUUGUUUGGCAUUCAAAUCAAAAGGAAUGAGCAUCCAUGUUCGAAAAAUGAGAGAGUACCAGCGGCAAUACAAAGUCAAAAAAAAAUAAAAUAUGGAAGCAACCACCACUGUUGUACCCAAAUACCCAGUUUCUAUUUGCUCAAUUUCAUUGAAAAAAGAAAUUUAAGGAAGGUAUGCAAUCUUGAAAAUCCAAUUUUUACUUCCUCUCUAAACCCACUUUUCUUUGAAAACUCAAUUUUCACAUAUUCUCCAUAUCCAAAAGGCAUGAGAAUGAAAUUGACAGAAUUUGAACGGAACAAAGAGAAAGAAAUUGAAAAACAAGAAGAUGUUUGAUUAAGAAGGAAGAAGAUGUGGAGAAAUGGAGGGAAAAGAAGUUGGAUAUUUUGAGAGGUAAAUUUGUAAUUUAAUAAGUUAAUACAUGUAUUGAAAUGUGUUGUAUUACUAAUACAUUAGAAAAGAGAGGUAUUAGUAAUACAUAGCCCAAUACCCAAUAUAUUAGUUAUACAUAGACCAAAAAAUAUACCAAACAAUGCACUAAUAAUACACAAGAAUAAUGCAUGCAUUAUUUUUGUUAACACAACCUACCAAACGACCCCUUAGAUGUCCACUUCCAGUGAGGGCAAAUAAUGCAAAAGAGAAGAUGGAUAUCUCCCGCAGAGGACAUGCUUACCUGAUUUGCAGAAAAAACAGUUUUUAUAUCUUGUUCAUUCCAUAGUCUACUGUGAUUCCAUGGCCUGUCCUGAUCAACAUUGCGCGCUGCUUGCUGACCCAUUUGUUCUAUCAAAUCAUGCAUCUCAACCAUUCCUUCAGAAAUAUAUAAGAGUGAUUUUUGGAUGAGGACAUGUAUUCCAAUCUCUGAUCGGAAGCCAAAACUGUUUAGUAUUGUUAUCACAUCAUCUCUCUUUCUUCCUCUAAAGAAGCAUGCAAUAUCAAGGAAUAUAUUCUUUUCUUCAUGGUUCAAUCCAUCUAGACUUAAACUGAGCUGCUUAACAAUUUUUUCAUAUCCAGUAUCUCUGAGUCUAUCUAAUGCACUUCUCCACUCAGUUAUGCCUCGCUUGUAAAGAAAAGAACCCAAGACCUUAAGAGCUAACGGUAAGCCUUUAGCAUAAUCUACUACAGACUUGGAGAGUUUCAAAAACUCUUUAUCAGGAGUCUGUUUCUGAAAAGCGUGCCAACUAAAAACUUCAACAGCCUCAUCUUUAGCCAAUUCAGGAACAGAAUAUAGUUGGUCAUGACAACGUAGUAAAUCUUGGUUUCUAGUUGUUGUAAUGAUUUUGCUGCCAUCACCAAACCAGUCGUGAUUUCCAACUAAAUAUUCUAAUUGCUGUUCCUCAUUGACAUCAUCAAAAACAAUUAAAACUUUCCUGUGGCAAAGCCUUCUUUUUAUCAUAUCGGCUCCCUCAUAAAAACUUGAUAUAUUCAUUGAUUUUUCUUUUAAGAGUCUCGAAAGAAGUGUCUUUUGCAAGUACAUCAGCCCAUACUUCUUUGAUUCUUCUCUAAUAUUCGCAAGAAAACAAGACCCUUGAAAUUGAUGAGAAACCUUGUCAAAAUAUUUUCUUGCAACAGUUGUCUUCCCGAUGCCUCCAAUCCCCCAUAUUCCAACAAAACAGACAUCACCUGAUCGAAAUUUCAGUAAUGAUUCUAUUUCACCCAUACGAGAUUCAAUUCCCACUAGAUAUUUUUCAGUGGCUGAAACAGUGUGGUGCAUAUUUCGGAAGUUAUCAUUUAUAAUCUUGUCAAUAGAUUCAGCUUCAUUCCUACAUUCAGUACAAAUAUAAUGGUUAGAGUGGGAUACACAUUUGUUGGGAAAUGGACUACAACAACAACAACAACAAACCCAGUAUAUUCCCACAUAGUGGAGUCUGGGGAGGGUAAAAUGUACGCAGUCCAUACCACUACCCCCGAAGGAGUAGAGAGGCUGUUUACUCAUAUGGACAUGGGCAAUGCUCCCCUCAUGAGCUUGCGUUUGGGCUUAAGUUAGGCCUAGGUGCCAAUCUUUACAAUAAUAAUAAAAAAUGCAACAUAGAAACACAGGAAAUGUUAAAGUAGCUCUACCAAUAGCAUCUAAAUGCAACCCUCCCAACCACCUGUUGGACCACAAUUGCUGGAACAAAUUGGCUUCAAUGUUUGUUAGUUUUGUUUCCACAAGAACAAUGAUAUUAUCCCCCACUGUAAUAGUAGAUUUCUUACUAAACUUCUUUUAUUCUCCCUGUUUAAAUCCCUUACAUUCCAUGAAAGAAUUUUGAUCUUCAUUGAUUCUUGACUGGUAUAACUUAUUAUCCCUCUGUCUCUUGUGUUUUCAUGCUGUUCUUUUUCGAUGGCGUGAUAAUUUUAUUGAAUUUUUACGGCAACAUGCCCUUAUACAAGAAGUAUGCCAGAAGGUAGAGAACCUACGAAUGUUUUCAUGCUAUUCUUGAAAGCAUGUUUAUUCCAAAGACUAUGGAACCAUUACCGUGGGUAGAAUUUUCCAUGUAUAUCCCAAUAAUUAAGUGAAAACUCAAGGGUUCUUGAACUACUCACCCAUUAGCAGUUUUACGAAUAUCGAGUCCUGCUAUUCCAGCAGCUCUAUGUAGAGCAACCUUCCAUCGCUGCACCUUCUCCAAAUGAUCCUUGAGAUUUUUCUUGUCUUGUUCUCCAAGAGCAAGAUCAGUUUUGUGGGCCACCUUCUGCCAACCACACUUGAAAUCUGCCUUAUGUUUGGUUACCAACUUCUCAGAAUUAGCGUUGAAAUCUUCCACGUGUUUUUCCAACGCUUUAGCAAAGCUGCUUCCCUCUCCUUCACAGAGAGCUAAAAAUUCUUAUUUCAGAUAUGUAUUUAUUAGUUAUAGAAGAGAGAAUAUUAUUUUAAUGAUUAGAAAAGUUGUCUUGGAAGAAAUUUUAAGUUUGAUUAGUUAUACAAGUCAGAACAGAAAAUAAUAUCUGAUGAUUUACCUUUCAUGCGUAUAUCUGAUGGAUCGACGUUAUAGAAGACAGGAUAUGCUUUUUGUUCCUUCUUGUCAACACACUCCAUGAUCAUUGUAAGUUCCUCCAAGCACCAGGUGGAUGAAGCAUAGUCCUCUGAGAAGAUAAUAAUGGCAGUUCUUGAUUCCUCAAUAGCUUUCAAGAGUUCUGUUGAAAUGAACUUUCCUCUUUCAAGUUUCACAUCAUCUUUGAAUAUGUUGAUUCCUAUGUCUUCCAGACGUUUAUAAAGAUGGGCAACAAAGUUAUUGCGCGUAUCAUCUCCUCUAAAACUCAGAAAGGCAUCAUAUUUCCAUUUUUGAAUCGAUUCAUUUUGGGGAGCCAUAGGAAAAGUAAGAGUUUUGGAGAUCUACAAAUACAAGCAGAAUGAGGUAAACACCUGAGUUAGAGCCCAGAAUUGAAAAUAAAUAAUAAGAUAGAAGAAAAGAGAAUCUCCAUGAAGGAUGACAAAACAAUGAUUCACACAAUAACAGAGAAAAGGAAGAGGCUUGCAUGCCAACUUUGCACUCUCUGAAACAUAAAGUAGAUGACAAAAUUGUUACGUUCCAAUCUCAAACUAAUUGGGGUCAGCUAUAUGAGCUCAAAUUUAUUCCGCCUAUUCUAAUCCCAAACUAAUUGGGGUCAACUAUACGAACGCUCAAAUUUAUUCCAUCGGAUUUGGACUAGUUUCUAUAUGUUUUUUAAAUGGUAAGGUGGGUCUCUAUUAUUUCUCUACUCACAUACAAACAAGUGUAUCAGCACGACGAAACCUUGGACUGACUAGUUCCUAUAACCUACUCAAAUUGACAUCUACCUUUUUAAACGAAAAAUAAUGCACAAGAGAAAAAAUAAUGUCCCCCGAAUUCUCAACCGUUAGAGGACCACACACCUGAUUUGCACAAAAAACAUUUUCCAUGUCUUUCUCAUGCCAUAGUCUACUGCAAUUCCAUGGCUUGACCCACUCAGCAUCACGAGCCAUCUGCUGACCUAUUUGGGCUAUCGAAUCAUGCAUCUCAACUUUUCCUUCUGAGAUAUACAAAAAUGAUCUUCUAAGGACAUCUAAUCCAUUUACAGACUUGAAGCCAAGUCCAGCCAGUACAGUAAUCACAUGUUCUUUCUUUUUUCCUCUAAGGAAGCAUGCAAUAUGAAGAAACAUAUUCUUGUAUUCAUCGCCCAAUGCAUCUAGACUUAAGCUGAGUAACCUAACAAUCUUCCCAUCCCUGAAAUCUUUGUCUCUAUAUAAGGCAUUUAUGUGCUCUUCUGUACCUUGUUUGUAGAGAAAAGAACCCAAGACCUCUAGAGCUAAGGGUAAGCCUUUAGCAUAAUCUACUACACAACAUGAGAGCUCUUCAAAGCCUUCAACCGGAGUUCCUCGUUGAAAGGCGUGCCAACUAAAAAGUUCUAAAGCCUCAUGGUUAGUCAGUUCUGGAACACGAUAUAGCACAUCAUGCUUGCUAAGUAAAUCGAAGUUUCUAGUUGUUGUAAUGACCCUAGUGCCAUCACCAAACCAAUCACUCUUUC